rnacentral:lncRNA from 1 species
UUUUUUUUUUUUUUUUUUUUUUUGUCUUUAAACCCUAACAAGCCGAACAAAAGUAUAACAGACUCAAGAACAAAAGUUGGACAGAAAACACAAAAAGACAAUACCCAAACAGUUUUUUUUUUGGAUGAACAGUAACGUGAACAGUACGCUACAGUAUCGAUGAACAGUAUUUCGAAACAGUAACGAUGAACAGUAAUCGCUACAGUUUUUUUUUUUUGACAAAGACACAAACUAAUAAGAUAUGAACAACUUCAAUUGAAAGAGAAUUAACCUGAUGCUCUGAUUACCAACUGAUGAGCAACCCUAGGGGAAGACCCUCCUAGAACCUCCCAACCUUGUAAUUAUCAGAGUUGGACCUUUUCUCCCAAUGAAAAUUGAACUCGAUUGUUCUCAUGAACUCAAGACCUCUGACACACAAAGGCAAUCAGCAACCUUAAGCAAAUAAAGAUGGAUGAAGAGACACCACGAUUAGGGAACAAACUAAUCGAUAAAGUCAGAUUUGAAUCCUAAGCAAUGAACUCAAGAAUUCAAGAGUAAGUUCGAUUAAGAACUUGAAGGAAAAUUCCUCACGAUUUCUGGUUGUAAUAAUCUGUCCGGACUGAUACAAGAGGUGCCUUUUUAUAGGCUAAAACUAGGGCAAACUCCGGCCCACAUAAACCUGAAAGAAAUUUGGUCCGCAUAAAGAGUUUAAAGAGUCAGCUCUUUAAGGCUUUCCGAUAAGGCCCAAUAAGUAAUAAAAUACUUAACGCCUAACAACUACUAAACUAGACAGUCUUAAAAACAACUACCAACUAAACUAACAAGUAUGAGAUCAUUCCUUCACUUCAAACGUACAAGUGAACAAAGUAACGUCAUGGUCCAUCAAAUCUUCAAACCUAGCUUGCUCCUUGCUUGUAUGGUGAAUGAUCAAGGCUUGUAAAGCUUCCUUCACCUUCUUGGAUCUUGAUCUUGUCAUCGGACCGUCAAUGUUAUCCUUGACCCAAGGUUGAAGUGGUUGCGCACCCGUAUCCGUAUCAGUACAAUUUGUGGCUACUUAUUUAGGCAAUGUAAAUAUUUUGCCGGCACUAUUGUGUGGAUUGGUCCCCUGUUGGUCUUAGUUCUUCAUGUUUAGGAGAUAACAUGGGCCAUGAUCUUUAAUUGUCUGGUAUUUUGGUAUUUUAUUGUGAAUAACAUAUGGUUAUACUCCGCUAGUGUCGUCAUCCAGUAACCGGGAGUCUUCACCACAAAUGUCGAUUCUCACGUCUAAAAGUAGCGAUAUCUAUGAGUAGGUAGUCCUGGAGCUGUGAAAAGUUGAGUAACUGGGCUCUUUUAUCUAAAAAUGUCAGAGUUCACGUCAAAAGACUUGAAUGGCUUGGGACUAAGCAUUUAUUCUUUCAAUUAAAAAAAAAGAGAAAAAGAAAUAAAAUAAAAACAAAGAGAGAAUAGAUGUGGAAAAUAUGUAAGUCUAUGAUCAUGUUGGCCAGUCGAUCCUUGGUUCUCAAUGUUGAGACUUUGGUUGCUAGUUGACUUAAUUGCUGACUAUUGCUAGUUUGAUAUUUGGAUUUCCUAAGCGAGUUAGCCAUGAACUGGACGAGUCUGCGAUCUUAGGAGCUAACUGGGAGAGAUAUGUCUUGAGACUCUUGACACUUAGCCACUAAACCUUGAUUUUGGUGUAAGCACAGCUUGGCAAUAGAUGACGUGAGAGCUGACCAUGGUUGAGUUUAGUUGUCCCCAUGCUUGAGGGCAAGCAUGGUUCAGGUGUGGGGGAAAUUGAUAGGGUGUUAAUUGUUAGUAAUUUUACUAUUAAUUUUUCCCUUUGUCCUUACUAAAUAUUGUUUUAAAUUGUUAAUAUAUACUUAUAUUUGGUAUUUGGACCUAUCUACAGGAAAUGGAAUUAAAAAGUGCUAAAAAGGGGAACCUAUUGGAGAAAAUUGCUACACACGUGGGAGACUCCAAACAAGUUCACAAAACAAACGGAUGGCAUUUCCCUUUUGCUAAUUAGGAGUUGAAGUCCUUGAGGAGCAAGAGGAAAUGAAAUGAGAAAAAUUCGGCUGGAGCUUACUUUUGGGAAUUGGACUCUCAAUUUGUGCGGGGACCACGGAGAAAAGAAAGGCAUUAGUCAUUGGAGUUAAAAGGAAAAAAACGUACAGAGAGCUCUUAUCAAUAGUUUUAGCAUAGCAUUAGUUUUAGUUUUUCUUUCUUUUUCCUUUUCACGCGCACGAGGUGCUCGACAAUAUUUUUCAACGGGAAAAACAUCUUUUACUCUUGCUUUCUAGUGAAAAACGUGAUGCCUUUGCAAUCAAGUAAUUUGCAUGAAGAUUUAUUCAUGCGGUGUGGCUAAGCCUUUUAUCUAGUCAAAGAUCAAUUCGACGGCGCAGUCCCGAAAAUCUGUGAGAUCUAAUUAGUUUUCACGCGUUUCUCAAUUUAUUAAUAUUUUCACGUUGUCUACUUGAAUUUUCAUGGGAUUAUUUUAUUAAUUGGAUGUCCAGGGCCCGAUGUUCAAUAUGAUUUAUUAAUCUCCUGCCAAGUUAGUCAAUUAAAUCCGUAAUUAUUUGAUUGAUUAAUAUUAGUGGCAACUGGAGUGUUUACACACUAGGAGAACGUGCAAUCUAAUUUCAAUAACCCUCGUAGCGUGUUAUUGAUUGGGGUUAGAUUUUUCUAGUUCUUAAUGCAAUUGAAAAAUUAAUUCCUACGGUCGUACUUAGGAGUAUUUUCUGAUUAAGGGUAAUCAAUGGUCGUACCUUGGUUAUCAAUAAAUUAAGGAAAAAUUGGUCGUUAGAGUUCGUUGGCGACUAUAACUAGCCUAUUAAUAAAUUAAGUGAACCUCCCUUGCAUCAAUGAUCGGGUAAGUGAACUGUGUCUGAGUAGUUAUAUCCUUGGCUAGAAUUUAUCUAUUCUUGAUUUAAUUCCUGCCUAUAUUCGUGCUAGUUAAUUAUUUAUUUUUAGUGAAUUGCUUAAUUAUUUUUUAGUUUUAGUCCGAUAAAAUCCCCCUUUAUCAAUUGGAAUCUCAAAGAGACAAAUAUCCCAGUCUUUGAGGAGACGACCCUACUUGCCACUGUUUACUAUUUAGUAAACUUUGUCAACUAAUUAAUUCUGGUAUAUCGGAUUAAGCAAACUCUUCGGGAACAGGGUGAAUCAAGUAACCCAUUGCACACCUAGAGUCCCUGCUCCUGUACCUAGGAUUAAUUAUUGACUGCUUUUAGUGGUAGUUAGGUUCUAUUUUUAUUAUUGCACAGGCUCGACCCCUGCCAUUUUUCUUUCCCAAUAUUGCCUAACUUACCUUAUUCAAGAUGACAAACGUCUUAUAAGGUGUUUGAUAAGAAGGUUUCAACACAAGGAAUGGAUUUUAAUUCCAGUCAUACCUGUACAUAAUGUUUGUUUAAGAUCAAUCUGAAUAAAUUAAUAGGUUUCACAAAUUCUUUCUAUAAGUUUUUAUGAUUAAUCAUUAAAAAGUAUGGUUUCACUUAUCCAUUGUGUUUUUAUUUUUUAAAACAUCUUACUAUAAAGUUAACAAAUAUUUUAUGGGUUUUUAUCAAAUCUAUUGUUGUGUCUCUAAUUUAUCAUGCCCAUAGCAAUAGUGAUUAUGAAAUUUGAACCAAACAGCUCUUAGUAUAUUCCAACAUUUGAAAACAUCACCCUUGAUAUUUUGUUGGCACAGAAAAAUACACGCACACAUGCGGAAUCUUUUUUUUUUUUUUGUUUUUUUAACUGGAAUAGUAUUUUUAUUUAUUUUAUAAAAAUUUUGACAGAGUUUCCCGAUAAAAUUGAUGAAACUCCCUGUCAACAAACCCAAAUUCAAGAAAAUAACCACAAGAUAGUUAUAUACUGUAUCUAAUGCUAUUGCCUUUUAAUCUGUCGAAUAGAUGCCACUCCUAUCCUAUAAAGAUGGAAAUUACUGGUGUAAAGAUGCAGCUACCAAAUAAAUGUCCUCCCAGUUUUGCGUAUUACCAACUUCAACUCAAUCUAUUAUUGUCCCAGACACCGUGUACGAAACGAAGGAAGCCCUAAACGAUCCAAUCUAAUAGCCCCCCUGACCAAUUGAGGCAAGUCCGAAAAUCUAUUAAACACAUGUCUUGCGCUAGAGUCUGCACCAAAAUUUGCCAGACGAUCUGCCGGUGCGUUUGUCUCCCUGUAGCAGUGUGUGAUCGAUUGGAAAUACUGCUUGAACAUCAUCAACUCAUCCAGAUCUCUCUGCAGACGCCAAGGACAAGCACUAGUUCCUUGAACAAUCUGAACCAGGGUGAGAGAGUCCGCCUCUAAGUUUAACUCCAAGCACCCUCGAGCCACACAAAGUCUAACGCCCCAUAGCAAAGCUCGAAGUUCCGCCUGCAUGCUGGUUAUGACUCUGAAGUGCUCCGCGUAGCCGAACAAAAAAUUUCCUCGACUAUCCCGCACAAGCCCACCCCCCACUCCUUCCUGGGUUCCCUCGAGAGCAUCCAUCUGAAUUCAACUUAUAUCCUUCUCGCGGAAUUACCCAGUAAACUAUUUUAAUAACCAUCCGCCUUUGAUGACUACCCAACUCGCGAAGCAUCCCUUCCCAUGUGAGGGCAGAACACUGUACCUCCGGGAACCGUGACUAAAGGAAAUCAUGCUGAAGUUGGAUAAUCCGAUUCACCGUAACCCCGACCCUUAUCUUCCGACCUUUAAACACACCCUCAUUCCUAGCCUUCCACAAACCCAGCAUACCACCAAAAGAAGUAUAUUAUGCACAAAUUUUACAUAAAUAUUAGUCCCCCUCCUUAACCAGCAAGACCACACCAUGUGACACACUGUAUGUACCCCACUAAACUCACCAGCAGUAUUCUCGAAAUGACGUCAGACCAAUCGUGCCCCCUCGCCUGAGCAAAACACAUGAUUCAAGUCCUCCUCCUGGGGGUUCUGAUAACACCAGCAUCUAGACGAGCCAGAAACCCCAAAUCUCUGUAGGCGAUCCAUAAGAGGAAGCCUCCCCUGUAGUAAUCUCAGCAUAAAUAAAGAAACCUUGGCUGGAAGACCCUGCUGCCAUAUAUGGCCAAAGAGCCAAGAGCUGUUACCGAAAUGACGGAUCAGUGAGUAAGCCGAUGCAGUGGAAAAGAUGCCCGAGUUCGUAAGCGCCCACACCAUUCUAUCAUUGCCCCUACCAGGAGGAGGGUCAAGCUCCAAAACCUGCUUGACCAAUUUUCCAUCCAAGAAUUGACGGAGCAUUUCCACAUUCCAGGCCCUCCGAUCGACAAAAUCAGCCACCGAAUAAUCAUGGAAGACAGAGACCUUGUCGCAAAGUGCACCUGACCCCAUCCAAUUGUCAAAAUUCAAUGCACCCUCACGAAUUACCCAGGUAAUAUUGUCCUCCCCAAAACGCUGUAUCAUGACCAUCCUCCGCCAAGCCUGGGAUCCCCGAUGCUCAAUAUUAGCAAAACAAGGGUGUUGUCCUGCGCAGUACUUCUGGCACAUAAAUGCUGCCCAUAGUGAUUGUUGUUGUCGAAAUUUCCACCAGAGUUUAAUGGAAAAUGAGUCGUAGACCUGCUUCAACCCCUGCAGACUCACUCCCCCUUCAUCCCUCGGCCGACACAAAUCUGCCCAACGCAUCCAAUGGAACUUGUCCCUCGAAUCAGUAUACCCCCAUAAGAAUUUGGCAAACAAUUUCUCCAGUGCCACCAACAUCCCCUUUGGAGGAGACACGGUUGCCAGCAAAUGAACUGGCAUAGAGGCUAGCACGCUCUGAAUCAAUACCACCUUGCCCCCUGGCGACAAAAUCUGGUUCUUCCAAGAUAGAAUCCGGGUCGCCACUGCAUUGUAUGUAUCCGCAUAGUAAACCUUCUUGCUCCUUCCAGCAUACAAGGGGUAACCAAGGUACCUGAUCGAAAAAGCCCGUCUAUUAUACCCCAGUACUUGGCUAACAACCACUACCCUUUGAGAGGGAGCCCGUGGAUGAGUAAGGAAACAACUCUUCUAAGGGUUGAGCUGCUGACCUGAAGCCACACUAUAAUCUUGUAGAACUCGUUUGAUCAAUCGUAGGGACCACCUGCCCCCACUUGAAAAGAUAAUAACGUCAUUGGCGAAUGCCAAAUGCGUAACUAUAGGACACCGAGGGGGUACUCUAAACGGGGUAAAGCCCCUCUGUGUGGGUAGCACAUUGAGGGCUCGAGACAACACCUCAGCUCUAAUAACGAAUAAGGCCGGUGAAAUAGGAUCUCCUUGCCGUAAACCCCGUGACGACCUGAAAAAGCCAUGCGGACGACCAUUAACCAAUACCGAGAACCACACAUUCCAUAUUAAGCGCCAGAUCAUGUCUAUCCAGGUUUCACUGAACCCGAAAUGCCGCAUCACCUAUAGGAGAAAGGGCCAUGAGACUCUAUCAUAAGCCUUCAUCAUAUCUAACUUGAUGACCACGUUACCACCCCGAUUUGAUUUUCUGAUAUCCGCUACUAUCUCCUGAGCUAACAAGAAAUUACUGUAAUCUGCCUCCCUUGGACAAACCCGCUUUGCCGUGGAGAUAUAAUCUGGGGUAAUAUCGUCGCCAACCUUUUCGAUAACAGCUUGGAGAUGAUUUUGUUAGUAAAGUUGCACAGACUGAUUGGCCGAAACUGCGUGAAAUCUUGAAGAUUCUCCACCUUGGGCAACAACACAAUCGAGGUAGCCGUGAUACUCCUAGGUAGCUCAGCCCCGCAGAAAAAGCUGAUGAUCGCUCGAUAUAUAUCCGAUGCCACCACCUCCCAAGCAAAGGUAAAGAAUUUCCCUGUAAACCCGUCCGGGCCUGCUGCGCUCUCCCCAUCCAUAGCAAAGACUAUGUUUUUAACUUCUGUAAGAGAUGGAACGUUCGUUAACCGUGAGUUCUCCUGUUCCGUUACCAAUUUCGGUAUUACCUCCAGACCGGUAUGGGAGGGUAGGCCUCCCUCUGUCGUGAACAGCUCCUGAAAGAAUCCCACCCCUGCCUCCCCAAUCUGGGACUCCCCUUCGAUCCACUCUCUAGCGGCACCCCUAACUCGAUGAAUCACCACCCUACGUCUCUUUUCCGUAACCAAAGAGUGGAAGUAUUUGGUGUUCCUAUCUCCAUCCAAAAGCCACUUAACUCGCGCCUUUUGUUUCCAAAAACCUUCCUCAACUACAAGCACACGUCUCAACCGAGCCCAAGCAUGAUGUAACUCGCUCCACCGUUGCUCUGUCGAAUCCAGGUCGUACCCCGUCUCAGCCUCGACUACCACAUGCUCUGCACUACGGGCCCCCUCAAAAAUAUCCCCGAAUGUCGUCCUAGACCAUUAAAAAAUAUGUAAAAAUAUGUCGUCCUAUCCCCGGAAUCAAUUUUGACAUAUAUAAAAAUAUGUAGAAAGAGGAGGAGAAUAAAUAUUCAACAAAUUCUCAAUAAUAUAUUAGAGUAAAUCUUAUAUACACUAAUAAUAUAUACACUAUCACCGUUGAAUUCAUAAUAUGUGUGCAAAAUUCAAAUUCAAAUUUCGCAUACUUAUUAUUCACCCUAUUCAAUUCUUUUUUUCUUCUCUUCUGGAGAAAUAAUCUCGAUUAAUCAAUUUGGCAUUUAUCUGUUUUGAGCCACUCGUGGGUAGUAGAUUCAUAAGGUGCUGUCAUGCAACCUAAAAAAAAAAAAAAAGAUGUUGUAGUGUAACAUGAGAUGAAGAGAGAAAUGUUGCUGCCAUACUGUUGGUGCCACCGAUGAAAUCCUCCAUCAAUACAUAUUUUUAUAGGCAAAUUACACUUUACCCUCCUGUGGUUUAGUAUUUUUAUAUAUAAGUCUCAUAUAAUUUCAAAAAGUAUACAUAAUCCUUCAUGGUUUGAAUUAAAGUGUCAAAGUGACGAAAUUUGCAAUCCAUAAUGAAAUCACCUAGAAUAUAAAAAAUACCCCUAUGUAAAGUUAAAAAUUAUUUUUUAACCAUAAGGGGAUUUUGUGUAUAUUUUAAAAAUCAAAAGGGGGUUAUAUGGUAAAAUAUUAAACCAUAAAGAGAUUAUAUGGUAAAAUAUAAAAUUAUACGGGAUUAGUGUGUCGUGUAUAUUAUGUUUAUAUAUUUUGAUCACUUCAAAAUACGGAAAUAAUGAAAUAUAUGUUAAAUAUUUAGUGAUAAAAAUAGUAUUCUUGUUAAGGAGCAAAUCAUAAUAAAAAAUAAAUAACUGAUUCAAAAUAAGUAGAAUGCAACUAAAAGAAACAUGAUAUAUUUUGUAUAUAAAAGAAGCAGUAAAAAUAUUUUCAAUGACAUUAAAAAGUAAGUUUAAUCCUAUUGGAAACAGUUAGAUAUUAUGGAUUUAAAACUAAAUUUGUCAAUAGUUAGUGGGAGUUAAAACGGCAAAAUCAUAAGAACUUUAAAAUUUUCUGACAUUGAGUUCAUAACUCUAAAAUUUAAUAUCAUAAAGCAACGAAACAAAAAUAAAUCAUAAGAACUUUGGCUCCAACUCUCAAUCAAAUUGUUACGCCUUGUAGGGGUGAGCAUCGAAUUCGAAGUCGGUAAUUCGGUAGGUUGAAAUCGGUAAUUUUCGGUAAGUGGUUCUGGAAAUAUUCGACCUAAUUCGCAUUCGAAAUAGGAAAUAUCGAAUUCGAAUUCAAUCCGAAUUGAAUUCGGUAAACGAAAAUUUACCGAUUUAAUCGAAUUCGUGAAAACUGCUUCUUAGGGCAUCGAACCAGUUGGAUGGAUCUGUUAACUACUUUGGAGAUUAUGACUGUGAUAUCAUGUGCAGCAAGAAGAAGAGGUGCAGACACUCCUAUGAUCUGAAUUGCUCUGCUCUGCAAUUUAACAGCAGCGGCAAUGGAUUUUGUAGCAACUCAUGGGACAGACUGCAAUGUUUUUCACUCUGGAUUGGCGUACCCCUUUGGGUUGCAGGAGAUUGCAGAGCAAUUCAGAGACCAUUCCCUGCUGGUCUUGAGGAUUGUCCCAAACUGGAGGAGAUCCAAAUCAAGGUUGAAGGAGAUUGCAGGGAAUGGUCAAAACAUGCACAGUACCCCUUUGGGUUGAGCACUCCGGUGUAGUAUCCUCGCUUAACCAAGAUGCAUUUGGAUUGUGGAGACACCAUAGGUUAUGCACAGACUGCACUGUCUGGGCAGAUGGAUUUGAGCCAAUGGGAACGAUUUUACCUGAUGGGAACGAAUACUAAUUUAGGGCAAAAGUCUGAAAUUGGAACAUCUGGACAUAAGGAUAUUAUUUCCUAUUUAACUUAAUUCGGAAUUUCGAAAUUGAAAACGGUAAUAAUUUACCAUUUUACCGAAAUAAAUUCGAAUUCGGUAAAUCCGAAUUCAAAAACUAUAAAACCAUUUUCGACCCUAAUUCGAUUCUAAUUAAUUCGAUAUCACCGAUUUACCGAUCGAAUUACCUAAUUACCGAAUUCGAAUUACCAAAUUCAAAUCGAAUUUGGUCGGUAAUUCGGUAAUUACCGUAAUUGCUCACCCCUAACGCCUUGUACUAAAACUACAAAAGUAAAAAUUGUUGGGGCUAUGAUACUAAUGAUGAUAGCUUUUGUCACUGGAUUGUGCAUUGUGCUGCAAAUCUUGAUAUUAUUGUUACUCUUAUAUCACCGUGAACUUUCUCUUGAGUAGCCCAAGAAACAGCACCUGUAUAUAGGGGUGAGCAUCGAAUUCGAAGUCGGUAAUUCGGUAGGUUGAAAUCGGUAAUUUUCGGUAAGUGGUUCUGGAAAUAUUCGACCUAAUUCGCAUUCGAAAUAGGAAAUAUCGAAUUCGAAUUCAAUCCGAAUUGAAUUCGGUAAACGAAAAUUUACCGAUUUAAUCGAAUUCGUGAAAACUGCUUCUUAGGGCAUCGAACCAGUUGGAUGGAUCUGUUAACUACUUUGGAGAUUAUGACUGUGAUAUCAUGUGCAGCAAGAAGAAGAGGUGCAGACACUCCUAUGAUCUGAAUUGCUCUGCUCUGCAAUUUAACAGCAGCGGCAAUGGAUUUUGUAGCAACUCAUGGGACAGACUGCAAUGUUUUUCACUCUGGAUUGGCGUACCCCUUUGGGUUGCAGGAGAUUGCAGAGCAAUUCAGAGACCAUUCCCUGCUGGUCUUGAGGAUUGUCCCAAACUGGAGGAGAUCCAAAUCAAGGUUGAAGGAGAUUGCAGGGAAUGGUCAAAACAUGCACAGUACCCCUUUGGGUUGAGCACUCCGGUGUAGUAUCCUCGCUUAACCAAGAUGCAUUUGGAUUGUGGAGACACCAUAGGUUAUGCACAGACUGCACUGUCUGGGCAGAUGGAUUUGAGCCAAUGGGAACGAUUUUACCUGAUGGGAACGAAUACUAAUUUAGGGCAAAAGUCUGAAAUUGGAACAUCUGGACAUAAGGAUAUUAUUUCCUAUUUAACUUAAUUCGGAAUUUCGAAAUUGAAAACGGUAAUAAUUUACCAUUUUACCGAAAUAAAUUCGAAUUCGGUAAAUCCGAAUUCAAAAACUAUAAAACCAUUUUCGACCCUAAUUCGAUUCUAAUUAAUUCGAUAUCACCGAUUUACCGAUCGAAUUACCUAAUUACCGAAUUCGAAUUACCAAAUUCAAAUCGAAUUUGGUCGGUAAUUCGGUAAUUACCGUAAUUGCUCACCCCUAACGCCUUGUACUAAAACUACAAAAGUAAAAAUUGUUGGGGCUAUGAUACUAAUGAUGAUAGCUUUUGUCACUGGAUUGUGCAUUGUGCUGCAAAUCUUGAUAUUAUUGUUACUCUUAUAUCACCGUGAACUUUCUCUUGAGUAGCCCAAGAAACAGCACCUGUAUAUAGGGGUGAGCAUCGAAUUCGAAGUCGGUAAUUCGGUAGGUUGAAAUCGGUAAUUUUCGGUAAGUGGUUCUGGAAAUAUUCGACCUAAUUCGCAUUCGAAAUAGGAAAUAUCGAAUUCGAAUUCAAUCCGAAUUGAAUUCGGUAAACGAAAAUUUACCGAUUUAAUCGAAUUCGUGAAAACUGCUUCUUAGGGCAUCGAACCAGUUGGAUGGAUCUGUUAACUACUUUGGAGAUUAUGACUGUGAUAUCAUGUGCAGCAAGAAGAAGAGGUGCAGACACUCCUAUGAUCUGAAUUGCUCUGCUCUGCAAUUUAACAGCAGCGGCAAUGGAUUUUGUAGCAACUCAUGGGACAGACUGCAAUGUUUUUCACUCUGGAUUGGCGUACCCCUUUGGGUUGCAGGAGAUUGCAGAGCAAUUCAGAGACCAUUCCCUGCUGGUCUUGAGGAUUGUCCCAAACUGGAGGAGAUCCAAAUCAAGGUUGAAGGAGAUUGCAGGGAAUGGUCAAAACAUGCACAGUACCCCUUUGGGUUGAGCACUCCGGUGUAGUAUCCUCGCUUAACCAAGAUGCAUUUGGAUUGUGGAGACACCAUAGGUUAUGCACAGACUGCACUGUCUGGGCAGAUGGAUUUGAGCCAAUGGGAACGAUUUUACCUGAUGGGAACGAAUACUAAUUUAGGGCAAAAGUCUGAAAUUGGAACAUCUGGACAUAAGGAUAUUAUUUCCUAUUUAACUUAAUUCGGAAUUUCGAAAUUGAAAACGGUAAUAAUUUACCAUUUUACCGAAAUAAAUUCGAAUUCGGUAAAUCCGAAUUCAAAAACUAUAAAACCAUUUUCGACCCUAAUUCGAUUCUAAUUAAUUCGAUAUCACCGAUUUACCGAUCGAAUUACCUAAUUACCGAAUUCGAAUUACCAAAUUCAAAUCGAAUUUGGUCGGUAAUUCGGUAAUUACCGUAAUUGCUCACCCCUAACGCCUUGUACUAAAACUACAAAAGUAAAAAUUGUUGGGGCUAUGAUACUAAUGAUGAUAGCUUUUGUCACUGGAUUGUGCAUUGUGCUGCAAAUCUUGAUAUUAUUGUUACUCUUAUAUCACCGUGAACUUUCUCUUGAGUAGCCCAAGAAACAGCACCUGUAUAUAGGGGUGAGCAUCGAAUUCGAAGUCGGUAAUUCGGUAGGUUGAAAUCGGUAAUUUUCGGUAAGUGGUUCUGGAAAUAUUCGACCUAAUUCGCAUUCGAAAUAGGAAAUAUCGAAUUCGAAUUCAAUCCGAAUUGAAUUCGGUAAACGAAAAUUUACCGAUUUAAUCGAAUUCGUGAAAACUGCUUCUUAGGGCAUCGAACCAGUUGGAUGGAUCUGUUAACUACUUUGGAGAUUAUGACUGUGAUAUCAUGUGCAGCAAGAAGAAGAGGUGCAGACACUCCUAUGAUCUGAAUUGCUCUGCUCUGCAAUUUAACAGCAGCGGCAAUGGAUUUUGUAGCAACUCAUGGGACAGACUGCAAUGUUUUUCACUCUGGAUUGGCGUACCCCUUUGGGUUGCAGGAGAUUGCAGAGCAAUUCAGAGACCAUUCCCUGCUGGUCUUGAGGAUUGUCCCAAACUGGAGGAGAUCCAAAUCAAGGUUGAAGGAGAUUGCAGGGAAUGGUCAAAACAUGCACAGUACCCCUUUGGGUUGAGCACUCCGGUGUAGUAUCCUCGCUUAACCAAGAUGCAUUUGGAUUGUGGAGACACCAUAGGUUAUGCACAGACUGCACUGUCUGAGCAGAUGGAUUUGAGCCAAUGGGAACGAUUUUACCUGAUGGGAACGAAUACUAAUUUAGGGCAAAAGUCUGAAAUUGGAACAUCUGGACAUAAGGAUAUUAUUUCCUAUUUAACUUAAUUCGGAAUUUCGAAAUUGAAAACGGUAAUAAUUUACCAUUUUACCGAAAUAAAUUCGAAUUCGGUAAAUCCGAAUUCAAAAACUAUAAAACCAUUUUCGACCCUAAUUCGAUUCUAAUUAAUUCGAUAUCACCGAUUUACCGAUCGAAUUACCUAAUUACCGAAUUCGAAUUACCAAAUUCAAAUCGAAUUUGGUCGGUAAUUCGGUAAUUACCGUAAUUGCUCACCCCUACCUGUAUAACUACAUUUUGAAAUACGGGAAGCUGGCUGUUUUUGGUAUAUAGGUCCAUUUAAAUUCUGGAUUCAAGAUUUGACCCAAGUAGAUUUGUUGUGGUUAAAAAAAAAAAAAAAAAAGAGGAUUCGUGGUGGUAGUAAAUUUCACCUGAACUAGCACUUGUAUUUUUUUUUUUUUUUGGUAAAAAAGCCUCCUAAACGGAGAAAUAAUCCACGUACUUGGAGGCUUUGAGCGUUUGAGCUAUGAAAUCCAUUUGGGCACCAUCUCAGUUCAUCCUUUUAUUCACCCUAUUCGAUUCUUUUUUUUUUUUCUGGAGAAAUAAUCUUGAUUGAUCAAUUGGGCAUUUAUCUAUUUUGAGUCAAUCGUGUUCAGAAGGUGCUCUCAUGCAACCUAAAUAAUUUUUUUUUUUUUGCAUCUUGAGAUAAAGAGAAAGAAAUGCUACUGCAAUAGUGUUGGUGCCACUGAUGAAAUCAUCCAUCAAUACAUACACUUAUAGGUGAAAGUCAAUUAAUUUUUUAUGGGAGUUCCAAAAUUUGAAUGUGAGUUUAAAAAAUUGUCAAGUUGUCGAUACCGAUGUUACCUAAAAUGUGUUGUGAAUGAAAUUGUCAAACUUCCAUCAAUGUGAUCACAACCUUAUUUGGUAAUAAAAAGGCAAUAACCUAUGUAUGCAUGGAAAGACCAAUGUUCCUCAAGUUCGUCCACAAUGUGUUAUUCGUAACUUAAUUGUUGUUCAUGAUGGUAUAUAAGUUAAAUAAUAAAUUCUCCCAUCUCCUAUCCGUUUUUUAAAUUUUACACUUCUUCCUUGUUUCGGGGAGAGGGGAACUAAUGAGAUUGUCUCCAAUUAUUGAUACUUCAUGGCCUCUGGUGUUCAUGAUGGUGUAUAAGUCAACUAAUAAACUUCCCUAUCUCCUCUCCGUUUUUAAAAUUUACACUUCUUCCUUGUUCCCCCGGGUCAUCCCCAAUUAUUGAUACUUCAUAGCCUUUGGGCACAAAGAGGCUACUCCACAUUUGGAGCCCCCAUGAGGCCUUACUCUUGCAAAAUUUUCAUUCAGUUUUUAUGGACUAAAAAUCUUAAUUGGGUCUGAGUCCUAAUUGUGUCUGCCCAACAGUGGCCCCAUUGUCCUUCUGCUGUGAAUGCCUCAUCUUUUAUUUUUUAUUUUUUUUGGUACAAAAUGCCUCAUCUCUUGCAGCUACAUCAACAUUUCCUGUUACCCAAUUUGUGAGUUGAGAAUUCUGACGACAUCCUCAUCUAAAUCUAUUGUGGUAGUCGUGGUUCCUGGACACUGGAUUUGGGGCCUUAUAAGUUCUAACUCAAAUUGGUUGUGUGAAUCUAACCACAUCGAGUGCAAAUUAAUAUAAUUUGGGUGCAAUCGAGAUUUUUGUACAAAUUUUGUUGUCUAAACUACAAAUUCAAGUUUUAGAUCAAAUUUAUGCUAAUUUACAUCAAAUGUGAGAAUUUCAAAAACAAUUUGAAUUGAAUAAAACUCAACUUUUGAGGUCUCGAAUCCUUGAAUACUUCCCUUUUGUAGUGCUUAUCAACUAAUUUAUUGAUUGUUUGAAAAACCAACUCCUCCAAUAUCUUUGUGCUUUUUUUUUUGGGGCAAAUUUCACGUUACCCCCCUGUGAUUUAGCAUUGUUUUACAUAACCCCCCCUAUGGUUUCAAAAUCUAUAUAUAACCCCCUUAUAGUUUAGAUUAAAGUGUCAAAGUGACGGGAAUGAUCAUUUGUAACGGAGCCAUCUAAAAUAUCAAAAAUACCCUUAUGUAAAGUUGAAAAUUAUUUAUUAACCAAGGGGGGUUAUGUGUAUAUUUUGAAAAUCAUAAGGGGGUUAUAUGAUAAAGUAUUAAACCAUAAGGGGGUUAUAUGGUAAAAUAUACAAAUCAUACGGGAUUAGUGUGUCAUGUGUUUAUAAGGGUAAUUUCGACAUUUUUAGAAGUUUCGUUACAAAUAACUAUUUCCGUCACUUUGACACUUUAAUCCAAACCAUGAAGGGGUUAUGUAUAGCUUUUGAAACCAUAGGGAGGUUAUGUGAAAAAUGCUAAACCACAGGGGGUAAAAUGUAAUUUGUCCUUUUUUUUUGGUUCCUUGCAAUACAAAUAAAACCCCCCUACAAACGCAAUUUUUUUUAAUGUUCCGCUGCAAAAAUACAAAAGUUCCUCCACUUUUAUUUUCUUCAUUAUUUUGUUAAUCUGGAUAUAAUGUAAAUUAUGUAGCAGUUCUUCAAGCCAAUCUUUUAGAUGCCAAGUCGAAAGGAUUAAAUUUAACUGCCAUUCCGAUGCAAAUUACAAAAAAACCACUGCAACGAAUAACGGGGAAACUAGGAGCUCCUCAAGUUUUCAAACAUAUAGCUGGGAAUUAGACCCAAAGACCGGCCAACCACACUGUUAUUUUUUCACCCCUAAAAUGGAGUCUAUUUAUAUAUACAAAAAGAAAACAUCAGACUGUAUAUUUUCAAGUCCAAUCCAAAGCAUAAUAAAAACCCAAGUUGUUGGAUGAAAGUGGGAGAGAGCAGCAAGUUCUUAUAGUAAGAAAAGAAUCAAAUUUUUUAUUAAGUUACCAUUGAAUUAUAACACAACUAGUCCUCGGCUUCGGUCAAAUCCUGACGAUAUCGUUUAUAUAGACGUAGAGGGUGAGUUACGAAAUAGUCAGCUUCGCUAUGCUUAAAUCUAGUUGUAUAGAAACAUUUCCUGUCCUCGUAUUUUCGCAAAAAGGUGAACCAUAUGACAUGGCCAAGCCAAGCAGCGAGGGCAAACGGCACGAUCAUGACAGCCAAAUUUGGUAGCACUGCGUACAAGCCAGUGAGAAAUGCUAUCAUCAUUGACAUCACAGCCGCAAAAAUUCGUUCCCGAGUUACCCGGACAAUAAACAACUUAAGCCGGUAGUUUUUUGUCUGAAAGAGCCUGAUAAGUCCAAGCACUGCAUCUAUGGAGGUAAACAUUGCCAAGGAAUCUGAAAUAACAAAUGUAAUAAAAGCUGCUUUCUUGCUUAGAACUGCCAUGCCUUUUGUGCGGACCGUCACUGUAGUACCCACCUGGAAUUGUAAAACCAGCUGCAAAAGUGACUGUUGCGAUCAGUGUAGCCACAAUCGAAUAAUUCGCAGCUAGUUUUUCCACUUUUUUUACUUCAUCAGGAUUAGAUACUCGUAAGUUCUUCUUUACGGUGGCAACAUUUCGGUACCCUCGAGUGCCACCCGCUUGCUCCAAAAACGAAUUGAGAAACAAAAUUGUAACAAUGAGGUCGCUGCUGAUUUUAUUGGACCGCUAAAAUAUGAAGCGACUCUUCCAACACUACUUGCACGUGAUAGAUAAGGAUGUUAGAUAAUAUGCAAAACCAUCAUUGAUUUGUCCGGUUGAAAGCAUCAUGUUUUCAAAUUUUGUAUGGACUAAAAUGUUCGUGUUAAACAGUGAAUCUAAUAGUGGGAAGAAUUUUUAAAGGUUAGACGAGGAAAGUUAAACAAAGUAAGUAGAUAAUAUUGAUCAUAAAUCAAAAUAGAAAGUUUGCAUUCAAAGCAGACAUGAUGUGUGUGUGUGUUGGGGGGGGGGGGGGGGAGGGGACAGUUCAAGAAGAGAAUAGAGAAAUUAGUUUUGAAAUUUAAAACGAAAACAGCACUACUUUUCCUUGAAUUAGUUUUGAAAUUUAAAACGAAAACAGCACUUAUUUUUCUUCUUCUUUUCUUUUUCAUAAACCAUACUGUGUUCUUCUUGGUUUAUAAAGAGCCAUGCAGCAACUGCAUUUAUACAUUGGUGAGUUCGUGUUCAAUUGUUGUAUUUUCUAUAGGAUUUAAUGUAGUAUAUUUUUUAAAAAUGUCUAGUGUAUUUAUGAAUGGAAUUAACACUUUUUAAAGAAAAACUAAAAUUAAGACUUAACAAUAAUAUGAUGUAAGUGUGCAUCACAAUAUUUUCUACAUAAAUUGAAAGAAUUCUAGGAGCAUCACAGACACACGGCCUAAGAAAUUAAAAAUGAGUGUCUGAAAAAUGGGGGUAAAGAUCCCUCAAAUUUAAGUAUAAGCAAAUAUAGUAACGAUGGACUUGAGAGAAUUAGUGGCUAAGAAUAUUCAUAACUCACAAAAUCAAGUUUCUUAUUUUUCCAAAAGUAAAAUCUUGUAAGUCAAGUAUCCAUACAUGAAAAUUUGACAGAACUUUUUAAUAGUCAAUGUGACCAUGCAAAGGAGCGGAAAAAAAAAUUCAUCUUAUACCUGUCUUUGUGAAAGUUCAUCUGCCCGUAAUAUUCUGUCUAAAGGCGUGGAGUUCGAAUAGUCAAAAGAAUUGACAUCGACAGAAUGGUGUUUGACAAGGCUACUCCCAUCUAAGUUUUUGGUAGCAACAUAGAGGUGGAGAGGGGUAUUUCCUGUAUUAUCCCUUUGAUUGAUGAGUUCAGAAGCCCAAGAAUUUUUCAGGACGAAUUCAAGCACUUCUCUUUGUUCAUAUUUUACUGCAAGGUGAAGGAUAUUCUGACGUCUAUUAGUAUAUAUCUCCCAACAAUCUGGGCAAUGGGAUAACAGCUCUUGCACCACAGCAACAUGUCCAUGAAUGACCGCUAUAUGUAGAGCAGUCUUGGAGUCGUCAUUGCGGGCAGCAACAUAAGCCGUAGACCUCUCAGCAGAUAAUAAUAGCCUUACCACAUCUUCAUGAUUGAGUUUAGCAGGAUGAUUGAGUUUAGCAGCAUAGUGAAGUGCAGUCCAUCCAAAUUUAUCCACCUUUUUGAUAAGAUUAGGCAGCUUUUCCAAAAUCAGCUCCACGAGUUCUGCAAUCAGCAGAUAUUUAGUUAAAGAUACUGUAGUUCAUUAAACCAUAAGAAUCAAUUACAACAACUGAGAUAUACUCGAGUGAAACUUCAAAUUGUCAUUUUAGGAUUAGUUAUUAAUGAUUAGUAGAUAGGAAUGGCAAGGGAUAGGAAAAAACCAGAUUAUAAAAUAGUGUGUGUAUAUGUGUGUGUAUACAUAUAUAUUCUAUCAAGUUUCAAUCUUAAAAGCCAUUAGCACAUAACACUAACACAAAUAAUAACCUUCCAUGAAAUGUCCUACUUUGCUAUUGAAUUUAGAGAUUUCAUUACUGUUCCUAUUUCUUUGGUUGCACCUGACUCUGCUUUUAGUACCAGGGAAAGUGUGGUCAGCUUAUAAGGAAUUAGGAUUCAACCAAACACAUUGAAAGCUUUAAUGUGAUCAGCAAACCAAUUGUGGAAUCCAAUUGGAGGUAGAGUACAUUCAUACCUUCUACUUUCCUUAUUUUUAGUUUUACUUAUUCAAGUGUUUGAUUAGAUAAUUAUUCUUUUCUCUUCAUAUUUCUUAUUCUCAUAUCUAAUGCUUAAGAGGAGUCAAAAGUGAAAUGAUUGAAGUUUAUUUCCAUUGAAGAUGAUAGAUUAAAUCAUAAGAAAGAAUAUACCAUUUCAUGAUCGGGAGUCAAAAGAAAGAAUGUACCAAUUUAUCUUAUAAAAGGGAUUCUUGUAGCAUUUAGUUCCUAUUUCAUUUUGACCAUUUGAGCAUGAUCUUUGGAGUGAUAUUUCUUUUUGCUAUAUUAUAUGUGAUAGGAUUGUUAACCACAAGCUCAGUGGCCAUCACCAAAGCUUUAAGGCUUGGUCAGACGUUCAACGCUGCUUUCUACCAUUUGCCAAAAAAUAUGUGAUAGGAUUGUUAAACUUUGAGUUUAUCCCCUGUUGUUACUCUGAUGGGGUGUUUUGAUUUUGAUGUAUUAAAAUUUUAAAUUAACAAAAUCAGUUUCUAGAUUUUUCAACUAUUUAGAUGCAUGUAUUUUCAUGAUUGAUUUGACGAGUUUAAGUAGUGCUAAAUGCUACCCCAUGGUUUAAUCCAAUCCCAUGAGCAAGUAGUUUUUAGUAACAGGAAUUAAGCUCGUAGAGUUACUUAAUAUAGUUUAGCAAGGGACUUACCUAAAUGGGCAGUAGAGUUACUUAAUAUAGUUUAGUAGAGUUAAUAUAGUUCGGUAAGGGACUUAUCUAAAUGGGUAAGAGUUUAGUAAAAAAGAAAUCAGAGGAUAUCGUAUCCGCUACCAUUAGGGAUGGCAACGGGGCGGGGUUGGGGCGGGGGACCCCUCCCCCAUCCCCCGCCCCGCUACCUACAAACUCCCCCCGCCCCCGCCCCGUCCCCCGCCUCCCACUCCCCCCGCCCCGCCCCGCUUCCCCCGCGGGGGCACCCGCGGGGUUAAUAAAAUUUUCCCCGCGGGGCUAAUAAAAUUUUAUUAUAAUUAAAUUUUAAUAAAUAAUCAAGUACUAAAAUAUCAACACAUCAUCAAGUUAUUAUUUAUUUUAAUUUUACAAUUGCAACUCAUAAAAACAAUCAAACAAAAGUUAUUUGAAUACGAUCCAACAUGAUGAAAUAAAUACAACUAAAAUAGUUAAAUUUUAACUUUUGGUACAAAUACAAUCACUAAUUCAUUAUUGUGUUUGUGCUUUUUUUUUUAGAAAAAAGUGUUAUUCUAUUAAGUGUAAUUAGAAAUUUAGUAUAAAUGUAUUAGUAAAUUUAGUAUAACUAAUUAAUAAAUUCUAUUAGUAGACAUGUCUAAUUAUUCGUAUAAUUGAUAAUAUCAAUUAUAUUACAUACACUAAUAUACAUUAUAUAAUACAUCUAACUAAUAAUAUCAUUAUCAUAAGUUUAUAACUAAUUAAAUUACAUAUUAUAUAUAAUUAUAUAUAUAAUUUUUUUUGCGGGUGGCGGGGCGGGGGUAUACUCCCCCGCCCCCCGCCCCGUUUCUAAACGGGGGGAAAAAAGUCCCCCCCGCCCCCGCCCCACCCCCCGCCCCAACCCCCGCCCCGAGAGCCCCCCGCGGGGCGGUUGCCCGCGGGCACCCGCCCCCAUUGCCAUCCCUAGCUACUAUUCCUUCCAAUAGAUAAAUCAUAUACUAAGUCAUUAUGCCAUUUUAGUAUGUUCACUAAAUUUGAUCGUUUGAGAUUAUCGAAAGACCAAAUUUACUAUUGCAUUGAAGUAGUUGGAAUUUUUAAUUCAAAAGAGCAUGUGCCAAUAAUUUACAAAACCGAGCACAUUUUUUUUUCCUGCAAGGCUACAACUUUUAAUUUUUUUUCCUCACAAACUGCUCCAAAAUCCAUUUGUCUCUGUUAUUCUUCUCUUAACUUCAGCAACUCAUAUUUACUUUUUAGUCUAAAUCUCAAUUUUCAAUAAAUUCACCUUAAAAAAAAGCUCAGGUCUUUUUUUUUUAAAAAAAAAAAGAGCUCAUGUCUUAAACUCUAGUAAAUUAACAUUUUUCCUCGUAAAUAUCAGAGUUCUGGCCCCAAGAUUUUUACGGAAAUCUAAAAAGUACACCAUCAAGCAUACAUCUUUCCUCAAUACUCAAUUUCUGGUUCCAUGAUGGUGGAUGUGGUAGAAUAGCAUCCAUAUGUAAAAUUGAAGACAUUUGCAAAUCUCGGCGGGAAAUUUCCUAGUUGUCUCAAUUUUUGAAUGUUUUUGGAUGUGAAUAACUUUUUUCAAUUUCAAAUGCACUUCGAAGGCAUGUAAGUCAUUUGUUCCUUGUUGUUUUCCUUGUUAUUUUUUCCUUGUAAGUCAUUCUCAAAUGGACUUGGGAAAAGUACCUUUUGUUAAUGUUGAAUGUGUUGCUUUCUUUUAAUUGGUCUAAAAAAAGAAAAGCUAAAGUUGGAUGUUAAUCUUUCAAGUAAAAUAUGCUUUAUCCCCCUGUGAUUUAGCACUUUUUCAUAUAAUACCCUAUAGUUUCAAAAGCUAUACGUAACUCUUUCAUGAGUUGGACUAAAAUGUUAAAGUAACGGAAUUUGAAUUCUAUAAUAGAGUUAACUAAAAUGUCAAGAGCACCCCUAUGUAAUAUUGAAAAUUAUUUAUUAACAACAGAGAAAUUAUGUAUAUAUUUUAAAAAUCAUAAGGAGGUUACGUAGUAAAAUAAUAAAUCAUAAAAGAGUAUAUGGUAAAAUGUGGGAUCAUAAGAGGUUAAAGUGUUAUGCAUAUUAUGUUUAUAUAUUUUGAUUAUUUUAACCAUUUUACUUUUUAAAUAAGAGUAAUCUCGACGUAUCUGUAGGUUCAAUUACAAAGGAUCAUUUUCCGUCAUUUUGGUACAUUGAUCCAAAUCAUGAUUGAGUUAUCUAUUGUUUUUGAAACUAAAGAGAGUUAUGUGAAAAAUAGUUGGCAACGGGUACAAACUCCCCCCGCCCCCCCCAUCCCCCGUCCCCCACUCCCCCCGCCCCGUCCCCACCCCGCCCCGCUGAUAGGGUAUAAUUUGUUAGUAAAUUUAUUAUUGAUUUCCCCUUCUAUCCCUGACAAAUAUUGUGUUAAUUGCUGAUAUUUACUCAUAUUUGGUAUUUGGAAUCAAUUUCAGGAGUGAAGCAGAAAAUUACCAAAAAGGAGGGACUUGUAUGGAAAAAUGCAGACUUCUAAGGGCUUCAACCUUUGGGUCCUUGAAUUGGUGGGGACCACAAGCUAGUGCAAGGCAUUUAGUCAUUUGGGCUUUUCAAAGAAAGUAACGUAGAGAGACUUGGAACAACAAGUACUUUGGAGGCUUUGUCCACAUGUGCGGGGACCACGGAUAAGAAGCAUGAGUCAUUUGGACUCUAGGAAAAGAAACGUACAACACUUUGAAUUUGGUGUGGGGACCACUAGAGAUAGCAUUAGACUUCCUUUUGGCUUUAAAAAGGGAGAAACGUACGAGAGGUUUAUGAAUCAAUAGUUUUAGUUUAGGAUUUUAGCAUAGUUUUAGAUUUCUUUUCUUAGCUCUUUCGCAUGGUUGUUCUCCAUUAAUGGAGGACUAACCUCUUAAUUCUAGUCAAGGGGACAACUGAAGACUUGGUUCAACAAUUACUGUGAGAUCGAAUUUAUUUUAAUUGUUUCCUCCAUUUAUUGGUAUUCAUAUGUUUCCUACUUUUAACUGUUAUAGCUCGUGUGAGUGAUUGAAUAGAUGCGCAAUAUUUAAUUAUUCACAUAGGCUAUUUUGCUAAAUAGGGAUAAUUGAAUUCGUAAUUGUUCGUUAUCUUUAUCUCAGUAGCAACUGGCGUAAUUGGGUUUGUGUCAGGGGAACAUACGAUCUAACUUAAACAAACCCUCGUAGCGUGUUUGUUAGUUAGGAUUGGGUCUUUCUAAUUCUUAAUGCAAUCUAGAAAUUAAAUCCUACGGUCGUACCUAGGGUUGUUUUUGUGUUAGAGAAAUAGUUAACGGUCGUACCUUAACUAUCGAGAAAGUAAGGAAAGGUUGGUUGUUUAUCGCGUGCAUGGCAACUAUAACUAAUCUAUUAAUAACUGUGAAAUUAUCUGUGAAUCAAUGAUCAGUGCCUGAACCAUUUUUGAAGUGUACCCUUGGCUAGAGUUUCUCCAAUUAUUUCUUUUAAUUAAUUAUUUUCUGCAGUUAAUUUAUUUAGUUAGCAUUCAAUCCAAAACCCCCCAUACUUUGGAUUCUAAAAGAAACGAAUUAUCCCCAGUCCCUGUGGAUUCGACCCUACUCACCGCUAUAUACAAAAUCUGUAUUUUUCUUGAGUAGGUAAUUAUUAUUGCACAGGUUCGGCACCUGUCAAUUUUUGGCGCCGCUGCCGGGGACUGGUGCCAGAUUAAUUUGUUUCUUUUUGAGUUCAUCUUGUUUUUAUUUUUAUUUAUUUAUUUUUCUCUUAUUUUUUUUUAUAUAGUUUAUGGCUUCUAACACUCCGUAUUUUGGUGAUAUACUGGAUUUUGUUUUCGGGGAAGGCAAUGAGACUGAUUGUUUUUCUAAGUUUGCAUAUUUAGAGGCAAUAAACUCUAUUAAAAAAAGAAUGGCUGCUGCAACCUGUGAAAUUUGUUAUGCCAGGGAUCAUUCAACCGGUAUGUGCCCCGAAUAUCAAGAUGAUCUGGGUGUCCCAUUCAAUAAUUAUGGAGAUUUUUCACCCUGGUCUCAAACGUGGUAUAAUCCUAAUUCAAACGGGUAUGAUCAAGGAUGGUGGGAUAACUCCAGUUAUAAUUAUACAACAGGGCCAAUAGAUUUUCAACAGCUAGAGUCUCAAGAACCGUCAUCCAUGUCAGGUAUGUCUCUUGAAGAAAUGGUUGAAUUAAUAGCUACUAACACAUAUCAAAUUCAACAGGAGGUACAUCAACUUCAACAGAAGACACAAAGGAUGAGUAAAGAGAUGAAAGAAGCAAGGCUUGAAUGGGCAUUUAAAACGAGCGAAUUGAUUUCUCCAGUUUAUGAGGAAUUGCCAUCACCGACUAUUAUCGACCAUGAGAAAGAUGAGAGUGCAAUUAUUCUGACAAAUGACAUGGUACUGCAAGAGUCUCAAGAAGAAUUGAAAAGAAAGUUGAAGAGCAAAAAUUGAGACCCUAACAUCAAAUGGUUCAAGUGAAUGAAUCCAGUGAACAAUCUCCAAAUGCGGUGACAUCUCCUCCAUUCCUUGAUCAAUAUUUUCCUGACUCUUAUUCUUUAAUUCCUGUUAGUGAGAUUGAUUUUAUUAUACCAGACGAUUUUGAAUUUCAUGCCAGGAAUAAAUUAAGAGUCAUGAUGGCAAAAUAUCUCGAACUAAUAAGUGCUCUUGAUGGAGGAGUGAGUGAAGAUUUAAGAUCAUCACUUGUUUGUUUGGUGCCAUUUACUAGUCCAUGGAAGACCGUAGCUCGUGUGGUCAAGAAUUACUCUAUUUACGAGGGCUAUCAGGAUUACAUAGAAGAUGAAGCACUGAAGCGAGCUACGCGAUUUUAUCCUCCAUGAAUAAACAGGACAAUGUCUAGCCGAAGACAUUAAAAAAAGGCGCUGCUUGGGAGGCAACCCAAGGUUUUCGUUUUAAUUUUCUUAUGUUUUUGGAAUUUUUGUUAAGUGUUAGUUGCAUUUAGUGAUUUGUUGCUUUUGUGGCAGGAAAUUGGCAGCUAGACGUGCCCACGCCAGGUGGUCAUGCCUGAGGGAAAGAAAUUCUCGUUCAGGAUCUGCAGACUCUAUAGCAGUUAGACGUGCCCACGCCAGGUGGUCACGCCUGAGGGAAAGAAAUUCUCGUUCAGGAUCUGCGGACUCUAUAGCAGUUGAGCGUGCCCACGCCUAAGACAGGAGUCCCUCCCAAAAAAAAAAUAUAAAAAUAAAAAAAAAUUUUCUUUCUUUCUUUUCUUUCCUCCUUCUUCCCCGCUGCCCCUAUUUCCUUUUUCCUUCUUUUCUUCUUUCGGCCGCCGGCCAUUCCACCCAAUUCAUGGACCUCCACCUCCAACAGCUGAGCGCCGCAGCUUCGCCAUUGCCGCACGCCCAGCACCACCGCUGUCCUCCGCCGCCACUGCUGUCGGCCAUCUCCACCAGCGGUCAACCUCCCACUUCACCCGCAGCUCCUCCUCCUUUUUACGACCAUCAAUUGUCCAGCCCCGCCGUCACCACCUGUCAAUUUCUGACAGGUGGAGGUAUUGCCAUUUCUCCCCCAGUUAGUUUAACUCACUGAACUCUGUGUAUGGGCUUCUUGAUGGAGUAAAGAAUGUGAUGAUUCGGCAAUUUCUGGGGUUCAUUUUGGACAGAUUUGGGUCUAAUUGCUACCAUAUGUGGGGAUAUUUUCUGAUAUUUGUUGAAUUGUUGGCCGUCUGACCUUCCGUGUGCACCAGUGGUACUGGUUGCAGUGUUGCUUUCCAUUUCUUAAUCCUCUGUGCUGGACUGCCUAUUCGAUUCUUGAGUUUUGGUGCCUGAACUGUCUCUCGAUUCUUACCAUUAGUUGCUGGAAUUGCUGGUUUCUUGGCCAAAUUGCUAAUUUUGAGCGUUUGACUUGGGUAUUUGACUGUCCAACUGGUGACAUUUGUUGCGUUUCACUCGCUUCAAUCAAUUGAAUUCAUUUGCUCUGUUGGUAUCCCUGUUGGUAUCACUUGAGUUCUAUUUUGCUAGUUUCUGUCUUGCGUCCUUUGAAGUGCCUUUGGUUGGGUAUUUUCUGCAUUUGUUUGUUGAAUUGGAGGGCUACUGUGCCACGUCCAUUACUUAUUGCUGUUGGUGGCGUCUAAUUGACUUGCUGGGAGUACUCUAUCUAUUGAUUUCAAGUACUAAAUUCAUUGGAGCACUUGUUGCGGUUUUGGGAUGCAUUGUUAUUGCAUUUGGCUAAGCAGGGGACCACCCAGGGCUAACGACUAGGUCCAACUCCGAAUGCAAGUUGAGAGACUGGAGACUCGAGUGACCUACAUUGACGUCGACUUGCAUAACAUGGUGCGGAAUUUGGCAGUACCCCGCCCGACCCACCCCUGUUUUGACAACUUCAGGGAAGUACCGUUGCCCUUCUCCUUUCUUUUGCUGUUAGUUUAUCACAUUGGGGGCAAUGUGUGAUUUAGGUGUGGGGGGGUCAGUUUUGGCUGCUAGUAUUUUUAUUUUUAGUUUCUAAAGGUUUUUCCUUUAUUUCUAGUUUGAUAUUUAUCUCCUUUUUCGUUUAUCUUCUUUUCUUUUUUUUUAGUGGUCAGUCUUCAUAUGAAUACCAAGUUUGAUGCUGGAUUGUUGUCUCUAAUUCUGCUAUUGCCAAGUUUACUAAAAAAAGGUAUCGAGUUGAUGCGGUUGAGUUCAGGAACAUCUCUUUGGUGAAUAUCAAUAAUUGCUUGACUUUUCUAAUUUUUAGUUAACUUUUCUAGGCAUAGGGAAUGAUUGUUGGCAUUUUUCUUGUGAAUUGGUCCAGUUAUUAAUUUUAGUUCUCCAUGUCUGGAAAUUUGAGGCUGGCUGCUGUUAUUCUUGUGUUGCUUUUAGGCAUCGUGCUAUAUGGUUGUAAAUAAGAGUUGACUGUACUCCGCUAAUGGUUACUACUGAGUAACCGGGGAUCUUCACCUAAAGUGUUGAUUUUCGCGUCAAAAGGUAGUAGUUGCUAUGAGUGCGUGGUCCCGUAGCAAUUGGAGCUGAGUAACCGGGCUCUUCCAUCUGGCAAAUGUUGGAGUUCGCGUCAAAAGGCUCUAAGGGUUAUAGACUAAGUCUUUUGUUAUUGGUAUAAAAAAAAAAGUGAAUUAAAGAUUGUGUUAGUAUGUGAAUAAGUCAGCUUGCCGGUUUGUGAUCUUAGUGUUGAGAUUUUGGUUAAUAGUUGGACCAUUUACUGAUAAAUGUGAGCAACCAUUCCUUUUUCUUAGAUUAGUUUGCUUUAAAUUGGAAAGUUGGUGGUUGGGAAGCUAACUGGGGGGAUGCUUCUUGGAUUUUAAUUACUAAUGCCCGAUAUAUGGUUCUCUCUUGAAUAUCUUGGCAAUUUGGUAGAUAGAGCAAUGACCAUUAUCAAAUUUUGAUGUCUGUAUACUUUCCCCAUGCUUGAGGGCAAGCAUGAUUCAGGUGUGGGGGGAAUUCAUAGGGUAUAAUUUGUUAGUAAAUUUAUUAUUGAUUUCCCCUUCUAUCCCUGACAAAUAUUGUGUUAAUUGCUGAUAUUUACUCAUAUUUGGUAUUUGGAAUCAAUUUCAGGAGUGAAGCAGAAAAUUACCAAAAAGGAGGGACUUGUAUGGAAAAAUGCAGACUUCUAAGGGCUUCAACCUUUGGGUCCUUGAAUUGGUGGGGACCACAAGCUAGUGCAAGGCAUUUAGUCAUUUGGGCUUUUCAAAGAAAGCAACGUAGAGAGACUUGGAACAACAAGUACUUUGGAGGCUUUGUCCACAUGUGCGGGGACCACGGAUAAGAAGCAUGAGUCAUUUGGACUCUAGGAAAAGAAACGUACAACACUUUGAAUUUGGUGUGGGGACCACUAGAGAUAGCAUUAGACUUCCUUUUGGCUUUAAAAAGGGAGAAACGUACGAGGUUUAUGAAUCAAUAGUUUUAGUUUAGGAUUUUAGCAUAGUUUUAGUUUUCUUUUUUUAGCUCUUUCGCAUGGUUGUUCUCCAUUAAUGGAGGACUAACCUCUUAAUUCUAGUCAAGGGAACAACUGAAGACUUGGUUCAACAAUUACUGUGAGAUCGAAUUUAUUUUAAUUGUUUCCUCCAUUUAUUGGUAUUCAUAUGUUUCCUGCUUUUAACUGUUAUAGCUCGUGUGAGUGAUUGAAUAGAUGCGCAAUAUUUAAUUAUUCACAUAGGCUAUUUUGCUAAAUAGGGAUAAUUGAAUCCGUAAUUGUUCGUUAUCUUUAUCUCAGUAGCAACUGGCGUAAUUGGGUUUAUGUCAGGGGAACAUACGAUCUAACUUAAACAAACCCUCGUAGCGUGUUUGUUAGUUAGGAUUGGGUCUUUCUAAUUCUUAAUGCAAUCUAGAAAUUAAAUCCUACGGUCGUACCUAGGGUUGUUUUUGUGUUAGAGAAAUAGUUAACGGUCGUACCUUAACUAUCGAGAAAGUAAGAAAAGGUUGGUUGUUUAUCGCGUGCAUGGCAACUAUAACUAAUCUAUUAAUAAAUGUGAAAUUAUCUGUGAAUCAAUGAUCAGUGCCUGAACCAUUUUUGAAGUGUACCCUUGGCUAGAGUUUCUCCAAUUAUUUCUUUUAAUUAAUUAUUUUCUGCAGUUAAUUUAUUUAGUUAGCAUUCAAUCCAAAACCCCCCAUACUUUGGAUUCUAAAAGAAACGAAUUAUCCCCAGUCCCUGUGGAUUCGACCCUACUCACCGCUAUAUACAAAAUCUGUAUUUUUCUUGAGUAGGUAAUUAUUAUUGCACAGGUUCGGCACCUGUCAAUUUUUUAUUUCCCCGCGGGACUAAUAAAAAUUUGUUAUAUAAUUUUAUUAUGAUUAAAUUUUAACAAAUAAUCAAGUACUAAAAUAUCAACACAUCAUCAAAUUAUUAUUCAUUAUAAUUUUACAAUUGAAACUUAUAAAAACAAUCAAAUAAAAAUUAUUUAAAUACAAUCCAACAUGAUGAAAUAAAUAUAACUAAAGUAGUCAAGUUUUCACUUUUGGCACAAAUACAAUCACUAAUUCAUUAUUGUGCUUGUGCUUUUUUUAAGAAAAAAAUGUUAUUGUAUUAAGUGUAAUUAGGAAUUUAGUAUAAAUGUAUUAGUAAAUUUAGUAUAAUCAAUUAAUAAUUUGUGUUAGUACACAUAUGUAAUUAUUAGGAUAAUUAAUAAUAUCAAUUAUAUUAUAUAUACUAAUAGACAUUAUAUAAUACAUAUAACUAAUAAUAUCAUUAUCAUAAAUUUGUAACUAAUUAAAUUAUAUAUUAUAUAUAUAAUUAUAUACAUAUAUAUUUUAUAUAUUUAUUUUUUUAAAGUGGGUGGCAGGGAGGGAUGGGGCGGGGGUACACUCCCCCGCCCCCCGCCCCGUUUCUAAGCGGGAGGAAAAAAAUUCCCCCCGCUUCCGCCCCAACCCCCUUCCCAUUAGCCCUCCGCGGGCACCCGCCCCCAUUGCCAUCCCUAGUCUUGAGCCACCCUUUUUUUCCUAUUUUGGAUUUCCUCUAGUCAUUGGUUGGUCGAUUGUUGUCCUUGAAAAUUAUUGAAGAACCCUGAUAAUACACUCUCCAACGUGUGAAGAAAGAAAAACAUCAAAUAAAAAAAAAAGGCUCAAAAGAUUUCCUUUCUUUUGGUGAUUAAAUUCAUUGCUUGAUGCAAAUUAGUAAUGUAAUGUACCUGGUAAAUUCCAUAUUGCUGCAGCGUGAAGGGCGGUUUUGUGACCGGGGCCAAGAUAAGCUGGUGACUUGCAAGUCGUCAAAAUCAGAUCCGCAAUAUCCCGAUAUCCCUUCUCAACAGCGAGAUAUAGAGGAGUCUCCACAGCAUGAUUCGGGCGAUAUCGGAACUCAGGAUCUUCUUGAACCAAAAACUUAGCAACCUCAUAGAAGUUGUUCUUAACUGCCUCGUGUAAAGCUGUGUUUCCUUCCACAUUAGCCAUCCUCAGCAUCCUCUUGCAUCUGUCGACAAAACAGGCGCAAAACCAACAUCCUUUGUUCUGUUUACUGUAAUCAAUAAGUGCUCGAACAAUGCCAGAAUGCCCUUUUCUUGCGGCCAAAUGAAGUGCAGUCUCACCACAAGCACUCUUUGCCAUUAGCAAACAGCAAUUUCGUGCAAGGAUAUGUCGGACAGCAUCUGCAGAAUCACAGGACUGGGCUAAUACGUGAAGGACAGUGUUUCCUUUUGGAGUCUUCAGAGCCAGGAACUUGCCUGAGAAUCUUCUAAUUACAGCCCAAUCACCUAACUGUGCAGCUGCGUACAAUUCAGGAUUCAUUCCUUUUUGUGCAAGUUUACGCAAUUCAGGAUCCAUUGCUUUCUGCAACUGAUUAUCUAGUCAGUAUCAGAACUGGUUGAACCUACUGUCUGUUUUGGAGCUCAAAUAUGCAUGAGAACCAUAGCAGUUAUAGAUUGUGGGGUUUAUGUAAUUUGUUGAGCUACAACAGUUGAGACAGCUCAAAUACGGAAGCCAUUGAUUUGUUAUGUGCUUCGAAAUGAUAACCAGAAGAAGCGGGUUUGAGGGCUGUUUUGACGGACGAAAGGAGAUAGGAGAGGAAGGAGAGGAAGUAUCCAGCAGUUGACAAGAACGAAUAAGAGUAGAAAAAGGUCAUGGAAAUAUCGGUAUUAUAAAUAACGUACAAACUGUUAUCAAACCUUAAAUAAUUCGAAUGCAAAAAUGAGGCCAAGCUGAGCGUCCACCGUUUAAAAUUCUAAGAACCAUUGCGCAUUGGCGCCCGUCUUUUGUAUUUCAAGAUUUCGUUGCUAAUAUUUUGGACAAGGGACAAAAAUUAUGCCGACAUUAUUGACCUUUACAUGUCUGGCCUAAGUGGGUCGAUUUUAGCUGAAACAAGGUGAUCCAGAUUUGGAUCUGGAUAAUAGGCAUAGGCAUGUACGAGAAGAUUUAUGUCAGAAUCCCUCGGAUCUUGUUGAAUCCAGGUGCAAAUUCGAGUUUUGGAGUCAAUUUUGUUGUAUAGAGAUCUUUGCAGUAGUUGUAUUAUCAGUAAUUUAUAAAUCAUAUAUGUGCACACAAAAUGUUUAACGUACAUUUACUUGUCAUGCUUCGUUUGCUAACAAAAGAGGGUAGUAGAGGUUGUUUGGAAUCGAUUAAUGCAUAUUUUUAAUUAUUUUACAUGUUCUACAAAACUUGAAUAUUUAAAUUUCUUUAUUUGAAUGUUUUACAUGCUAACUCAAGAGUUCAGAUGUUCGUUUGUUUGGGGCAUGACAAAAUAUUAGUAUUAGAUGUCACCCGCAAAAUAAUUUCUUUGUAAUCAGUAAGGAUAGGCGUUUUGGCUGUUUUCGUUGGUUAAUGAUUUAGGGCUUUUUGUAGUAUCGUUCUUAGCAUUAUUUUUGUGCCAUUUAAGUUCUUCCCUUAGUCCAUUUUAGUUGUUGCUAAAUAAUUCAAAAAUUUUCCUUGUUUUCAACCAUUGGAAUUUUCAAAGAGAAAAACAAUUAUUUGCUGCUCCAACAUUCAUCUCGUUCUCUCUCUCUCUCUCCCUCCCCCCUUAUUUAACUUCAAUAUUGAUAUCUCUUACAAUUUGUUUUUCUUUUGUAAAAUGUUCACAUUAUUAGUCUCAAUAAAAGUAUAGUGGCCGGUGUGGUUAUUUUUAUUUUUCAUAUUUUAUUAUUUUCAAAUGUCAGAGUCACAAUAUUAUUAUUUUCCAGCAUCUCCAAUAUUAUUAUCUCUCUCUCUUCUUUUUUUUUUUUUUUUAUUGGGUCUAUCCGUUGCAAGAUUUGGAUCAAAUGGAUAUGCUUUUUUCAAUAUAUAGUUUUAGUGGAACUUCUGACAGGAAAACACAGGACAAAGAUACAGAUAUUAGACUUGAACGUGAAAAUUAUAUGUUCAAGUCCGGAACUAGGCAGGGAAAGACUAGUAAGUCCGGAAGUAGUUCUUACAACGACGGACGGAGGGAGGGUGGGCGGGAAUAAAAGGAUCCAAUUGGAAAUGCGAAUUGUUCAAGUCCAGAACCAGGCCGCUGGAUCCGAAGGAUGGGAGUCAGACUAAGAUGUGACCUCCAGGGAAUUUGCAGUAGCAGCUUCGGAUGAGAAAACACCUUUUUCUAGUCCUUGACUUAAUUGCAGUAAAAAACAAACCUUGUAUCCACACUUUUUCAAGUCCUCCGAGUUGUAGACUGGUAGAAGUUCGAAAUCAUUUUUUCAUAAAUGAGAGCCAUGUUUCAGUCAUAUCUGUUUAACCAAGAGAUCAACCCAAUCGGAAAUGGGUCUUGUUCAAGUCCGGAACCAGGCAGAGAAAGACCAGUAAAGUACUUGAGAGGAAUCUUCUCACUUGAGAAAAAAAAAAAGGGUAACAUAUUGACUUGACCUGUAAAGUUCCAUCAUUUUGUGGAGAAAGACCCUUAAGUCGAUGCUAAGAAAUUCAAGUGGAAUAAUUUACCCAUAAACAAAAUGUAAGAGGGUUGGGGGCCUAGCUAUUUUCUAUUCAUUUAUUCCCGCGCCUUUAUCGGAGAGUAGUUGAAUUUUCUACGUUUCUUUUGGAUAUUAUACUUACAAAUGAAAUUCACCGUUAAAUAGUGAAAAAAAAUAUUAUUAAUUUUUAAAUUAAAUAUUUAAAAUUUAAACUAUUUAUCUUUAAUGAGAGAUAUAAGUUAAAAAAAUGAUAUCCAAUAGGAACCAUAGAUUGUUUCUAUGAAUUGUGGAUGAAGGGUGUAAAUUCGGCCUAUCCUUUCACUUUUUUUUUUUCCAGAAACGAUAACGAUUUUAUUCAUCAAAUUAAUGAGAAUAUAAAUUCCAUGAACAGUGCCGACGAUUUUAAAUAGUACAAGCAAUGACAAUAUAAAUUCCAUGAACAUCAGUUGAUGACACGAUUCAAGAAGGUUUUAGGGAAGGUUUUAUUUGGGGGAAGUGGACUGAUAUCAGCUAAAUCAACUGGUACGCCACAGUUGAGAUAUUUUUUUCACUGACGAUUCCUACCAAGACAGAAUACUGACACUCAUGAGGAUUUUCGGGGAGGUUGCAUUUUGUCCCCUCCAAAUUAUAAAAUAGGUACUUUGUCGCAUAUUAAUUAUUUUGGAUAAAAAUGCCAUCAAGAUGUGGUCUUUUUCUGCAAUGAGUCCUCUAUCUCAUUCCCAUUCCGAGUGUCAUUUUUCUAUCCCAGUUUUUAUUAUAUUAUCAUUUAUUUUUCAUAAAUAUCAUAUUUUAGUUUUUUUUAUUUUCUUAAAAUUCAAUAACUAUUAGUUAAGUAAAAACUAAAUACAACAGCCACAAAAAAUAAUAUAUAAUAGAAAAUUUUAAAAAUUGACCAAAAAAUUCAUUAAAAAAUCUCAUUUUUGUGUAUUUUGAUUUUUUGAGUCUGUUAAAUUUUGCAUAUUAUUCAAUUAAUAGUUAUUGGAUAUUAAUGAAACAAAAAAACUCAAAUAUGAUAUUUAUGAAGGAAAAAUAGCAAAUAAUAAAAAGUGGGAUAGAAAAUGACAAAUAGAGUGAGACAGAAGAUUCAUUACAUUUUCCCUCCCCCUAUCAUUUUUCCAUCUAAUAUUCUUUGUUCAUUUUGCUUGCCUAUUCUUAUUCUUUUGUUCCUUGCUUUUCUUUCUUCACAAAAAUUUUCCAAUCUCAAUCAUUUUAUCUUACAUAUUUCCUCGAUUAUACUACUUUUUUUUACCUCAUUUCCCCUGUAUAUGAUUUUUCUUGUUAAUUGGUCGAUGAAAUUGUUAGAUCCUUAAAACUUACAAUUCUUUAAAUUUACAUUUUGGCUCCACAUUCGAGGCACUAUUCCAAUGCAUUUUUUAAUCUUAUUAUUCUUGGUGCUAUACUGCGUACUAUUCCAUAUAUUCUAACUGAGACUAUGGAUGCCAAUUGGGAUGAGUGCCUACAGGGAAUUGAUGGGGUGGAGGAUGGAAGGCGGGGUAGGGUAGGGCAUAGGGUCAUUUUCUUCCCCCAUUAAAAAAUGGGAUGAGGGAUGGGGGAGUAUACCCCCGUUCCGUCACCCGUUUAAUAUAUACAUACAUAUAUAUAUAUCAUAUUUAAUAUUAUUUGUUAUAAAUAUCAUAUUAUGUUUAUGAAAUAUAAUUAAUAUUUUUAGUUAUGCUAAUAAUUAUAUAUUUAUACUAAUACAAAUUAUUGAUUAGUUAUACCAAUAUAUUUAUAUUAAAUUACUAAUUACACUUUUUACUAAUUAUACACAUUUUUCUUGUGAGUAUGAGGUGGGGUAGGAGGAGCAAGGGUGGGGGGUGAGGGAAUGUUUGGGCAACGGGCGGCUCACGCCCUCACCCUGCCUAAUUGCCAUUCCUAGUCAAGACAAUUACCCAAAACUUGUUUGAAUUCCUAAUUGCACAGCCGGAUUGGUGGAGGAAAGCAAGUAAGAUGUGACCUCUGAAACCGAAAGCAUCCUUAAUUUCAUUAUGAAAAAAUAACCUUAGUUAAUGCUGACAAAAUGAAGUGCAACAAUUUACAAAAAAGAAUAAGGAAGAAAGGAUCAUAUGAAGUGUAGAAAACAUUGGGGUACUUUAUGUAAAUCCAUUUCCCUAUCCUUAUCACAGAUUCGUUGAAUGUGCACAAAAUAUACAAUUAUCAUCAAAUGAUCAAGUUGUUUGCAAUUUUUAGUCGAGUACAUCUAAUGCGCCCCACAAAAAAAAAAAUUUAAAAAAAAAGAGUAAGCUCCUGAGGAUAGCACGUCACGAUUACAGUAAUAUUAAAGUGUGACUGAAUAGGUUGACUUUUGUGACUUAAAGAGUCGUUUGGAUAGCUUAUUAUUUACAAAAAAAAUUAUUGAUUGCAUCAUAAAAAUAUUUUUUGAUUAUUUUUUUUACUUUUAAUUACCUUUUAAAUCUCACAUACAUUAUAUUACCAAAAGGUAAUACAAUAUUUUUUAAAAAAACUAUCCCAAAUAAUUUCCAAUCCAACCAUACUAAAUAAACAAGUUGACACUAGCAAAAUAAGUUUCUCUCCAUUAGAUUGUUGAAAAAGGUACUUGAUUGCUCAAAAGUAGAUACUCGUGUUGAUAAUGUUGCAAAACUAAUUAUAUAAACUAUUAAAAGUAGAGAACAAAGAAAGUAGAGUAGAGACCGAGAAAUAGUAAGAGUUAUUUCUAUCAUUCACUUCUAUUAUCAAAGGUUCUAAAUGAGACCUACAAUCCCUCUACUUAUAGGUGAUACAAUAUCAAAGAUAUAUAUAUAUAUAUAUAUAUAUACCAACAUUAAUACAAAUAUAUGAAUUGAGUUGUUCCACAAAUUAGUGAGGUACGAGAAGAUAUUGUUUCAUUAAUUUCAUAACAUUUCAUUUUUUUAAGGUCAAAAAAUAGCAUCUCAUUUCUUUGAUAAAUUGUAUAGCAAAUAAACAAAUGACUUUUAUUUCAUGCACUUAUCACUUCAUUACAUUUUAGCAUUCCUCUAAUCUAAUAUUAAUUUUUCAAAAAUUUAAUACUUGAUUCACUUAACUAGUGGCAAAAAGAUACUCAUUAGACAAUUCCACAAAAGAAUGCUUAAACUAACCUUUUGUAUAAGUUCAUCUAUACGAGUAGCUUUGUUUAUUAUACUACGACUAGUGGUGAUAUAUUAAUUGCGAAAAGGGCCUCUGCAUAGAAAAUAUCAUCGGAAAUUGGAAAUUGAGCUCUAAAGGGAGUUUUCCCUCUAUACUACUCAGCAAACAAGAAAUAUCUCUAACUCAAUGAUUAUGAUGCCCAAAAAGCUAAUCAUUUUUGGUCAGGUAAUGUUAGAAUGGAACACAAUUCUGUUUAAAUUGAAGAUGAAUAAAAAAAUAUUAUUUUAGAAUAAUAUUGUAGCACUUUUGUGAGUUGAUGUAUGCAAAAUAAAAAAUUGGUUGCAAAAAUAAAAAUGAAGAUUGAAAAAUGAGGUUAUAAUGCUAUGAAAAUAUCUUUUUUGUCAAAAACUAACUAUAGAAACAUAUUGAGUGUUUUAUGUUUGAAAUUCUUGAACAGUAAAAACUUACAUAUUGAGAGAAUCGAGUAUUAAGAAUGAUUCUUUGACUAUUUGUUGGGGAAAAAAAGCCAAUCAAAGUUUACAAAAAAAAAAUGCAUGAAUUAUAGUAAGCUGCAUAAACAGUAAACAAAAAUGUUUACACGAUUGAAGACCAUGAAGCCAAAGAUCAAGACCGAUGCCAUCCAUUAAAUACUGCUUCAAGUACUUUAAAAGAUUCAUGUUGAUGGGAAAACUUGUGAUCCUUUUUUUUUCCUCAAAAAAAUAAAAAGUAUUAAGGCCAAACUCUAAUUUCAAAAGAUAUGAUUGAAUCAUUACUCUUUUUUUUUUCGGAGACCACAACUAUUGUAUAAUCUAUCUAUUUUAGACUAGAGGGGAGGGGCAGCCUAAAGAGGCUAUGUUUGAGGCUAGCAGGUACACAGACUUUAUUAGAUCAAGAAAGUGUUUUGACACAACCUUUAAAUUUUUUUUAUUACAGGUAAAAGUUAAACCCUUACCUACAGCUCAAGAAAGAACUUAAAACCUUCCCUGAUGGCCUUGGGUCAGUGGUUGAAACAUUACUCAUUUAUGAAAAAAUAAUUACGAGCUUCCACAACUUGGAAGACUUCAAAAGGUAUGGAUACAGUAAGUCAAGGUUUGUUUUUGGGGAUAAUUUCACAAACCUCCCUUGAGGUUUCUAACACUUGCACUGAGACCCCUCCAUAUUUUAAAAUUUUCACCUAGCUCACUUGUUUUUCACAUUUUGGUAACAAUUCAGUCCAAGUAGGAUUAAAAUAUUCCUGUCAUGACAGAGUUGUUAAUUAUAUUCCAUGAAUACCCUUAAUGGAACUAUAUUAGUACAAGAUUGCUUGUUAAUAACAAGGUAGACAUGAUUAUCAAAGUUGAAGGGGUAUAAAUGCAAUUUAGGAAUAUUUCUUCUGUUACACUGAGACAUCUUCAGUAGGUGACAGGAAUAGGCAAUGGUCUGAUGCAAUCUUCCAACGGCCAAAAAUUUGGAAAAGAUUAAGUGCAUAUAAACAUCUGGAAAGCACAUUUUAUCCUUAAUAGCCAAAAGAUUGUGAGGAGCAUUCACAGAAGGCUAAGCUGAAAACAUUUAGCAGAUUCCAUGGCCUCUUCAAGCCAACCAACAGAAUCCUAGAAUUCACCAACAACUAUCACUAUUAAGAACAGAUAUUGCUACUACAAUCGCAAGCCCACAGUGAAGAUAUCAGAGAGCGAACAGAAUCCGGACAAAUUGUAUUUCUGCUGCUCAAAAUGCACAUAUUUCAAAUGGUAUGAUGGAGGAAGAGAAGAAGAAAUUAAUAGCAGAAGAAGCAACCAAGACACAAACAGGAAAAGGGAUAUUAGUAGAGCUAGAGUGCUUGGCAUUUCAGAAAGGUAAUCUGAUGUUGCCGUGGAACUGCAAAGACAAUUUUCAACUCCAAGUGUCUUAGGAAAUGUGCUGCUCAUCACCAAUAUGCUACUGUUAGCUAUAUUUAUUUUCAUUCAAAUAGUAAAAUCAAUCAGCUUCUGAAUUCAUGUAAAUCUGCUGCAACAUUGUAGCAGCUGUAGUAUGCCUUUUAUGGUGAAAGCCAAAUGAAAGUUAUCCAGCUAUGUCAGUUAGAAUGCUACAUAAACUAAUGUAAAAUCCAUGUAUGCAAUAGUUUACAGUCAUUGUAUGUGGUAAUGAAUAGCACCAGUAUGCUAAUUUGAUCAAUAGUAGCUGAACAAUAGCAGCAGUGACAUUACACAUGCUAAAAUGCAACUUUUCCGGCCAAAAGAACAUAUAACAUUUCCAUCAAUGCAAUCCAGAAUUACAAAACACCAUCUACUAGGACAGUUUCUAGAACAGAUGGUGAGGAUUGCACCACUAAUAUGGUAAAAGAGUGUGAACUCCCAUUAACAAAAUAUUUCAGCAGUCCUAACUUCUGGUACAUUUCCAUAUGGCAGCACCGAAUUCAAAAGAAGCUAAACUAAUCAUUACAUGCUAACUAGUCUGAACUGGCAACUCAAAACCAGUUACUGAAAGUGCUGGUACUGCUAAUGCUAUUAGAGUUUACAUUUAAUGGUGCAUUCAUGCUGACAGAUGUAGCAUUUGCAGAUUUAGAAGUCAAUUGAACUGGCACCUGAGGAUUGGAGUACAUUCUAGUAUUUUUGGUCCUACCAGCACUUCUGAUUGUUGAAGUAGAAGGAUUGUUUGAAGCAGGCCUUCCUCUCUGUAAACAUAAUAGCAUGAAAGUCAAGUUCAAAUAAGCAAAAAUCAGAUUACAGAACUUAUUAUUCUCUUAGACAAACUAUAGUAUACAAGUUUUUACCUUUCUGUUAGAACCUGCAGCAGUAGUUUGACAAUUGUUCUGCACGUUAACACCUCCAUUAUGACCAGUAGGACUAGAAUUGCGCCCUGGACUGGAGUGAACUAUAGGUACUGCUCCUUCUGCAUGAUCCUGUGAAAUGAGAGCACUUGUGAGUCUCUGGAAACCUUUUCACAUAUAUAAUUGCUACAUAUAAGGAAUGAAACAUAAAACUGGCAGCAAAAUACCCAAAGAACAGCUCCUAAUAAGCCUGUGCUGGUCAUUCCUCUGCUUGGUCUACCUCUUCUAUUUGUCAUAUGUGAUAACAACUUCAAAUGAGUAGCACAUAACAAAAAUCAAUGUAAGAUGAUGCAGUUCAGUGAUGAAAUGAGAAACUACCAGUUCAACAGGGGUUUUGUUUGCAGUCGUUUUGCACACAGGUUGUCCUUUGCAGGUCCUUUUAUUAUGACCAAAAGUUCCACAAUGUCCACACUUGAGAGUACUGCUCUUUUUUGGUUGUGAAGAGGAAGCUUUCUCAUCAGCUUCCCUUCUUCGAUUUACUCUUGGUCUACCAGGAGCUCUUCGCAAAGGAGGUGGCAACACAGUUUUUGGGACUAAAUCAGGCAUAGCAGGCCAUUUUUUCACAUCAGGAAUAGGAUGAAUCAUUUUUUAGUAUGCCUUCAAAUACAUGUCCUUUAUGCACCAGGCUUCACAGUAAUGUUCCAAUUUUUCUCUCCUGUACAUAAUUCCUAAUGCUGCAUGUUUACAUGGAAUUCCAGAUAUCUGAAAAGUACCACAAUCACAGAUUCUUUUGCUGAGAUUAACUAUGUAGCUUCUGUCCAAAUCAUCAAUCUCGAAUGUGUCUUCACUAGCCAUAUGUGUCUCACAUUUUCUUGACGCUUGGCUAAUUUGUGUGAGUUUCUCAGCAAUCCUAGGAGUGGUAUUAGCAGUCAAAGUGCAACCUUUCUGGUACCUCUUGUGCAAUUUUUUCAUGAAUUUUCUCCUCAAGCCAUCCACUAAUGUCAGUAUAGACUUUCCUCUAAGAUCACCAACCCAAUUAUUAAAGGAUUCAGUGAAAUUAUUUGUCACAUGAACACACUUAAGUUAAGAUGAGAAGACAUGCCUACACCAGGAACUUCUUGAAAUUUUAUCCAGAUAUCUCCAAGCAGCAAUGUUAAUAUCUUUAAUACUUGCCAUUGCUUCAUUAUAACCAACAAUAUCAUAACUUUUUGCUGUCUUCCAAAAGAAACUUCUAAGUAAUAUUCCUGAAAAUUGAGACUUGAAAUUGCUACAUAUAUACCUACAACAAUGCCUACCAAUUGCAUCAGGAAAUAUCUCCUCAUAAGCAAGAUUCAAUCCCUUCUGCUUAUCACUCAUGAAAGUUAAAGGGAUGUUGUUGUCAAAUGAUCCAAAGAACUCUUCAAAAUAGUAGAAAAAUCACCUCCAAGUAUCUUUGUUCUCGCAUUUAGUUACAGCAAAUGCUAUUAGAAAAAUGUUGUUAUUUGCAUCCAAAGUAACUGCUAAGAGAAGCAUAUCUCCAAAUGGACCCUUCAAGAAACAUCUAUCAAAUUCCACAAAAAACUUACAACUUUCUAGGAAUCCCAACUUUUGAGCUCUAAAGCUAAUGAAUAUUCUCAGAAAUUUAGACUCAACUAACAGAUUUGGCCUAUCAUAAUGUAUUUUACAAAUGCUAUUGGGAUUAUUGUUCCUUAACAGUUCAGCAUAUUUUGGGAGUUUAGAAUAAGAUUCAGCAUGUGUGCCUUCUAUUUCAUUAAAUGCUUUGUUCUUAGCUCUGAAAAUCUGCAUUUUACUUGGCUCCACACCAUACUUUCUCAACUCUGCCUCUACACCUUUGUUGGUCAUAUUAGGAUGAUCUCUCAUGACACCAACCAGCUUCUUGGCCAUCCAAUUAGAAGUGGCUUCAGCACAAUGUUUAUCCAUCACACAAGUGUGCUGUGAUUUGUAACUUUUAAUCUGAAAUGUUAUAUUAUCAGCCACUGGUGAUGCAUGUAUUCUCCACUGGCAUCCCUCAGCAUUGCAUAUAGCAGUCACUCUAGAUCUCUCAUUUUUCAAUCUCAGAAGUGGAAAGCCUUUUUGAAUAACAUAAUCUUUCAAGACAGCUCUAAAUAUAUCCACAUUGGUGAAUAAUUGACCCUUCUCAAAUUCUAUGUCGUCUUUAGGAUUAUAAAUCCACAUCUUUGAUCUCAUUAACUGUCUCAUAGAAUUAUCCCCUUCCUCACGUUCAGAAUUAGGAACCACAAUUUCUGCUUCAUUGUCUUCAAAAUUAGAAAAGUUAGUAUCAUUGUCCUCACUAUCAUCAUUUGAGACCCUAUCCAGAACUAAUUCAUCCUCAUUGUCACUAUACAGAUUGUGUCUCCAUGAAGAAUUAGAGUUAGAGUCUCCAUACUGAUCAUCUGAGAUAUCAACCUCUAUAGCUCUAGUCUUGUUAUUCUGUUUACUAAUAACCAGAAUAUCUUGCAUGUUCACAGUAGUUGGAUUUACUAAGUUAUUCUCUUCAUCAGCGGGGAUAAUUUCCAUAUCAGAGACAUGCAAGUUUAUCACUGGCUUAAAUUGAUGUAUUUUGAACAUCUCACUAACAGAAUAGUCAUCAUUAACAUCCAUUGAGCAAUUUUUCCAGGAAUUUCACAUCUCAUCUACAAAAUCAUGUUAACAUUUCCACUUAUUUUGCUCAGUGCCUUUUCAGUUACAUCAAACAACAAGUUAAUGUAUGAGUAGCCACUUGAAUCAACAUUUGGAAUCCUGAUUUUGUUUGCAUUACAGUGAACAACAAUGUCAUAUGCAGCAGCAACAGUCCCCGUCCUACAUUUUCAAAUUUGGAUGCAAAGUAGUGAUUAAAUAAAAGUGCAUGCUUCAUGCCUUUACAUUCUUACAGAAACACAUAUAAUUUCCAGAAACACAUCAGCUUAGAUGUCCACUACAUAUCAACAUACUGCAGCAUUACAGAAACUACUGAUCAAGCAAAACAGUCCAUAUUUGCUAAUACAUUCAUGCACAUUUUUAAUAGAAGUUAAUGAAAUUUCCUGAAAACAUCUUCCAUGCAUCCAUCGCAUAUGAAAUUUCAAGAAACAUCUUUAGUUACAGUACUGCAAGAAGCAACAAACAUCUUUUGUUUCUUGACACAUCAACUGAUCAAGAUUAGUACUUCUCCACAACAUGCACUUUUUUAACAAACUGAUUCAUUACAACAGACAAGAUUAUAGUACUGCAUAUCUGAAAAUGAAAAUUGGUACCUUAAUUUCUGCUUCUAAGACGCUUAACUUCCACCAGAUGAAGACAGCUUCACAUGAGUUCCAUUACCUUCUUCAUUGUCCCGUUUCUUAGCAAUUAGAUAUAAGACAUGUUAUCUGAGGUUUGUAGAUACAAAGCAAGAUACAUCAGUUCAAUCAGCCUUGUCACAUCACUCAUCAUCAGAAAUUGGCGUCAAAUUACUUCUUCUAUUGGCGCCUAGAAGUAAUAAUUUUUUAAUCACCUUCAUUAAACAUUAAAUUUCUAUUAUUCUAGUUAAACGUAAUUACCAACCUUCAGAUGCGUUUGUCUAGGUAGUCAAUGUCAAUCAUCUAAUGUAUCCUCUGAGGACAAAUAGGUCAUUUCAGUGCUCUGCAUGUCAGAUUUGGACCCCAAUAAUCUGCCAGGGGAGCUAGGUGAAAUUUUUAAAACUUGAAAGGGCCUUAGUGCAAGUGUCAGAAAUCUCAAGGGAGGUUUGUGAAAUUAUCUCUUGUUUUUGACUGCAAAUUAAGAAGUGUUUUCUCAUCGGAACCUGCUACUGCAAAUUCCCUAGUGGUCACAUCUUAGUCUGACACGCAACAUUGGGAAUUGGGAUCAGUUGCCUAGUUCUCGACUUGAAGUAUUCGCAUUUCCAAUUGGAUCCUUUUACUCCUGCCCACUAUCCCUAGUUCUGGACUGCUGUUUAUGAUACAAAUCACCAGUCAAUGGUAUUCGUACUGAUGGUACAAGUCCGUUCACAUUUAGCCUAUUCGUUCACAUUCGGCAAUGAUAUCAAAGGGUUAUAAUUAAUGGCAAGACAAUUUCCAUAAAUAAUUAGGUUGUUGGUUAUUUGUUCCUUGUUAAGGAUAAGGUUUUUCUUUUAAACUAUUUUCAUCGGUUCAUGACAUGAUUCAAGAAAUACCUUUAUUUAAGGGAGGUGGACUUGCCGCUCGGUUAAGUUAAGUUCUUUUUUAGGGACAAUUUCAGAAACCUCCCUGGGCUUCUGACUAUUUCAUUGGCCACCUUUUAAGUUUCAAAAAUUACACUAACAUUACCUCUCCUGAGGAUUAUAAACUUGCAACAUAUAGUUCCAAUAAGCAAUUAAAAAGUGACAUUAGGAGAGAAAAAAUAACAUGAUUCCACUGUUGCCCUUCAUCUAUUAUAUUAUUUAGUAAAUAUAAUACCAAUCCACACAUUAAAAAAAAUAUUAAAAUUUGCUAUUAUUAUCAGAGAUUGAAUUAUAUAUAGCAUCAAAAAAAGUAUAUCAUUAUAUAUAUUUCAUUUAAUGUAAGAUCUAAAUUACUGCUUUCAAUUACUGAUCCAUUGGCAAACAUGAUUAUUAAUAAAUAAUAAAAAAACUGCAACCAAAACAUUACAAAGAGCAAACUUUAGUACCAUAAAAAUUUCAGCAACCAAUCUUAAUAUCUUGACAAGGAUAUUUAUGAUGUUAGAGUUUGAUUUCUAUAAUGCUCCGAUUGCAAUUUUUUGAUUAUCUAUUAUUGGUCAUGUUUAACAAUGGGUAUGUAAUUAAAAAGAGUAAUUUGGAUUUUAAAUUAAGUAAAAAAUAUAGAAUAAUAUACUAUUUUUUUGAUGCCAUAUAUGGUUUGAUUCCUAAUGAUAAAUAACAAAUUUUAGUAUUUUUCUUUAAUAAGUAAGCUGGUGUUAAUUACUAAAUAAUGUAGUAGAUGAGGGCACUAGUGGAAUCAUAUUAUCUUUUCUCUCUUAAUAUCACUUUUUAAUUAUUGAUUGACCGUAAUGUUAUAAGAUAACUAACUUCAAAGAAGAUUAGUGUAAUUUUUGAAAUCUAGAGGGAAGCCAUUGAAAUAGUCAAAAACAUCAAGAGAGGAAUUUUUGGUGAAUAAUGAAAAGAAAAAGAAACAAGAACAGGCAAAGAAAUUUACAACUUCCCCCUCCCCCCCCCAAUUAGCAUCAUAGACUAGUAAUUAGUAUCAUAAACAUCAAAACUUCUCUAAAAUAUCUUUUAUAGAACGGGGAGCUAUGAAUUUAACUUUAUUUCUCCAAUGAUGCAAAGGAUGUAUGCCAAAACUUGCAUCCAAGAAUUAGAAAGUAACUUAGAAUCUUAAAAUGUAGAAAUUAAACUAACAUCACAGAUUGCAAUCAGCUGGUGUCAGGUUACUUGGAAUCUUUUAUUGUACAAUUUGCAAUCAGCUUGAUCAUUUCAUGCUUUCGUCCGUUGUCUUCACAUCCAUCCACUCGCUGAUAAAGACUUGGGAAUGGAUCGGCCUAAAAUACAAUAUACUCCCAAUCCUUGUUUUUAUUACAUUUUUGUUUUUGGAUAAUUAAAUUAGUCCACUUACAUUACAUUUAUUUACGUGGACUUGACUAAGGGUCUUUCUCUACAGAAUAAUGGAUCAAGUUCACAUCUUACUUUCUCCCAUCCAUUUGAUCCAGCCGCCUAGUUCCGGACUUGAACAAGUCCCAUUUGCAAUUGGGUCGUUGUCCUGUUAGGUUAAUAUAUAUAUAUAUAUAUAUAUAUAUAUAUAUAUAUAUAGAUACACACACGCGCCAACACGCCAAUUACUAUGUCUCUGUGCUCAUGAAAGCAGAAAAAGAGCAUGGAAAAAUACCUCGAAUGAGCAAAAUUUUUUAUUAAAUGAAGAUGUUAUGUCUACCUUAGAAAACAUCUAAUUGAAUUUUUUUUUUGUCGGAUCUAGGGUCCGUUUGUUUCGGGUGAAAAUGUUUUCCAGGAAAAUAUUUUCCUAAUUUCCUGUGUUUGGAUGCACAAAAGUUACUGAAAACAUUUUCCUAUGUAAAAUAUUUUCACUCAUCUUAUGGAAAACAACUUCCCUUCCAAACUUACUGAAGUUGUUUUCCGAAAUGCAUGCAUCUCGCUUGUAGUAUGUUCCAAACUUACUGAAAACAUCUUGUAGUAUGUUCCUUUUUUUUUUAGUGUAAACAGGAGGACUCGAACCCAAUACCUCUUCCUUACACUCCCUCCCCCGUACCACCCAACCCAACCCCCCUAGUAUAUUCAAAAUAAAAAAGAAAUCUCAUCCUGCUCAUCCUAUGCUAGUAAUUAAUUAUGUAUAAUAGGGACAUUCUUUUCUAAAAAAACUUUCAGCAGUGAGAGUGCAAGAUAUAUGUCACAAUAAACAUUGCAUGUGAUUGAUAUUUGACACUAAAUGGCCAGCAAUUUGUUUAUUGCUUAAGGAGAUAUUUUUUAUUUAUAUAUACAUUUCUCCAAGAUUUUUUAAAGUUAAACAAUGAGAUAAAUUUUCUUAUUUUGCAUGGGAAGAAGUAUGUAGUUAUAAUGUGUAGAAAAUAAAUAUAGAGAUAAAAGUGAAAAUAUUUCAAAAGUUAAACAAACACCAGAAAAAUGAAGUAAGAAAAUAUUUUCAAUAAACUAGCCAAACACCUGAAAAUGAUGAAAGGGAAAUGAUUUUCAUGGAAAAUUACUUCUUGGGAAAAUAUUUUCCCAAGGAAAACAUUUUACUUCCAACCAAACAGACCCCUAGUCCAUUGAAUUUUACUUGGCACCAAUUCAUGAUUAAAGAAUUACAAGUUGGUACACGGAAGCAUCAAAUUUCUUCUCUAAAUCAAUGAAUGAUUAGGAAUUUACAAAAAAUUUAAAAAAUUCAUCAAACAAAGCAUCUUCACUCUUACUAGGGACAUCCAAUAUGGAAAUAUCCUCGAGGGUAAUUUUUAGUUAACAUGAAAGGAGAAAUUCUACAAACUUUGUUGCCCUUUACUAAAUACUAAUAAAAUAUUCCCGUUGAACUUCUUCACAAUUCACAGCAAAGAAGAGAAGUUGUUGAUUACACUUCUGAUCCCCAAUGCACAAACAGCCCCGAGUCGAUCUAGGGCAUUUCACUCCUAGCCCAGAAGAGAAGGGCUUGUUUGCGACUAGCAGUAGCUGGCAAUGGCCUUUGAUUUGACACGUCUAUUAGCUGAAGAGGCCUAAGACUGGUCUCUUUCCUCUCAUCCCAUGCCUGUUGCUUCUUGCAGAACCUCUCCCUAUCGGUCGCCGUACCUAGCCUUUUUCCCUGGAACAGGGCUCAAUCCAUUUACCUCGACAAUUUCAUUGCCUUUCCCCACGAAAAAGCUUAAAGUAAAGCAGUAGCUAGUUUAACAGCUACCGAUUCACACCCGCGGGUCAAAGAAUGACCUUUCGAAAAGACCGAGACGAGGAGUGCCUAGGUCGGCGGCGGUCGGGUAACUGUCCCUGCUUCAAUAGCGGCUGUAUCCGCUGCAAGAGUCAGAGUAGAUUGACCGUUCGGUGGCUAUAAGAGAAGGGGCCAGUCCUAAGCGCAUUAGUCUUUGAAGCAAGCCCCUGAUAUAUUGGUUUGUAUUACAAAUAUCAAAAUAUGUGUAUUUAAAUUGGAGUACAAGGAAUUUUUCUUUAGCCAGUUCAAUUAACUCAACACUUCCUUAAUUUCCAGGAAGAGCAUGCCAUAACUACUUGUAUCGAUAUCAACACUUUUUUCAAGCCUUCAAAGUAGCAUCACUCCGUAUUUCUUUCUUUCAUAACGGUAUAAUGUUUGAAUAGUAUCUUUUGAAAUCAGAAUUUGGCCUUCUAUACAUCGUUUUUUUUUUUAAUAAAAAGCAACACAAAAUUUCCCAUCAGACAUGAAUCUUUACUUCCGGCGAAACUGAGGGUAUGGUAAGAAACCAUAGCUUCUUACAUGGUGGGUAUUAUCACGCUCAAACUCUGGAGAAUAAUCCAGUUGAAACUUUCAGCAAACUGUUUAAUUUAUUUUAAAUAAAACUGUGGCCAAAAAACCUAUUUAAAUGGGAUCCAAGAACCGGUAUUUCUGUUGCAGUCUUAAGAUUGAAUGCCAAUUGAUCAGUCCAUUUAGCGUCAAUAUUAAGCGGCACUCUAAGUCGUAUUUGAUGAAAGUCAACUUUUUCGGUCACCCAUUGAUGUCAUAUAGGGCUAUCAAUGGGUCGGGUUUGAACCCGGACCCGGCCCAAGUUCGGUAAUUUUUUUUAGGUAUGGGUUGAGAAAUAAUUCCGGUACCCGGUACCGGACUCAAACUCGUACCCGUUUACUUUAACAAAAAAAUGGAUUGGAUGUGGAAUAUAGGAUUCCGACUCGAACUCGAACAAUAUAUUAAUAAUUAUAAAAUAUAAAUAUUUCUAAAUACAUUCUCUUACUAUAUUAACAAAGUAUUCUUUUACCAAAUUAACCAAAUUACCCGUAUUCCAGAUGAAGUAUCUAAGAAAUUAGGAUUUGGAAGAGACAAGCUUGUUUGACCCAAAAUGUAUUCAUCACAAGUUGCAUAUAAGUGUUUUUUGCUAAAUAUUUUGGGAUCAUGUUGAACCUUUUUGCUAGUAUGGAUAAAAGAAAAUGAAUGAUGCAUGUUAGAUCUUUUGUUUUCGGGUAGACUCAGACUUGACUCGGACCCGUCGAACUUGAUUUCGGAAUCUUAAGUACAAGACCUAUCGAGUAUACUGGUCGGAUCCGAGUCUAAUACAUUGAAAUGGGUCCAAGUCCAAAAUUUUCAAUUUCGAUCCGACCCAACUCGAUAACAGGCCUAAUGUCAUACUAAACAAGUUAUGCACUAUAUAUGUCGUGCUAUUCCUUAGAUCUCUGGUGAGGAAAAAAAAAAGAAAAAAAUGGAGCUUUGCUCGAAUACAAAUGUUAUGACCCUAGAUAUUGCUCAUCAGAAGCAUGAAGAUUAUUGUUGUUGACGUGGCUUUCUUUUCAUAUAGUUAGUUAGCAAGUUAGUUACUAGCUUGUCAUAUAUGUCUAUUCUGUUGUGUAGUUAGUUGAGCAUAGAAGGAUCCAGAAAGAAAUUUGUAUAAAGAGCCUGCAAAUGGCGUGAUGAAGGCAUAACAGAUAUAACAAAUUACAGAUUCCUUCUUCUCCUUCAUUCUCUUGCUCUUUCUUCCUUCCCACGUUUCCUUUUCUCUAUUCUUCUUCUUCUGAUGUUAUCCUCCCUCUUCAAUUCUCCUACUGAUCAGGUCACUAUAUGUGGUAUCAGAGCUUCCGGUCCUUGGACUAGGAAGCUGGAACCAACAUAUCAUAAUGGCAAAAGGAACACGGAUGAAAACAAUGGAGGAAUAACUUCGCAGACAAGAAACCAGAAUUCAAGGAAUCGUGGAUUCCAUGGCGAUCGACAAGAAAAGCUUGGAAGAAAGGAUUGAUGCAGUGAAUGUUGAGCUGAGUAAUAAGCUGGACGCAUUCAUGGCGGCCAUCUCUCAGCAAUUUGCCAAUUUGAGCCCUGGUAACAAUAAAAAAGGAAUAUUGGGAUCCCUAGUGGUGAGUAACUCAAGGAACUUAGAUAUGGCAAAUCGAAAGCAGGGUGAAAGGAAUGGCAGGAGCGCCUUCUAUACUAGUGUGCCCAAACUGGAAAUUCCAGCAUUUAGGGGAGAAAACCCUAGAGAAUAGAUCAAGAAAAUUCAGAAGUAUUUCCAGCUUUUACAGAUUUCCAUGGAUCAGUGGAUGGAGAUAGCAGAAUUUUACAUGGAAGACAAAGCAGAUGUGUGGCAUCAAGGUUUUAGAUCGACUAGGGGUAAUAAGGUAGAUUGGGUGGAGUACUCUGGGGAAUUGUGCAAGAGAUUUGGUGCCUUAGGGCAAAUAGAUCCAAUGGAGGAGUUUAACAAGUUACAGCUCUUCUCCACAGUGUUAGCCUAUCAAGAGAAAUUUGAAGAACUACUACAAGAGGUAAUGAUUAGAGCCCCACACCUAUCUAAAACUUAUUACAUUUUCGGUUUUUUGAGUGGCUUGCCAGAAGAGUUAAGAUCAAUGGUGAAGACUCACAAUUCUGAGACGUUGUCCAAAGCAUUUGAAUUGGCAAGACUGCAGGAGAGUGCCUUUGAAGCCUACCACAAGAAGUACAAAUCUUAUCAGAAAACCAACUCUGUGGCAAGUGUUACACAAACUCUUGCUCACUAUCACCUUCAUCAGGAUUAUUUGAAGAUCCAAAAGAGGUCCUUUUGUGGGCAUUGUUAGUGUAUUUGCUCGGCUCAGCUGUUUUGGCCCAUAAGGUUGGCAUUGUCUAUGCACCUCUAAGCCUAGAAGCUAGCCCAUUGACGAUUAGUAGUUUCUUCCUCUCACUACCUACUAAUACUACUACCAAUUAAUGGAAAGGAAAAUUUUCAAUUGGAUAUUAUUGUUCCUUUUAGUUUUUUUUUGUGUGUAAGUGAUAGGUUUUGAAGUUAAAACGUCCUACUUACAAUCUUUCCUACCUUACCAUCCAAUCCAACCCUUCCCCUGUUAUUGUUAUUUUAUUGUUUCAAUCAUAAAAUGAUGCAUUUAGUCCUCAACAAAAUUUAACAUGCAGCAAUUUAAUCCUACAUCUCAUUUCUUGAUCAAGUAAAAUAUAUUUCUUUUUCUCUUAUUAGUUUUCUUGAUCUUUGUUAAUAAAGUACAUGCACUAUUUCUAUCUAUAGAUCUUUUGUUUACUGUCAAAAAAUUUAUAGCUCCAUCCCCAUGUAUUUACAUCUUAUAUUUCUUUAGUCAAACUUCAGUUACCAUUUUUUGUUCAAGGUUUCUUUUUUUUUUUUUUCUAUUUAAUAGAGAAUGGAUGGGAUUUAAGGAGUCAUAAGGAAGAUUUGACUUCUAAAUCUAGGUACUGACUUCAAUCAUUCGACAAUUUCAUGGCCUUCGGUGUUUAUGAUGGUAUAUAAUUUAACUAAUAAAUUCCCUCGUCUCCUCUCCGUUUUUAAAUUUUACAUGAUUCUUCCUUGUUCCCCCAAUUAUUGAUACUUCAUGGCCUUUGGAACAAAGACGAAUUUGAAGUUGUGGUCGAAGGCUGCUGAUGAAGCGAUAUUGAGAGGUCCAGAUGCUGUUUUAGAUCCAGCCACUAUUUUUUUUUUUUUUUUUUUAAGCAUUAGAUCCACUCACUUUUGCAGCCCCCAUGAGGCCUCACUCCUAUAAAAUUUCCGUUCAGACUUUUUAUGGACUUAAAAUUUGAAUUGGGUCUUCGUCCUAAUUGCGUCCGCCCGACAAUGGCCCCAUUGUCCUCCCUGAUAUGAAUGCCCCGUCUUUUAUUUUUUAUUUUUCAUUGGUACGAAAUGCCUCAUCUCUUGCAGCUGCAUCAACGUUUCCUGUUACCCAAUUUGUGAGUUGAGAAAUCCGACGACAUCCUCAUCUAAAUCUACCGUGAUUGUCGCGGUUCCUGGACACCGGAUUUGGGGCCUUAUAAGUUCUGAUUCAAAUUAAUUGUGUGAAUCGAACCACAUCGAGUGUAAAUUAAUAUAAUUUGGGUGUAAAUUAAUCGAACCACAUCAAGAUUUUUGUACAAAUUUUGGGUUUGUUUACAUCAAAUUCAUGCUAAUUUACACCAGAUGUGAGAAUUUCAUAAUCAGUUUGAAUUGAAUGAUAACUCAACUCGUGAGGUUUUGAAUCCUUGAAAUAUACUUCCCUUUUGCAGUGCUUAUCAACUAAUUUAUUGAUUUUUUGAAAAACCAACUGCUCCAAUACCUUUAUGCUUUUUUUUUUUUUUGGUUCCUUGCAAUACAGAUAAAACCCCCUGCAAACACAAUUAUUUUUUUAAGGUUCCGUUGCAAAAAUACAAAAGUUCCUCCACUUUUAUUUUCUUCCGUUGCAAUUAUUUUUUGCAAUACAGAUAUAAUGUAAAUUAUGUAGCAGUUCUUCCAGCCAAUUUUUCAGAUACCGAAUCGAAAGGAUUAAAUUUAAUUAACUGCCAUUCCGAUGCAAAUUGCAAACAAAUAAAAAACACUGCAAUGAAUAACGGGGAAACUAGGAGCUCCUCAAGUUUUCAAACAUAUAGCUGGGGAUUAGACCCAAAGACCUUAUCCAUUCGACUCCACCAAUAUAAAGGUGGGUGAAAGUGAGUGCCUGCCAUUGAGAGCAGAGCACUCAAUCGGGGCUAAGUACUCGACUGGUUGGAGAGGGCGAGGGGAAGCGAAUGGAACUUGUUUUGAAUACUUUUUAGAGUAGUAAGAGAUGAAAACUCACUCUGGAAAGGAAGGAGGCCUUUGGCAAACUUGGGUAGUUUCAAGCAGGCCAUGGUGAAGGUGGGAAUGCAUUGGAGCAUGGCUUUGAUGAGUACUUUUCUUCCCGUGUAAAAGCUAUACCUAUCCCGCAGUGAACGAUGGGGUAAGGGGAAUAGGGAACUAUGCCUUUGAGCUGAUCGCCUCCAGUAACUUCGCUCUUUUUUAGGUUACACCUGUAAUAAGAAAAACUCUAGCUCGAUCGAACUCAAACUAAAGCAAGAUCGAAGCCGCAUCCCCGGUCCUUUUAAGAAGAAGAGAUUCUAGCCGUGGGAGAAGACUCCCAUCUGAUUCUGUCAUAGGUCUUCUCAAGGUCUAUUUUCACCGCCAUUGCUCCCUUUUCUUCCCUUCCUUCCUUAUUACAAAAGUCCUGGACUAUGACAACAGGGAUAAUAAAAAAGAGAUCACUCCUGCAGAGCAUAACCUAAAAACUCAGCAAGUCUUAAGCGCGGAAAACGAAAGAACGCCAAGCGCUCUGCAAGAAGAACAUCAGGAUAAUAAUUAUGAGGAGGAGGGAGGACAAACAGCAUUACCCGCUUAAUCCUCUGUCAAGACCAAUUGUCAAGGAAGCUUCCGUGAUUCCGUUCCUUUCUACAGUUGCUGGGCUGGAUAGCCUAACCACACUGUUAUUUUUUCACCCUUAAAAUGGAGUCUAUUUAUAUAUACAAAAAGUAAACAUCACACUGUACAUUUUCAAGUCCAAUCCAAAGCAUAAUAAAAACCCAAGUUGUUGGACGAAAGUGGGAGGGAGCUGCAAGUUCUGAUAGCAAAAAAAGAAUCAAAUUUUUUGAUUAAGUUCCAUUGAAUUAUAACACAACUAGUCCUCGGCUUCGGUCAAAUCCUGAUACCAUCUCGUGUAUAGACGUAGAGGGUAAAAUAUUCCAUACUCAGCUUCGCUAUGAUUAAAUCUAGUUGUAUAGUUACAUUCCCUGCCCUCGAAUUUUCGGGAAAAGGUGAAGCAUAUGAGACCGCCAAGCCAAGCAGCGAGGACAUACGGCACGAUCAUGACAGCCAAAUUUGGUAGCACUGCGCACAAGCCAGCGAGAAAUGCUAUCAUCAUUAACAUCACAGCCCCAAAAAUUCGCUUCCGAUUUAUCCGGACAAUGGCCAACUUAAGCCGGUAAUUUUUUGUCUGAAAGAGCACGGUAAGUCCAAGCACUGCACCUAUGGAGGCGAACAUUGCCAAGGAAUCUGAAAUAACAAAUGUAAUAAAAGCUGCUUUCUUGCUUAGAACUGCCAUGCCUUUGUGCGGACCGUCACUGUAGUUCCCACCUGGAACUGUAAAACCAGCUGCAAAAGUGACAGUUGCGAUCAGUGUAGCCACAAUCGAAUAAUUCGCUGCCAAUUUUUCCACUCUUUUUACUUCAUCAGGAUUAGAUACUCGUAAGUUCUUCUUUACGGUAGCAACAUUUCGAUACCCUCGAGUGCCACCCGCUUGCUCCAACUCAUCCUUGAUUAAAAUCUGUCAAACACGAAUUGAGAAACAAAAUUGUAACAAUGAGGUCGCUGAUUGCAUUGGACCGCUAAAAUAUGAAGCGACUCUUCCAACACUACUUGCACGUGAUAGAUAAGGAUGUUAGAUAAUAUGCAAAACCAUCAUUGAUUUGCCCGGUUGAAAGCAUCAUGUUUUCAAAUUUUGUAUGGACUAAAAUGUUCAUGUUAAACAGUAAACUUAAUAGUGGGGAGAAUUUUGAGAGGUAAGUUAGACGAGGAAAGUUAAACAAGUAAGUUAGAUAAUAUUGAUUAGAAAUCAAAAUAGAAAAUUUACAUUCAAAGCAGACAUGAUGUGAGAGGGGGGGGGGGGGGGGACAGUCUAAGAAGAGAAUAGAGAAACACGAGUUUAAGAAAUUAGUUUUGAAAUUUAAAACGAAAACAGCACUACUUUUCCUUAAAUUAGCUUUGAAAUUUAAAGCGAAAACAGCGCUUCUUUUCUUUCUUCUUCUUCUUCUUUUUGCUUUUUCAUAAAACAUACUAUGUUCUUCUUGGUUUAUAAAGAGCCAUGCAGCAACUGCGUUUAUACAUUGGUGAGGUUGAGUUCAAUUGUUGUAUUUUCUAUAGGAUUUGGUGUAGUAUUUUUUAAAAAUGUCUAGUGUAUUUAUGAAUGAAAUUAACACCUUUUUUUUAAAAAAAACUAAACUUAAGACUUAACAAUAAUAUGAUGUAAGUGUACAUCACAAUAUUUUCUACACAAAUUGAAAGAAUUCCAGUAGCAUCGCAGACGCACGGCCUAAGAUAUUAAAAAUGAGUGUCUGAAAAAUAGGGGUAAAAAUACCUCAAAUUUAAGUAUAAGCAAAUAUAGUAACGAUGGACUUGAGAGAAUUAGUGGCUAAGAAUAUUCAUAACUUACAAAAUCAAGUUUCUUAUUUUUCUAAAAGUAAAAUCUUGUAAGUCAAGUAUCAUAUAUGAAAAAUUGACAGAACUUUCUAAUAAUCAAUGUGACCAUGCAAAGGAGCGGAAAAAUUUUUUUUAUCUUAUACCUGUCUUUGUGAAAGUUCAUCUGCCCGUAAUAUUCUGUCUAAAGGCGUGGAGUUCGAAUUGUCAAAAGAAUUGACAUCGACAGAAGGGUGUUUUACAAGGCUACUCCCAUCUAAGUUUUUGGUAGCAACGUAGAGGUGGAGAGGAGUAUUUCCUGUAUUAUCCCUUUGAUUGAUAAGUUCAGAAGCCCAAGAUUUUUUCAGGACGAAUUCGAGCAUUUCUCUUUGUUCAUAUUUUACUGCAAGGUGAAGGAUAUUCUGACGUCUGUGAGUAUAUUUCUCCCAACAAUCUGGGCAAUGGGAUAACAGCUCUUGCACCACAGCAACAUGUCCAUGAAUGACCGCUAUAUGUAGAGCAGUCCUGGAGUCGUCAUUGCGGGCAGCAACAUAAGCCGUAGACCUCUUAGCAGAUAAUAAUAGCUUUACCACAUCUUCAUGAUUGAGUUUAGCCGGAUGAUUGAGUUUAGCAGCAUAGUGAAGUGCAGUCCAUCCAAAUUUAUCCACCUUUUUGAUAAGAUUAGGCAGCUUUUCCAAAAUCAGCUCCACGAGUUCUGCAAUCAGCAGAUAUUUAGUUAAAGAUACUGUAGUUCAUUAAACCAUAAGAAUCAAUUACAAUAACUGAGAUGUACUCAAGUGAAACUUCAAAUUGUCAUUUUAGGAUUAGUUAUUUAUGAUUAAUAGAUAGGAAUGGCAACGGAUAGGAAAAAACCAGAUUAUAAAAUAGUGUGUGUAUAUGUGUGUAUACAUAUAUAUUCUAUCAAGUUUCAAUCUUACAAGCCAUUAGCACAUAACACUAACACAAAUCAUAACCUUCCAUGAAAUGUCCUACUUUGCUAUUGAUUUUUAGAGAUUUCAUUACCGUUCCUAUUUCUUUGGUUGCACCUGACUCUGCUUUUAGUACCAGGGAAAGUGUGGUCAGCUUAUAAGGAAUUUGAUUUCAACCAAACACAUUGAAAGGUUUAAUGUGAUCAGCAAACCAAUUGUGGAAUCCAAUUGGAGGUAAAGUACAUUCAUACCUUCUACUUUCCUUAUUUUUGUUUUUACUUAUUCAAGCGUUUGAUUAGAAAACUAUUCUUUUCACUUCAUAUUUCUUAUUCUCAUGUCUAAUGCUUAAGAGGAGUCAAAAGUGAAAUGACUGAAGUUUAUUUCCAUUGAAGAUGACGGAUUAAAUCAUAAGAAAGAAUAUACGAUUUCAUGACCGGGAGUCAGAAGAAAGAAUGUACCAAUUUAUCUUAUAAAAAGGGAUUCUUGUAGCAUUUAGUUCCUAUUUCAUUUUGACCAUUUGAGCAUGACCUUUGGAGUGAUAUUUCUUUUUGCUAUAUUAUAUGUGAUGGGAUAUUAUAUGUGAUGGGAUUGUUAACCACAAGCUCAGUGGCCACCACCAAAGUCUUAAGACUUGAUCGGGGGUUCAAACCCUACCUUCCACCAUUUGCUACUAAAUUUGACAGGCCACUUCAAGUGGCUAAAAAAAAUAUAUGUGAUAGGAUUGUUAAACUUUGAGUUUAUCCCCUAUUGUUACUCUGAUGGGGUGUUUAGAUUUUGAUGUAUUCAAAUUUUAAAUUAACAAAAUCAGUUUCUAGAUUUUUCAACUAUUUAGAUGCAUGUAUUUUCAUGAUUGAUUUGACGAGUUUAAGGAGUGCUAAAUGCUACCCCAUGGUUUAAUCCAAUCCCAUGAGCAAGCAGUUUUUAGUAACAGGAAUUAAGCUAGUAGAGUUACUUAAUAUAGUUUAGUAAGGGACUUACCUAAAUGGGUAGUAGAGUUACUUAAUAUAGUUCGGUAACGGACUUAUCUAAAUGGGUAAGAGUUUAGUAAAAAAGAUUUCAGAGGAUAUCGUAUCCGCUACCAUUCCCUCCAAUAGAUAAAUCAUAUACUAUGGUGGCGUUUGACAAGAGGGUUUUAGAAUGGAGAAUUGGAAUAAACUCCAUAAAUGUUGUUUGGAUUACUACUAUUGGAAUUGGGAUUUUGUAAUCAUAUUUAAAAAUUUGGAGUUCCCCAAUUACCUAACAACUUGAUGGGUUUUGGACAAAACCCAAGAUUGAUUCUUAUCUAAUUUAUGGAAAACCAGGGAUGGCAAUUAAGGCAUCUACCUCGCGGGGGGUUAAUAGGCCGCAAGGGGAAGGGGGGGAGCAAUUUGUUUUCCAGUUUAUAAAUAGGGCCCGACCCUCCACCCAUUAAAAAAAUUAAUAGAUAAUUAUAUACAUACAUAUAAUUAUAUAUAUUAUAUAUUAUAAUUAUAUAAUAUAUUUAUAAUAAAUAUAAUUAUAUUUACAUUUAUUAUUAUAAAUAUAUUAAUAUAUAAUAAUUAUUAUAAUUAUAGUAUAUGUGUAUAUAAUAAUACAUUAUAAUUAUAAUUAUAUUUAAUAUAUAAUAUACAUUUUAAUUAUAUAAUAUAUUAGUAUAAUUAAUAUUUAUAUAUAUUAUAUAAUCAUAAUUAUAUAUAUUUAUAUAAUUAUAUUUAAUUUUAUAUAUAAUAUUUAAUUUAAUUAGCGACAAACUUAUAAUAAUGAUAUUAUUAGUUAUAUGUAUUAUAUAAUGUAUAUUUGUAUAUGUAAUAUAAUUGAUAUUAUCAAUUAUACUAUUAAUUAUAUAUGUUUACUAAUAGAAAUUAUUAAUUAGUUAUACUAAAUUUACUAAUACGUUUAAUUAGUGGAAAUUUCUCAUAUUUCGAAAGAGUCAACGAACAAAAUAUCAAUUACAGUAAUGAUAUGCAUUUCUACUACUGAACUAAAUAGAUGUAUUGGAAUAACUGACUCCAUUCCAAACCCAAAUGGAUGAUCCCAAAUCCGAAUCCGAUUCCAAGUAACGAACCAAAUGCCACCUAAGUCAUUAUGCCAUUUUAGUAUGUUCACUAAGUCAACUCAUCAUUUGAUCGUUUGAGAUUAUCGAAAGACCAAAUUUGCUAUUGCAUUGAAGUAGUAGGAAUUUUUAAUUCAAAACAGCAUGUGCCAAUAAUUUACAAAACCGAGCACAUUUUUUUUUCUGCAAGGCUACAACUUUUAUUUUUUUUUUCCUCACAAACUGCUCCAAAAUCCAUUUGUCCCUGUUAUUCUUCUCUUAACUUCAGCAACUCAUAAUUACUUUUUAGUCUAAAUCUCAAUUUUCAAUAAAUUCACUUUUAAAAAAAGCUCAUGUCUUAAACUCUAGUAAAUUAACAUUUUUCCUCGUAAAUAUCAGAGUUCUGAUCCCAAGAUUUUUACGGAAAUCUAAAAAAUACACCAUCAAGCAUACAUCUUUCCUCAAUACUCAAUUUCUGGUUCCAUGAUGGUGGAUGUGGUAGAAUAGCAUCCCUAUGUAAAAUUGAAGACAUUUACAAAUCUCGGCGGGAAAUUUCCUAGUUGUCUAUAUUACAAGGAGGUUUCAUUGAUUACAAUACAAUCUUUUUUAAUGUUUUUGGAUGUGAAUAACUUUUUUCAAUUUGAAAUGCACUUCGAAGGCAUGUAAGUCACUUUUUCCUUGUUGUUUUCCUUGUUAUUUUUUCCUUGUAAGUCAUUCUCAAAUGGACUUGGAAAAAGUACCUUUUGUUAAUGUUGAAUGUGUUGCUUUCUUUUAAUUGGUCUAAAAAAAGAAAAGCUAAAGUUGGAUGUUAAUCUUUCAGGUAUAAUAUGCUUUAUCCCUUGUGAUUUAGCACUUUUUCAUAUAAUACCCUGUAACUUCAAAAGCUAUACAUAAUUCUUUCAUGAGUUGAACUAAAAUGUUAAAGUAAUGAAAUUUGUAUUCUAUAAUAGAGUUAACUAAAAUGUCAAAAGUACCCUAUAUAAUAUUAAAAAUUAUUUAUUAACAACGGAGAAAUUAUGUAUAUAUUUUGAAAACCAUAAGGAGGUUACGUGGUAAAAUAAUAAAUCAUAAAAGAGUUAUAUAAUAAAAUAUAGAACCAUAAGAGGUUAAAGUGUCAUGCAGAUUAUGUUUAUAUAUUUUGAUCACUUAAACCAUUUUAGUUUUUAAAUAAGAGUAAUCUCGACAUAUCCGUAGGUUCAAUUGCAAAGCAUCAUUUUCGUCAUUUUGAUAAUUUAAUUUAAAUUAUGAUCGGGUUGUAUAUUGUUUUUGAAACUAAAGAGAGUUAUGUGAAAAAUCAUUGAAUGACAGUGGGAUAAAGUGUAUUUUACUCUAAUUUUUAUGACAGAGACUUCUCAUUUAUGACUCGUCUCAUUCAGAGCUGGCUGUAUCAGCCUGUCCCAUUUGAGUUGAAAAUUAAAAGCACCAUCUUGAGCAACCCUUUUUUUUUUUUUUUUUUGGUUUCCUCUAGUCAUUGGUUGGUCGAUUGUUGUCCUUGAAAAUUCUUGAGGACCCUGAUAAUACCUCUCCAACGUGUGAAGAAAGAAAAACAUCAAAGAAAAAAAAAAGCUCAAAAAAUUUCCUUUCUUUUGGUGAUUAUAUUCAUUGCUUGAUGCAAAUUAGUAAUGUAAUGUACCUGGCAAAUUCCAUAUUGCUGCUGCAUGAAGGGCGGUUUUGUGACCGGGGCCAAGAUAAGCUGGUGACUUGGAAGUCGUCAAAAUCAGAACCGCAAAAUCCCGAUAUCCCUUCUCAACUGCGAGAUAUAGAGGAGUCUCCAUAGCAUGAUUGGGCCGAUAUCUGAACUCAGGAUCUUGUUGAACCAACAACUUAGCAACCUCAUAGAAGUUGUUCUUAACUGCCUCGUGUAAAGCUGUGUUUCCAUCCACAUUAGUCAUCCUCAGCAUCCUCUUGCAUCUGUCGACAAAACAGGCACAAAACCAACAUCUUUUGUUCUGUUUACUAUAAUCAAUAAGUGCUCGAACAACGCCAGAAUGCCCCUUUCUUGCGGCCAGAUGAAGUGCAGUCUCACCACGAGCAUUCUUUGCCAUUAGCAAACAGCAAUUUCGCGCUAGGAUGCUUUGGACUACAUUUGCAGAGUCGCGGGACUGGGCUAAUACGUGAAGGACAGUGUUUCUUUUUGGAGUCCUCUGAGCCAGGAACUUGCCCGAAAAUCUUCCAAUUACAGCCCAAUUACCUAACUGUGCAGCUGCGUACAAAUCAGGAUUCAUCCCUUUUUGUGCAAGUUUACGCAAUUCAGGAUCCAUUGCUUUCUGCAACUAAUUAUAUAGUCAGUAUCGGAACUGGUUGAAGCUACUGUCUGUUUUGGAGCUCAAAUAUGCAUGAGAACCAUAGCAGUGAUAGAUUCUGCGGUUUAUUUAAUUUGUUGAGCUAUUAAAUACGGAAGCCAUUGAUUUGUUAUGUGCUUCGAAAUUAUUACCAGAAGAAGCGGUUUUGACGGAUGAAAGGAGAUAGGAGAGGAAGGAUCCAGCAGUUGACAAGAACGAAUAAGGCAAAGCUGAGCAUCCAGCAGUUUAAAAUUCUAAGAACCAUUGCGCAUUGGUGCCCGUCUUUUGUAUUGCAACCGUUGCUAAUAUUUUUGACGAGGGACAAAAAUUAUGCCGACAUUAUUGACCUUCACAUUUCUGGUCUAAGUGGGUCGGUUUUAGCUGAAACAAGGAGACCCAGACUGGGAUCCGAUUGACAUACUAGAUUUGGAUCUGGAUAAUGGGCAUAGGCUUGUACGAGCAGAUUUAUAUCAGAAUCCCUCGGAUCUUAUUGAAUCCAGAUGCAAAUUCGAGUUUUGGUGUCAAUUUUUUUGUAUAGAGAUCAGUAAUUUAUAAAUCAUAUAUGUGCACGUAAAAUAAUUAAGUGCAUUUACUUGUCAUGCUUCGUUUGCUAAAAAAGAGCGUAGAGGUUGUUUGGAAUCGAUUAAUGCAUAUUUUUUUAAAAUUAUUUUACAUGUUCUACAAAUCAUGAAUAUUUAAAUUAUUUUAUAAGUAUCUCGAGAGUUGAGAUAUUCGUUUUGGCUGUUUUCGUUGGUUAAUGAUUUAGGGCUUUUUGUAGUAUAGUUCUUAGCAUUAUUUUUGUGCCAUUUAAGUUCUUCCCUUAGUCCAUUUUAGAUGUUGCUACAUAAUUCAAAAACUUUCCUUGUUUUCAACCAUUGGAAUUUUCAAAGAGAAAAACAAUUAUUUGCUGCUCCAACAUUCAUCUCUCUCUCUCUCUCCCCCCCCCCCCCCCCGCUUAUUUAACUUCAAUAUUGAUAUCUCUUACAAUUUUUUUUUCUUUUGUAAAAUGUUCACAUUAUUAGUCUCAAUAAAAGUAUAGUGGCCGGUGUGGUUUUUUUUAUUUUUUAUUUUUUAUUAUUUUCAAAUGUCAAAGUCACAAUAUAAUUUUCCAACAUCUUCAUAGGCUUUCUUUUGCUCUCUCUCUCUUCUUCUUUUUUUUUUUUUUUUUGGGUCUAUCCGUUGCAAGAUUUGGAUCAAAUGGAUAUGCUUUUUUCAAUAUAUAGUUUUAGUGGAACUUCUGACCGCUAAUAUAUAUUAUUCUUUUUAACCAAGAGAUCAACCCAAUUGGAAAUGGGACUUGUUUAAGUCCGGAACCAGGCAGAGAAAGACUAGUAAAGUAAGUGAGGCAACAUGUGAACUUGACCUGUAAAGUUCCAUCAUUUUGUCGAGAAAGACCCUUAGUCGAUGAUAAGAAAUUCAGGUGGAAUAAUAUACCCAUAAACAAAAGGGCAAAUUAUCCAUUUGGUUCUUGAACUUUUAGUUUAAGUAAAAUUAAGCCCUCUAACUAUUUAUAGUCAACUUUUAGCCCUUGAACUUGUAAAAUUGAAAACCCGUGGCCCUUUUACCUAGUUUAUCCGGUUUUACAACCGGAAAGAAGGGCAUUUUUGUCCGCAUCUUCUAAACAAAAAUGAACAACUCCAUCUUCUUCCCUUUCCCUAACCCAACCAAAUAGGCACAGAUUUGUAGAGUUCUUAAGCUUCUGCAAAUUGGGGAUAACUAAGUCCGACUCUAAGCAAAAUUUUUAAAACUGCCCACUCUAUUCUCUCCUGGUUUCCCCACAUACUCCUUUCCCCCACUAAAAAUCGCAUCAAUUAACCACUCUUCCUUUCCCCUUUCGUCUUGAUUUGUCGAUCUUCUCCUCGAAAUCCAACAAAAAUGGUGUCCAAGAUUGUGAAGAAAACCCCAACAAAGUCCAUAAAAAAUUCGCGCCACCAUCACCACAGCCACCAACACCGAAAAAAUCCCCCGUAAAGAAUGCCUCCGCCGCUGCUUUAGUGGUGCUUGCGUCGAUUAACAAGUCCAUUUACACUUGCCACCACCGCCUCAUCAAGAUUUUCUCCAAAUUAGCGCGCAUUUCAAAUCCAAUUAAGAAGAAGAGCCUAAGAAAACGGGGGUAUCAGUUACUUCAAAAGGGUUCUGAAGAUCCCAAAAGUAGCAUCAGAAGAGCUCUGUUUCAUGACGAAAAAAGUUCUGCACUUCCACCACUGGUUUCGCCAGAGAAAAACACAGUCUUUCUUGAUUUGGACAAGACUCUGGUGCAUUCCCAGCCGGGCCCUGCUCUAGAAAAGUAUGAUUUCAUAGUUAGGCCGGUGAUAGAUGGAGAAAGAGUGGAUUUCGUCGUGUUAAAGAGGCCAUUUGUGGAAGAAUUUUUGGAGUUCAUGAGUAAUAAAUUUGAGAUUGUGGUGUUCACAGCUGGAAUUGAGGAGUAUGCUUCCUCCUUGAAUUUAGCAGAUUUGGUGGCGGAGGAGGAGGAGUCCUUGCUGUCAUUGUGGGAGAGUUGUUGGGGAAGCAGCGGCAGCCUUAUUAGAAGAGGAAGAAGAAGAAUAGGGAGAGUAAUUAAUCAAGCCCCAGACUUCCAAGAAAUCAAAAACCCUGGGAAUGGAGCCGACGUCUCCAACGAUGGGCUUGCGGACUUCGGAAAAAGUGAUUUUUUUUGUUGGGGGAGGGGGGGGAGGAGGAGGGGUUGUCCCUGAAUCUCUGAAUGAUGGCAUUACUGUAGUAUUUGUAAGUCUUGGGGUUCUUGGAGGCUGAUCUUCCGUCGAUGGCAGGUUGGGUUAGGGAAAGGGAAGAAGAUAAAGCUGUUCAAUUUUUGCUUAGAAUAUAUGGACAAAAAUGCCCUCCUUUAAAGCAUAUUGUCAUUCGUGUGAUUUGAUUUUUCGGUUGCAAAACCGGAUAAACUAGGUAAAAGGGCCACAGAUUCCCAAUUUUACAAGUUUAAGGGUUGAAAGUUGACUAUAAAUAGUUAGAGGGCUUAAUUUUACUUAAACUAAAAGUUCAAGGGCCAAAUGGAUAAUUUGCCCUAAACAAAAUGCAAUGGGUUGGGUUCUAUCUAUUUUCUAUGCAUCUAUUCCCGCGCCUUUAUCGGAGAAUGUGAAAACAAGCUAGCCGAAUGCAUUAAUUAAGUGAUCAAGCUGAUUGCAAUUUGUACAAAUAAACGAUUCCAAGUAGACUGCAACGACCUGUGAUAUUCUACACCUCAGAUUCUAAGCACCACGAAAGUCUUUUAGAUGCAAGUUUUAGCAUAUACCCUUGCAUUAUUGGAAAGCCAAAUUUAAAUCCAUAACUCUCCAUUCUACACAGAAAUUAAAAAAAAAAGUUUUUUAUAUAAAAUGAAUAAGGUUCUGUUGAACCAACUUAAUCAGCUUGUAUUUUUUUUUAAUCAUGUUUUGUUAUUUUUGUUUUUGUGGGGGUUUUUUUUUGGGGGGGGGGGGGGGGUUUCUAUCUAUUUUCUAUCUUACAAUUGGAUAUGUCUGUAUCGUAAGGUUGUUGAAUGUGAAAGCAGACAGAACAAUAAUAUAAAUAACUUAUAUAGUUUGAUAUUAGGGGGUGACUUAAAGAAGUCGACUUCCAUUAGAUACUGCUUGAAGUGCUGUUAAAGAUUCAUGUUUGAUGGGAAAACUUGUGAUUCUUCUUUUUCCACAAAAAAUAAAAAGUAUUAAGGCCAAAUUCUAAUUCGAAAAAAUAAUUACGAACUUCUACAACUUGGACGACUUGAAAAAGUGUGGAUACAGUAAGUCAAGGUUUGUGUUUUAGUGCAAAUUAAGAAGGUGUUUUCUCAUUCGAACCUGCUAAUGCAAAUUCCCUAGAGGUCAUAUCUGAGUCUGACUAGCACCCUUGGCAUCCUGCUGCCUAGUUCUGGACUGGAACAAUUCGCAUUUGCCAAUUGGAUCCUUUUAUUCCCGCCCAGCCUCCCUCCCUCCCUCGUUGUAAGAAGUUCUUCUGAUGUUUAUGAUACAAAUCACCAGUCAAUGGUGUUCGUAUUAAUGGUACAAGUCCGUUCACAUUUAGCCUAUCUGUUCACAUUGGGCGAUGAUGUCAAAGGGUUAUAAUUAAUGACAAGACAAUUUCCAUAAAUAAUUACGUUGUUGGCUAUUUGUUCCUUGUUAAGGAUAAGUUUUUUUUUUUUUUAAAACUACUUUCAUCAGUUCAUGACAUGAUUCAAGAAAGACUUUAUUUACGGGAGGUGGAGCUUCUGCCCUGUUAAGUUUAAUUAUUUUUUAGGGACAAUUUCAGAAACCUCCUCUAAGGUUUCUAACCAUUCCAUUGAUCACUUUUUAAGUUUUAAAAAUUACACUAACCUCUCUUGAGGUUUAUUACCUUGCAAUAUAUAGGUCCAAUAAGUAAUUACAAAGUGAUACUAGGAGAGAGAAAAUAACAUGAUUCAACCGUUGCCCUUCAUCUAUUACAUUAUUUAGUGAACAUAAUACCAACCCACACAUUAAAGAAAAAUAUUGGAAUUUGCUAUUUAUUAUCAGAGAUCGAAUUAUAUAUAGCAUUAAAAAAUAGUAUAUCAUUAUAUAUAUUUCAUUUAAUGUAAGAUCUAAAUUACUGCUUUCAAUUACUAAUUCAUUGACAAACAUGAUCGACAAUAAAUAAUAAAAAAACCUGCAACCUAAACAUUACAAAGAGCAAACUUUAGUACCAUAAAAAUUUCAGCAACUAAUCUUAAUAUGUUGACAAGGAUAUUUAUGAUGUUAGAGUUUGCUUUCUAUAAUGCUCUGAUUGCAAUUUUUUUUAUUAUGUAUUGUUGGUCAUUUCAUGUUUAACAAUGGGUAUGUAACUGAAAAGAGUAAUUUGUAUCUUGAAUUAAGUGAAAAAUAUAGAAUAAUAUACUAUUCUUUUGAUACUAUAUGUGGUUUAAUCACUAAUGAUAAAUAGUAAAUUUUAGUAUUUUUCUUUAAUAAAUAUGUUGGUAUUAAUUAACUAAAUAAUGUAGGAGAUGAGGGCAAUAGUGGAAUCAUAUUAUCUUUUCUCUCUUAAUAUCACUUUUUAAUUAUUGAUUGAGCCUUAAUCUUACAAGAUAAUUAACUUCAAGGGAGGUUAGUGUAAUUUUUGAAAUCUAGAAGGAGGCCAUUGAAAUAGCCAGAAACCUCAAUAGAGGAAUUUUUGGUGAAUAAUGAAAGGGAAGGAAUGAUGAAAAGAAAAAAGAAAAAAGAACAGGCAAAGGAAUUUACAACUUCCCCUCCCAAUUAGCAUCAUAGACUAGUAAUUAGUAUCAUAAACAUCAUAACUUCUUUAAAAUGUCUCUUAUAGAACGGAGAGCUAUGAAUUUAACUUUAUUUCUCCAAUUAUGCAAAGGAUGUAUCCCAAAACUUGCAUCCAAGAAUUAGAAAGUAACUUAGAAUCUUAAAGUGUGGAAAUUAAACUAACAUCACAGAUUGCAAUCAGCUGGUGUCUGAUUACUUGGAAUCUUUUAUUGUACAAAUUGCUAUCAGCUUGAUCAUUUCAUGCUUUCGUCCGUUGUCUUCACAUCCAACUACUCGCUGAUAAAGACUCGGGAAUGGAUCACUAUAAAAGGGUACAAUAUACUCCCAAUCCUUGUUUUUAUUACAUUUUUGUUUUUGGGUAAUUAAAUUAGUCCACUUACUUGACAUUUGUUUGCGUGGACUUGACUAAGGGUCUUUCUCUACAAAAUAAUGGAUCCGUCCGGGUCAAGUUCACAUCUUACUUACUCCCAUUCAUGUGAUCGAGCCGCCUAGUUCGGACCUGAACAAGUACCAUUUGCAAUUGGGUCGUUGUCCUGUUAGGUUAAAAAAAAAAAUAUAUAUAUAUAUAUAUAGACACACACGCCAACACGCCAAUUACUAUGUCUCUGUGCUCAUGAAAGCAGAAAAAGAGCAUGGAAAAAUGCCUCGAAUGAGCAAAAUUUUUUAUUAAAUGAAGAUAUUAUGUCUACCUUAGAAAACAUCUAAUUGAUUUUUUUUUUUGUCGGAUCUAGUCCAUUGAAUUUUGCUUGGCACCAAUACAUGAUUAAAGAAUUAGAAGUUGGUACACGGAAGCAUCAAAUUUCUUCUCUGAAUCAAUGAAAGAUUAGGAAUUUACAAAAAAUUUAAAAAAUUCAUCAAACAAAGCAUCUUCACUCUUACUAGGGACAUCCAAUAUGGAAAUUCUACAACUUUGUUGCCCUUUACUAAAUACUAAUAAUAUUCCCGUUGAACUUCUUCACAAUUCACAGCAAAGAAGACAAGAUGUUCAUACUAAACACAAACACUUCUGAUCCCCAAUUCACAAACCCCUUAUAUAUUGGUUUGUAUUACAAAUAUCAAAACGUGCUAAAUAAUGUGUAUUUAAAUUGAAGUACUAGGAAUUUUUCUUUAGCCAGUUCAAUUAACUCAACACUUCCUUAAUUUCCAGGAAGAGCAUGCCAUAACUACUUGUAUCGAUAUCAACACUUUUUUCAAGCCUUCAAAGUAGCAUCACUCAGUAUUUCUUUCUUUCAUAACGAUAUAUUGUUUGAAUAGUACCUUUUGAAAUCAGAAUUUGGCCUCUAUACUUCGUUUUUUUUUUUGGUUUUUUUUUUUUAAAAAAAAGCAACACAAAAUUUCCCAUCAGACAUGAAUCUUUACAAUAUUCCGGCGAAACUGAGGGUAUGGUAAGAAACCAUAGCUUCUUACAUGGUUGGACUUAUCACGCUCAAACUCUGGAGAAUAAUCCAUUGAAACUUUCAGCAAACUGUUUAAUUUAUUUUAAACAGAACUGUGGCCAAAAAACCUAGUUAAAUGGGAUCCAAGAACCGGUAUUUCUAUUGCAGUCUUAAGAUUGAAUGUCAAUUGAUCAGUCCAUUUAGCGUCAAUAUUAAGCGGCACUCUAAGUCGUAUUUGAUGAAAGUCAACUUUUUCGGUCACCCAUUGAUGUCAUAUAGGGCUAUCAAUGGAUCGGGUUUGAACCCGGACCCGACCCAAGUUCGGUAAUUUUUUCCAGGUAUGGGUUGAGAAAUAAUUCCGGUACCCGGUUCCGGACUCAAACUCGUACUCGUUUACUUUAACAAAAAAGUAGGUCGGAUAUGGACUAUAGGAUUCCGACUCGGACUCGAACAAUAUAUUAAUAAUUAUAAAAUAUAAAUAUUUCUAAAUACAUUCUCUUACUAUAUUAACAAAGUAUUCUUUUACCAAAUUACCCAUAUUCCAGAUGAAGUAUCUAAGAAAUUAGGAUUUGGAAGAGACAAGCUUGUUUGACCCAAAAUGUAUUCAUCACAAGUUGCAUAUAAGUGCUUUUUGCUAAAUAUUCUGGGAUCAUGUUGAACCUUUUUGCUAGUAUGGAUAAAAGAAAAUGAAUGAUGCAUGUUAGAUCUUUUGUUUUAAGGUGGACUCAGACUUGACUCGGACCUGUCGGACCUGAUUUCGGAAUCUUAAGUACAAGACCUAUCGAGUAUACUGGUCGGAUCCGAGUCUAGUACAUUAAAAUGGGUCCAAGUCCAAAAUUUUCAAUUCCGAUCCAACCAACCCGAUGACAGGCCUAAUGUCAUACUAAACAAGUUAUGCACUAUAUACAUCGUGCUAUUCCUUGGAUCUCUGGUGAAGAAAAAAAAAAGAAAAAAAUGGAGCUUUGCUCGAAUACAAAUGUUAUGACCCUAGAUAUUGCUCAUCAGAAGCAUGAAGAUUAUUGUUGUUGACGUGGCUUUCUUUUCAUAUAGUUAGUUAGCAAGUUAGUUACUAGCUUGUCAUAUAUGUCUAUUUUGUUGUGUAAUUAGUUGAGCAUAGAAGGAUCCAGAAAGAAAUUUGUAUAAAGAGCCUGCAAAUGGCGUGAUGAAGGCAUAACAGAUAUAAAAAAUUACAGAUUCCUUCUUUUCCUUCAUUCUCUCGCUCUUUCUUCCUUCCCACGUUUCCUUUUCUCUAUUCUUCUUCAUCUUCUUCUUCUGAUGUUAUCCUCCCUCUUCAAUUCUCCUACUGAUCAGGUCACUACAUGUGGUAUCAGAGCUUCUGGUCCUUGGACUAGGAAGCUGGAACCAACAUAUCAUAAUGGCAGAAGGAACACGGAUGAAAACAAAGGAGGAAUAACUUCGCAGACAAGAAACCAGAAUUCAAGGAAUCGUGGAUUCCAUGGCGACCGACAAGAAAAGCUUGGAAGAAAGGAUUGAUGCAGUGAAUGUUGAGCUGAGUAAUAAGCUAGAAGCAUUCAUGGCGGCCAUCUCUCAGCAAUUUGCCAAUUUGAGCCGUGGUAACAAUGAAAAAGGAAUAUUGGGAUCCCUAGAGGUGAGUAACUCAAGGAACUCAGAUAUGGUGAAUCGAAAGCAGGGUGAAAGGAAUUGCAGGAGCGCCUUCUAUACUGGUGUGCCCAAACUGGAAAUUCCAGCAUUUAGGGGAGAAAAUCCUAGAGAAUAGAUCAGGAAAAUUCAGAAGUAUUUCCACCUUUUACAGAUUUCCAUGGAUCAGUGGAUGGAGAUAGCAGAAUUUUACAUGGAAGACAAAGCAGAUGUGUGGCAUCAAGGUUUUAGAUCGACUAGGGGUAAUAAGGUAGAUUGGGUGGAGUUCUCUGGGGAAUUGUGCAAGAGAUUUGGUGCCUUAGGGCAAAUGGAUCCAAUGGAGGAGUUUAACAAGCUACAGCUGUUCUCCAUAGUGUUAGCCUAUCAAGAGAAAUUUGAAGAACUACUAUCAGAGGUAAUGAUUAGAGCUCCGCACCUAUCUGAAACUUAUUACAUUUCCUGUUUUUUGAGUGGUUUGCCAGAAGAGUUGAGAUCAAUGGUGAAGACUCACAAUUCUGAGACGUUGUCCAAAGCAUUUGAAUUGGCAAGACUGCAGGAGAAUGCCUUUGAAGCCUACCACAAGAAACACAAAUCUUAUCAGAAAACCAACUCUGUGGCAAGUGUUACACAAACUCCUGCUCACCAUCACCUUCAUCAGAAUUAUUUGAAGAUCCAAAAGAGGUUCUUCUGUGGGCAUUGUUAAUGUAUUUGCUCGGCUCAGGUGUUUUGGCCCAUAAGGUUGGCAUUGAUAUGCACCUCUAAGCCCAGAAGCUAGCCCAUUGACGAUUAGUAGUUUCUUCCUCUCACUAUCUACAAAUACUACUACCAAUUAAUGGAAUGGAAAAUUUUCAAUUGGACAUUAUUGUUCCUUUUAGUUUUUUUUUUUGGUGUAAGUGAUAGAUUUUGAAGUUAAAAUGUUCUACUUACAAUCUUUCCUACCUUACCAUCCAAUCCAACCCUUCCCCUGUUAUUGUGAUUUUAUUGUUUCAAUCAUAAAAUGAUGCAUUUAGUCCUCAACAAAAUUUAACGUGCAGCAAUUUAAUCCUACAUCCCAUUUCCUACCACUUUUAUAACCUAGAAAAGUCCAUUAUCAAUGCUGUCUAGUGCAUAACGAUCAAGUAAAAUAUAUUUCUUUUUCUCUUAUUAGUUUUCUUGAUCUUUGUUAAUAAAGUACAUGCACUAUUUCUAUCUAUUGAUCUUUUGUUUACUGUCAAAAAAUUUAUAGCUCCAUCCCCAUGUAUUUACAUCUUAUAUUUCUUAAGUCAAACUUCAGUUACCAUUUUUUGUUCAAGGUUUCUUUUUUUUUUUUUUCUAUUUAAUAGAGAAUGGAUGGGAUUUAAGGAGUCAUAAGGAAGAUUUGAACCAAAACUUCUAAAUCUAGGUACUGACUUCAAUCAUUAGACAAAACACAAAUUUGAUAUUUCAUGGCGUUCAGUGUUCAUGAUGGUAUAUAUAAGUUAACUAAUAAAUUCCCCGUCUCCUCUCCGUUUUCAAAUUUUACACUUCUUCCUUGUUCCCCCAAUUAUUGAUACUUCAUGGCCUUUGGACACAAAGACGAAUUUGAAGUUGUGAUAGAAGGCUACUGAUGAAGCGAUAUUGAGAGGUCCAGAUGCGGUUUUAGAUGCACCCACUAUUUUUUUGCAUUUUUCGAAGCAUUAGAUCCACCCGCUUUUGGAGCCCCUAUGAGGCCUCACUCCUAUAAAAUUUCCAUUCAGAGUUUUUAUGGACUUAAAAUUUUAAUCGGGUAUUCGUCCUAAUUGUGUCCGACUGAUAUGAAUGCCCCGUCUUUUAUUUUUUAUUGGUACGAAAUGCCUCAUCUCUUGCAGCUGCAUCAACGUUUCCUGUUACCCAAUUUGUGAGUUGAGAAAUCCGACGACAUCCUCAUCUAAAUCUACCGUGGUUGUCGCGGUUCCUGGAUACCGGAUUUGGGGCCUUAUGUAGCGGUUCUUCUAGCCAAUACUCGUAAGUUCUUCUUUACGGUAGCAACAUUUCGGUACCCUCGAGUGCCACCUGCUUGCUCCAACUCGUCCUUGAUUAAAAUCUGUCAAAAACAAAAUUGUAACAACGAGGUCGCUGAUUGCAAUAUGAAGCGACUCUUGGUGUACUCUUCCAACUCUACUCGCACAUGUGAUAGAUAAGGAUCUUAGAUAACAUGCAAAACUAUUAUUGAUCCUUCCAAUUAGAAGUGUCAUGUUUUUUAUUUUUUGACAGACUAAUUAAUGUUCACCUUGAAAGUAGAAAUACUGGUUAUAAAUCAAAGUAGAUAGCUUACAUUUAAAGCAGAUAUAAUGUGAGGAAAGGAAAAAAACAGUUCAAGAAGAAAACGGGAAACAUCAGUUUAAGAAAAAUAGUUUUGAAAAAAAUACAAAACGAAAACAGGACCAUCUUUUUCUUCUUCUUCUUUUUGCGUUUUUCAUAAACGGUACCGUAUUCUUCUUGAUUUAUAAAGAGCCGCAUGGCAAUUGUGUUUACACUUUGGUGAGGUUAUUGUAUUUCUUACAAAAUUGUUUGGUACACUUACAUAAAAUAGUGUACUUCUUUAAAUAUCUACUGUAUUUACGAACAAAAUUAACACUAUUUAAAAAUAAACUAAAAUUAAGACUUGCAAUAAUAUGAUUAAGUGUACUUUAAAAUAUGUGACAAGCACAACAAUUGUACAACACUGCAACAAACACAAUAUUUUCCACAUAAAUGAAAAGAAUUGUAGUAGCGUCACAGACACGAUGGCCUGAGAUUUUAAAUACCAUGAGUGUCUUAAAAAAUAGGGAUGAAGAUACCUAAAAUUUAAGGAUACGCAAAUAUAGCAAAGAUUGACUUGGGAGGAUUAGUAGUUAAGAAUAUUCUAUAACAUACAAUCUAACUUUCCUAUUUUCUAAAAAUAAAAUUUUAUAAUAAUUUAAAAUUUUCAAGUUCAUAUAAGAAAAUUUGAAAAAACUUUUAAUAAUCACUAUGAUCACGCAAAGGGGAGGGGGAAAAAAACAUCUUAUACCUGUCUUUCUGAAAGUUGAUCAUCCACAAAAGGAUGAUUCACAAGGCAAUUCCCAUCCAAGUUUUUGGUAGCAACAUACAGGUGGAGAGGAGUGUUUCCUUCAUUAUCCUGUUGGUUAAUGAGCUUAGAAGCCCAGGAAUUUUGCAAAACAAACUCCAAGACUUCUCUUUUUUCAUGCUUAGAUGAAGGAUAUUCCGACUUUUACCCGUAAUCUGUACCCAACAAUCUGGGCAAUGGGAUAAAAUCUCUUGCACCAAAACUACAUGUCCAUGAAUUACCGCAAUAUGUAGAGCAGUCUUGGAGUCAUCAUUCUUGGCAACAACAUAGGCAGCAGAGCACUUAGCAGACAGUAAUAGUCUUGCAAUAUCCUGAUGAUUAAAUUUGGCAGCAUAAUGAAGUGCAGUCCACCCAAAUUUAUCGACAUUUUUUAUAAGAUUAGGCAGCUUUUCCAAAAUCAGCUUCAUGGAAUCUGUAAGUAGCUAAUAUUUUAGUACAACAGGUGAAGAUAUUGUUAUUCACUAGACCAUUAAGAUCAAUUACACUACAACAACUUACAUAUACUGUGUAAAUUAAACAAGUGUUAUGAUUAAUGGAUAAAUAUGUACAAACAAUACAGAAUACAUUAUUGAAGGACAAAUUAUAUAUAACCUCCCUGUGAUUUCAUCUAUUGCCACAUGACUCCCUAACGUUUUAAAAUGUCCACUUCACCCCUAUGGUUUUAUGUAAAGUGAAAACUUGACGAAAAAUAGCCUACAUAAUAUCAUUAUUUGAAAUAUCAAUAGUACAUUUAUUUAAAUGCUAAAUCAAUCGAUAGUUUAACCAUUUUGAAUAAAGUAUAAGGAGAUUAUGUGAAUAAAUGCAAAAAUCACAUAAGUUAAAGUGGAUAUUUAUACAAACCAUAAGGUGGUUACAGGGAUAUUAAAAUUUUAUUAGACAUGCUUUGAAAGCGUAUUCAGUAUAAACGUCAUAACUAAUAUGCAUUCCGUUCAUUUUUCACUUUACAUAAAAUCACAAGGGGAUUAUGUGGCUAUUUUAAAACCUUAGGGGAUCAUCUGCAUUAUAUAAAAUUAUAGAGAGGUGAUAAGUAAUUUACCCAUUAUUAAAUGGUAUUUUAUCAGAUUAAUUUUCCAUAAAUCCUUUUAAUGCAUUAAUCGCUUGUGCCAUCAAAGUCGAAAUUUCGUACAAGGUAAAAAAUUAAUUCCCCUGUAUCAAAAUAUGAAAAAAAAAAAAAGAAGGAAAGGGAGCUCAGGUUUGUCCCUUUAUUUUCGGUUGUGUAGACAAUGUUAAUAUAAAAAAUGCUUAUCCAUGAAGUCACCUGGAAAAUUCCAAAUUGCGGCAGCAUGCAAGGCAGUUUUGUGUCCGGGGCCAAGAUAAGAUGGUGUCUUGCAAGACUCCAAAAUUAGAACCAUAAUAUUAUGGCGUCCCUUCUCAACUGCCAGAUACAGAGGUGUCUCCACAGCAUAAUUGUGGGGAUAACGAAACUCAGGAUCUUCUUGAACUAACAAUUUGGCGAUGUAAUAGAAGUUGUUCCUAAUUGCCUCGUGUAAAGCUGUAUUUCCAGCCACACUAGCCAUCCUCAGCAUCCUCUUGCGCCUGUCAGAACAUGGGGUAUACCAGUGUCCUGCUUCCGAUUUUGCAUAGUCAAUUAGGACUCGAACGAUGCCCAAAUGCCCAUUUCUUGCUGCCAAAUGAAGUGCAGUCUCGCCCCGUUUGUUCAAUUUCAUAAGCAAACGGCCAUGCCCAGCAAGGAUAAGUUGGACUACAUUUGCAGAGUCACAAGACUCGGCUAAUACGUGAAGGACUGUCUCUUCUACUGGAGUAUGUUGAGUGUAGAAGUCGUCUGAAAAGCUUUCCAUUACAACCAUGGUUUAAAGUCACGGUCGCGGUCGCGGGCGCGGGCGCGGCCCGAAACGUUCCACAUCGGUCUCGGCAUAUCGGUCGCGGUCUCGGUGAGACGCAAAUUUUAAAGUAUUUAAUAUUCUAAAAAUUGUUAAUAAUAUAAAAAAGUAGGUUAAAUAAAAAUAAUUAAAAAAUAGCAAAAGAAAUGACCAAGUCAAUCCGUCGCGGUGUGACUCGGCUGAUUUCUCGUCUUGACUCGGGAUAAUUCGGAGUAACUCGGUGUGACUCGGCCGAGUCAAUCCGUCGCGGUGAGGACUCGGCCGAUUUCUCGGCGAGUCAAGUAUUUCGGUAUCGUUUCGUCACGGUAUCGUAUCGAUAGGGACCGAGACGGUGACGACUCGGCCGAGUCGUCUCGGUCUCGGCCGAGACUUCGAACCAUGAUUACAACCCAAUUACCUGACUGUGCAGCUGCAUACAAUUCGGGGUCCAUUUUCUUGCAGCCGCCACUACGUACUAAAGUCUUACCUGUUCAGGAGCAACGAAGAAUGCCAACCUGAUGAUUAAUGCUGUGAAAAUGGAUAUUCUGCAAUUUAUAUAUCCCACUGACUAGCUAGCUGAGGAUGAGGCCGUAAUCGAAACACCAAUCAGGAGUGCAAAGACUCGGCCGAGACCGAGACAACUCGGCCGAGUUGUCACUGGAACGGGAUUUUUCGAUCCGAUAUCGGAACAAGAUGACUUCGAGAUAAUAAAUCGCAAAGAACUCGGUUGAGACGUCUCCGAGACGAAUAGAAAAGGCCAAGUUGCCCCGACUCGUCCCGAGUCAUCCCGAGUUAACUCGAAUUUUCAUUAUUUUUGUUAAUUUUUAAUUUUUUUAUCAUAUUUUUUUAAUAAUUUUUAGAAUAUUAAAUAUUUCAAAAAUUUGCGUCUCACCGAAGUCGCGACUGAUAUGCCGAGACCGAUGUGGAACGGUCCGGACCGCGACUGCAAUUGCAACCAUGACUUUGAACCAUGAUUAGGACUGAACUGAGAUGACGUUGAGCUCAGAUGUAGAGAAAAGUAUCAAAUUUAUGCAGAUUGAUGCUGCAAUGAUCUGUAGAGAACCGUAUCACAGUUGGAAUAAUGCUUUGAAAAUGUGUAUUCGGUGUUGGGGAAACCGGGUAUUUUCCCACUCAAAAUUACAACUAGUGAUUAAACCGAUUCAGUAAUUCCCAGGAAAGAUCGUCAAAUGAUCUCCUUAGACAGAAUUACCAUUCCAAGUAAAUUCCCAGGAAAGGCUGGAGGGGUCACAAGCGGUCCCACUUAAAACCCAGUCUCCUAGACAGAACUUACGUGCACGGUGUAUUAUCACAACUAUACCCGUGUAUACAUAAAUAAAACGUAAACACGAAUAAGAAAAUACACCCAAAAGAAUCGUAUAAUACACUACAAAUAAACCCGACAAAUAUAUUGAAUACUAUACUAUAAUUGAAAAGAAACUGCUAAAUAAAUGCGGAACAAAAUAAAAGAGAUAAGGAAAGAACGCACCCGAAAAUUGAUAACGGAGUUCGGCCAAUUUUGCCUACUCUCCGAGCACCACUCAAGCAGCCCGCUUUUAUAAAUUUUUGGGAGAAGAAAGAAUACAAAGAAUUACAAAAUCCUUAUGGGUAAUUCUUUGUUGUUCUUGGUACACAUUAAUUUGAAGGAUUGAUAGCUAUUUAUAGCAAUCUCUCAAUUCCUCAAUUCCUAAAGCUUCCGAUGUGGGAUGAAAUGUUUGCCAAAAACUUCAACAUUUGUGGGCUUAAAAAAAGUCAACAAAUGUGGCUUGAAUUCAAAGAUUUGAAUUCAACAAAUCUCCACCUUGGCAUAAUUUCUAAUCCCACCCAAAAAAUACAAACCUUCUUACCCAAAAAAUAACCAAUGGUCCUUGCGGUGCUUUCAAAUUUGCGCCCUCAGGCGCCAACUCAAAUAUGCAGGAUAUUGACCAAGUCUAAACAAUGUUCUAACUUGGACCUUGUAACCACCUUGGUCAGCAUAUCUGCAGGAUUCUCCGUAGUCCAAAUCUUCUGAAGAAAAAUCUCCUCUUCUUCGAGAAUUUCCCGCACAAAGUGAUAGCGAACAUCAAUGUGCUUCGUUCUUGCGUGAAAGACUUGGUUCUUUGCUAAGUGAAUAGCACUCUGACUGUCACAAAACACGUCAAUGUGUUUUUGACCAACUCCCAAGUCUUCAAGCAAUCCUUGAAGCCAAAUUGCCUCCUUCACAGCUUCUGUAAUCGCCAUGUACUCUGCCUCCGUUGUUGACAAAGCCACCGUUGAUUGCAAAGUAGACUUCCAACUGACUGGCGCCUUGGCAAAUGUGAACAAGUAGCCAGUUGUAGAACGUCGCUUAUCCAAAUCACCUGCAUAAUCAGAAUCACAAUAUCCAACUACACAUUGACCAAGUGAUUUAUCCUGCUCAAAUACUAAUCCAACAUCUACGGUAUUUUGGAUAUACCGUAAAAUCCAUUUCACAGCUUGCCAAUGACCCUUGCCUGGAUCAUGCAUAAACCUGCUUACCACACUAACUGCCUGUGAAAUGUCGGGUCUCGUACACACCAUUGCAUACAUCAAGCUACCAACUGCAUUAGCAUACGGGACUUUCGCCAUGUAUGCUCGCUCUUCAUCCGUCUUUGGAGAUAAUAGGCUACUAAGUUUCAAAUGAGGAGCAAGCGGAGUACUUACAGGUUUUGAAUCUUCAUUCAUGCCAAAACGUUGUAGUACCUUCUUCAAAUACUGCUUCUGUAUCAGACAAAGCUUGCCGCUCGUUCUAUCCCUGCUUAUCUCCAUGCCGAGAAUCUUCUUGGCUUCUCCCAAAUCCUUCAUCUCGAACUCUUUACUCAACUGAGCCUUCAAUUUAUCAAUUUCAACUUGGCUCUUUGAUGCUAUCAGCAUAUCAUCAACGUACAAGAGUAAGUAGAUGUAGGAAUCAUCUCGUAGCUUGCGCAAAUACACACAGUGAUCGUAUUUGCUUCUUGUGUACUUCUGGUCCAUCAUGAACUGGUCAAAUCGUUUGUACCAUUGCCUCGGUGAUUGUUUCAAUCCGUACAACGAUUUGCUCAGUUUACAAACCCAAUUUUCUUUACCAGCAACUUUAAAUCCAUCUGGCUGAGACAUAUAGAUUUCCUCCUUCAAGUCACCGUGAAGGAACGCGGUCUUCACAUCAAGUUGAGCUAGCUCCAAAUUCAACUGCGCUACCAAGGCCAACAAAAUUCUAAUAGAGGAAUGUUUAACAACUGGAGAAAAUACCUCAUUAUAAUCAACUCCCUCCUUCUGAGCGUAGCCUUUAGCCACCAAUCUUGCCUUGUAGCGAACAUCAAUCUUGUCAGGAAAUCCUUCUUUCUUUGCAAAUAUCCAUUUGCAUCCAAUUGCCUUCUUGCCCUUCGGUAGUUGUGUCAACUUCCACGUAUUGUUCUUCUGAAGAGAUUGCAUCUCUUCUUCCAUAGCAUCUUUCCAUCUACCAUUUCUGUACUUCGAACUGCUUCAGAAAAUGUGGAUGGAACAUCAUCAACAACUGGAAGUGCAUAGGCCACCAUGUCAACAAAACGAGCAGGUUUAUGAAUUUCUCGUCUUGCCCUAUUGACGGCAAUUGACUCUUGCUGCUGUUGAGGUUCUUGGGUUGAAACCUCUUCCUCAUCUGACUCUUCUUCUGCCAUGGGAGAGUCACUGAAGGUGCUGUUUGUUGGGCUCACCAUUAUCUGCUCAAACUCCACCUGUUUCGGCGUACACUCCACCUGUUGCGGAGUACCACUGGUUCCAUCUUGUGUUACCUUAUUCAACAUGGCAGAUUCAUCAAAGGUAACAUCCCUGCUGAUAAUGGUUUUCUUUGCUUCUAGACACCACAACCGGUAUCCCUUAACUCCAGCACUAAAGCCCAUAAAGAGAGCUUUCUUUGCACGUGGAUCCAAUUUUGAUUCAUUUACAUGAUAAUAUGCAGUAGAACCAAAAAUACGCAAAGAAUCAUAAUCUGUUGCAAGUUUUCCAGACCAUACCUCUAAUGGAGUCUUGCCACCGAUUGCAGAUGAUGGCAAGCGAUUGACGAGAUGUUGAGCGUAUGUCACAGCCUCAGCCCAAAACUUUCUGCCUAACCCAGCAUUAGACAGCAUGCAACGUACUUUCUCCACUAGUGUCUUGUUCAUACGUUCUGACACCCCAUUCUGCUGCGGUGUUUUUCUAACUGUGAAGUGCCGAACUAUGCCACAUUCUUGGCAUAUCUUCUGGAAGGGAUCACUCUUGUAUUCUCCACCGUUGUCUGUUCGGAGAAUCUUGAUCUUUCUUCCCGUCUGGUUUUCAACCUGAGCUUUCCAUUUAAGGAAAAUCUCUAGCACCUCAUCCUUGCUCUUCAUAGUAAACACCCAAACUCUUCUGGAAAAAUCAUCAAUAAAAGUGACAAAAUAAUACCUGCCACCAAGGGAUGGAGUCUUGGCAGGUCCCCACACAUCUGAGUGCACAUAAUCCAAAAUACCCUUGGUAUUAUGGAUACCAGUGCCAAAUUUCACUUUUCUUUGUUUUCCCAGAACACAAUGCUCACAAAAUUCUAAUUUGCAAACUUUCGUACCUUUCAAUAAUCCUUGUUUGGCAAGAUUUUGCAAGGAUUUUUCACCAGCAUGUCCCAAUCGCAUGUGCCACAACUUUGUUGCUUCUGCAUCCUUCUUGCUACUGGAAGAUGUUGCUGCUGCUGCUGUCCCAACAACUGUACUACCUUGGUAGUAAUACAGAUUAUUCUUUCUCACACCUUUCAACAUCACAAGUGCUCCCGAAGUUACUUUAAGAAUUCCAUCUCGCAUCUUCACUUCCAGGCCUUUUGACUCCAAGAGUCCCAAGGAGAUGAGAUUCCUCUUCAAAUUCGGCACGUACCGAACAUCCUUCAGGAUUCUGGUGGAUCCAUCAUGAUUACGCAGCUUGAUUGAACCUAUCCCAACUGUUUUACAUGGAUUGUCAUUUCCCAUGUACACAACUCCACCUUCAAGUUCUUCAAAUUCAAAGAACCACUCCCGCAUGGGAGUCAUAUGGUAGGUACAAGCUGAAUCCAAAAUCCACUCAUCUGGAUGGGAUGUUAAAGGUGAUACAGCCAAAGAGAAAUCUGAUUCCGCAUCACUUUUGCAUUCUGCAAUAUUUACGUCUUGCGGAGCUUUCCCUUUUUUCUUCAACUUUGGACAGUCUUUCUUCCAGUGCCCUUUCUCACGACAGAAAGCACACUCAUCUUUGGCAACUCUGCUUUUCGAUUUGGACCUUCCUCUUCUCCCCUUUGAUUGGCUUUGUUGACGACCUCUUGCCACUAACGCUUCAUCUGCUGCAGCUACUUUCUUUUUCAUUUUAUCCUGCUUUCUCAAUUCACGACUAUACAAAGCAGAACAUACAGCAUCUAAAGACACAUUCUCCUUCCCAUGAAGUAACGUAGUUUCCAAAUGUUCAAAUUCAUCAGGAAGGGAUGAUAACAACAUCAAAGCCAAAUCUUCAUUUUCAAAAUUUACAUCUAAAUUAAACAGGUCUGCUACUAAUUGAUUAAACAUAGUGAUGUGUUCAUUCAUAGUAGUACCUGGUUGGUAAUCGAAACGGAACAAUCUUUUCUUCAUUAGGAGUUUAUUCUGACCACUUUUCUUCAGAAAUUUCUCCUCCAAUGCCCUCCACAAUUUCCAUGCAGAAGUCUCGUUUUUGAAAGCAUAUUUUUGCUCUUUGGACAAACACGAUCGAAUAGUUCCGCAUGCCAACCGAUUUAUGGUACUCCACUCCUUCUCUUCUAUGUCAUCUGGUUUCUUUUCUUCAAUGGCAAUGUCAAGACCCUGUUGGAAAAGGGAGUCCAUGACUUCGCCUUGCCACAUGCCGAAAUGGCCAGUACCGUCAAAUGUGUCCACCGCCACUUUCAAACUUGACAUUGGAAUCCUCGACCAUGUGGACGAGGAAGCCGAUGCCCCAGAUAUAAUUCUUGACGUGGAAUUGUCAGAUGCCAUUACAGACUCAAAUGAUAGUAUUCAAUAUAACAAAUUACAAACAAGCCAAAGGAUGAACCUUCGGCUCUGAUACCACUUGUUGGGGAAACCGGGUAUUUUCCCACUCAAAAUUACAACUAGUGAUUAAACCGAUUCAGUAAUUCCCAGGAAAGAUCGUCAAAUGAUCUCCUUAGACAGAAUUACCAUUCCAAGUAAAUUCCCAGGAAAGGCUGGAGGGGUCACAAGCGGUCCCACUUAAAACCCAGUCUCCUAGACAGAACUUACGUGCACGGUGUAUUAUCAUUCGGCUAAUUGUGUGUCACAUGACUAGCUCAGUGCAGUGCAGGGGACCUUAAUGGCCCCCUUGUCCUUCCUGAAUACAACUGCCGUCAAUGCAUCAUCUCAUACACCUGUAUCAACAGAUGCUUGUGGUGAAUUUAUGAUUAUGAGUGGAGGUUUCGGUGAAUGUCCAUAUCUUUUGUAAUAGUCUUGGACAACUUCCUUUGACGUUCCAGUGCUCAUCAACCGAGUUAAUGAUUUUCUUGCUCCUCCAAUACCUUCAUACGUUGCCUGUUCCUCGCCAUACAAACAAAAUCUGCUGCAACCACAUAAUAUAAAAGAAAUUACUCUUUUCCUGUUUUGUUAAUUUGGGUAUAUUUCAUCUGAAUUAGGUUGCAAUUCCUCCGGCCAAUCCUUUAGAUACCAACUCUGAAAAGGUUAACAUUUGAAUCGCAACUGCAGUUAUGAUGGAGAAACAAGAUGAAAUGAUGCUCAUUUGUGGAGCAAGACUUCUCAAUCCAUGCGAAAGUUGAAUGUCAGAACUGGUAGCUCCACAAAUUUUCAAAUAGUUGGGGGCUGGACCCAAGUUGUCUCCUAUUUAUGAAAUAGGAUGUAGGAUCUUUUCAAAAUUCUACAAAAUGGUACAGCUGUUUCUACCAAUGGAGCGGUAAGCAGUACGGAUGAAGCAAACGGACGACACGAAGACGCUUAAGAGUAAAUGUAAAUUCGACCAAAUGUGAAGACCAGAGUGAAAGGAUGUAAAGAUGAUUGAGAGAGAGAAAAACGUGCAAAUGUGAAGGUGAAUGUGUUACUGUAGUUGAAUCAAUUAACGAAUACAAUUGAAAUGUACAAUUAAUUACACCAACCAUGGAUAGAUGAUUAGAAAAAGUGGUCCAGCAAAUAAAUAUGCAUCAAUAAAUGCUGAAAGGAAAAAUAUAAUGAAAUUGGCAGGUUGGAAUUAGAUAAUAAAUAUAAGUAUAAUAUUAAAUAUUAAACAUGAUUAGUAAUUAGAUAUUGGUUCAUCAUUCAUAUUUGAAUUAUUAAAUAUUUGAAUAUAUAACUUAAACUUGCAAGCAUAUGCUAAAAGUACAUAUAAAAUAUGUGAAUUUAUAUUCAUUAAUUACUAAUUUUGUUUAAGCAUAGACAACUGAGAUAACGGAUAUGAAUUGUAUAUCAACAUGUUAAUGUAUUAUAUUUUAUCAUUAAUAGCAAUCAAGUCAUUUAUUUGCAUGGGAGGAGCGGGGGAGAAAUGGAUUGGAUGAUUCGGGGAGGAGGGUGUACAAUUGAUUGGUGGAAGUGUCUUCGUAGUCACACCUAAUCUUUUUCUUUGUUUUGGUCAAGCGUCUUCAUAAUGGCAGAGCGGAAAUUCAGCUCGGGAGGACAAUAUAUAGCUAGUCAAAACUUUUUUUUUUUUAAUCAUUUCAGCCAAAAGAAAGAAGCCAGAUUAACAGAGAAACUCAAUUUCUUUUCUUUGUCUGUUUCCAUCAAAUUAAACCAGCUUUUUUUUUUUUAAAUUGAUGCAGUAUGUCAAUGUCCAUAUACUACGAAACACUCUAGUAGGUUAAUACGCCACUAGACAAGGUACCUCAACUCCUCCGAAGCUCCCACGUUGCAAAGAAUCUAGAUGAUUACCACUUUUGUUCAGUUCUUAACUUGUUGCUUUUUGUUGGAAAUUUUACUCAAAAAUUAUUAUACUACCGGAACAAGAAGAGAAGAAACCACCGAUCCAUACGAAAUUUGAAUUGAUUUAGGAUAUAGUACAUCCUGUUGGAUAUUAUGCACUUUGGUUCCUUUGCCUAAUUGGAAAUUACCCGGCCCUUUUUUUUGUCUGCAAUGAUAGCUAUCUAACCUAUUCCCACUCUUAUUUUUACGGGAGGAGUUUAAAUAAACUUGUAUACGAGUUUGGGGGUGAACCAUUAAACCUUUAUCCAAUAACUGAAAAGAGCCCCUUAAAGUUUUCUAGUGCACUAGGUCGGGAGUUCAAAACCCGUCCAAUGCAUUACACAAAAAACAUGGUGUUUCUUGUUUUUAAAAAGUUAAAAAAAUUCAGAGAGUGCAUUGUAGCGUGGCCAAUUAGAAAUAUCUGUAGUCUCAUUAGAAAUAUCCGUAGUCUCAUUAAUGGCCUUUGCCCUUUAUUUAUUUAUUUAUUUUUCAUUUAAUAUGUCGUAGCCACAUUAAUGUACUUUCUCUUGGGUAGGCAUGACUACACUUUGAAAUACCGGAAGCUGGCUGUUUUUGGUAUAUAGGUCCAUUCAAAUUCUGGAUUCAGGAUUUGACCCAAGUAGAUUUGUUGUGGUUAAAAAAAAAAAAAAAAAAAAGGAUUCGUGGUGGUAGUAAAUUUCACCUGAACUAGUACUUGUGUUUUUUAUUUUUUUUGGGUAAAAUAACGUCCUAAACGGAGAAAUAAUCCACGUACUUGGAGGCUUUGAGCGUUUGAGCUAGGAAAUCCAUUUGGGCACCAUCUCAGUUCAUCUUUUUAUUCACCCUAUUCAAUUCUUCUUUUUUUUUUUUGGGAGAAAUAAUCUUGAUUGAUCAAUUGGGCAUUUAUCUAUUUUGAGUCAAUCGUGUUCAGAAGGUGCUCUCAUGCAACCUAAAUAAAAAACGAAAAAAAAGAUUUUUUAUUUUUAUUUAUUUUUUUUGCAUCUUGAGAUAAAGAGAAAGAAAUGUUACUUAUAAACAGUGUUGGUGCCAAUAAAUUUUUCUGUCUCCUCUCCGUUUUUCAAAUUGUACACUCCUUCCUUGUUCCCCCAGGUCAUCCCCACGACAUCCUCAUCUAAAUCUAUUGUGGUAGUCGUGCUUCCUGGACACCGGAUUUGGGCCUUAUAAGUUCUAAUUCAAAUUGGUUGUGUGAAUUUGGGUGAGUGUAAAUAAAUAUAAUUUGGGUGUAAUCGAGAUUUUUGUACAAAUUCUGUUGUCUAAAUUACAAAUUCAAGUUUUACGUCAAAUUUAUGCUAAUUUUACACGAGAUGUCAGAAUUUCACGACUGAUUUGAAUUUGAUAGCAACUCAACUUGUGAGAUCUCGAAUCCUUGAAUACUUCCCUUCGAUGUUGUGUUGUAGAGCUCAUCAACUAAUUUAUUGAUUUUUUGAAAAACCAACUCCUCCAAUACCAUUAUGCUUUUUUUUGUUCCCUGCAAUACAAAUAAACCCCACCCCCGGGUGCAAAUGCAAUUUUUUUUGUAAGGUUCCGCUGCAAAAAUACAAAAGUUCAUACACUUCUGUAUUCUUGAUUUUUUUUUUUUUUUUUGUUAAUCUGGAUAUAACCUAAAUUAUGCAGCAGUUCUUCUAGCCAAUCUUUUAGACACCAAGUCGGAAGGAUUAAAUUUAAACUGCCAUUCCGAUGCAAAUUGCAAAAAACACUUUUUUUUCUUUCUUUUUGGGGACCUUACCUACUAAAUUUCUGCGCCCCACAACCUUGACUUUUUAUUAUUUUUUGCAAUCGAACACUACGAGUCCAUACUAAAAUGCAGCCUAUUUAUAUAUACACAAAAAAGAAAGAAAGCGUCACAUUGUACAUUUUCAAGUCCAAUCCAAAGAAUAACAAAAAACCCAACCCAAUUUGUUGGACGAAAGUGGGAGGGAGCUGCAAAAAGUUCAGAGAGUAAGAAAGAAUCAAAUUUUUUAUUAAGUUACCAUUGAAUUGUAACGCAACUAAUCCUCGGCUUCGGUCAAAUCCUGACGAUAUCGUUUAUGUAGACCUAGAGCGAAAGUGUCGACAUCAUCAGCUUCGCUAUGCAUUUCUUGUCCUCGUUUUCUAUCAAAAAAGUGAAGCAUAUGUAACGCCAUGCCAAGCAGCGAGGACACAAAUUUGGUAGGACUGCGUAGAAGCCGACUAUGUAUGAAUAUGUCAAGGCCAAGCCAAGCAAGCAAAGCACACACCAAAAUCGUGGCGGUCAAAUGUGGUAGCACUGCGUACAAGCCGUAGAGAAAUGCCGCCGUCAUGAAUCCCAGAGCCAAACCAACUUCUACCACAAUUGCCCGGACAGCAGCCAACUUAAACCUGUACUCUUUUGACCGCACGAGCUUGAUAUGUCCAACCACUGCAACUAUGGAGGCAAACAUUGCCAAGCAAUCUGAAAUAACAAAUGCAAUAAAAGCUGCUUUCUUGCCUAGAACUGCCAUGCCUUUGUGUGGACCGUCACUGUUGUAUCCACCUGGAACUUGAAAAACAGCUGCAAAAGUGACUGUUGCGAUCAGUGUAGCCACAAUCGAAUAAUUCUUAGACAAUUUUUCGACUCUUUUUACUUCAUCAGGACUAGAGAAUGCUCGUAAGAUCUUCUCUACGGUUGCAACAUUUCGAUACCCUCGAGUGCCACCUGCUUGCUCCAACUGAUACUUGAUUAAAAUCUGUCACAAACAAAAUUGUAACAACAAAAUUGUAACAGCGAGGUCGCUGAUUGCAAUGGACCGCUAAAAUAUGAAGCCAGUCCUGGUGUACUCUUCCAACACCACUUGCACAUGUGAUAGAUAAGGAUAUUAGAUAAUAUGCAAAACUAUCAUUGAUCCUUCCAAUUAGAAGUGUCAUGUUUUUUAUUUUUAGACAGACAAAUUAAUGCUCACCUUGAAUAAGGUUGGUUAGAUAAUAAUGGUUAUAAAUCAAAGUAGAAAGCUUACAUUUAAAGCAGACAUAAUGGGAGGAAAGAGAAAAAAAAACAGUUCAAGAAGAAAACGGGAAACAUGAGUUUAAGAAAAAUAGUUUUGAAAAAAAUAUAAAAUGAAAACAGGACCAUCUUUUUCUUCUUCUUCUUUUUGCGUUUUUCAUAAACCACACCGUGUUCUUCUUGAUUUAUAAAGAGCCGCGUGGCAAUUGUGUUUACACUUUUGGUGAGGUUAUUGUAUUUCUUACAAAAUUGUUUGGUACACUUACAUAAAAUAGUGUACUUCUUUAAAUAUCUACUGUAUUUACGAACAAAAUUAACACUAUUUAAAAAAAAACUAAAAUUAAGACUUCUAUAAUAUGAUUAAGUGUACUUCAAAUAUAUGACAAGCACAACAAUUGUACAGCACUGCAACAAACACAAUAUUUUCCACAUAAAUGAAGAGAAUUGUAGUAGCGUCACAGACACGAUGGCCUGAGAUUUUAAAUACCAUGAGUGUUUUAAAAAAUAGGAAUGAAGAUACCUAAAAUUUAAGGAUACGCAAAUAUAGCAACGAUAGACUUGGGAGGAUUAGUAGUUAAGAAUAUUCUAAAACUUACAAAAUCUAACUUUCCUAUUUUCUAAAAAUAAAAUUUUAUAAUAAUUUAAAAUUUUCAAGUUCAUAUAAGAAAAUUUGAAAAAAACUUUUAAUAAUCACUAUGAUCAGUCAAAGGGGAGGGGGAAAAAACAUCUUAUACCUGUCUUUCUGAAAGUUGAUCAUCCCGUACUAUCUUGUCUAGAGGCGUGGAGUUGGAAUUGUCAAAAGAAUUGACAUCCACAAAAGGAUAAUUCACAAGGCAAUUCCCAUCUAAGUUUUUGGUAGCAACAUACAGGUGGAGAGGAGUGUUUCCUUCGUUAUCCUUUUGGUUAAUGAGAUCAGAAGCCCAGGAAUUCUGUAAAACAAACUCCAAGACUUCUCUUUUUUCAUGCUUUACAGCUAGGUGAAGCAUAUUCUGACUUUUACCCGUAAUCUGAACCCAACAAUCUGGGCAGUGGGAUAAAAUCUCUUGCACCAAAACUACAUGUCCAUGAAUUACCGCAAUAUGUAGAGCAGUCUUGGAGUCAUCAGUCUUGGCAGCAACAUAGGCAGUAGACCUAUCAGCAGACAGUAAUAGUCUUGCAAUUUCUUGAUAAUUAAAUUUGGCAGCAUAAUGAAGUGCAGUCCACCAAAAUUCAUCGCCAUUCUUUAUAACAUUAGGCAGCUUUUCCAAAAUCAGCUUCAUGGAUUCUGUAAGUAGCUAAUAUUUUAGCACAACAUAUGAAGAUAUUGUUAUUCACUACAUCAUUAAGAUCAAUUACACUACAACAACUUACAUAUACUGUGUGAAUUAAACAAGUGUUAUGAUUAAUGGAUAAAUAUGUACAAACAAUACAGAAUACAUUAUUGAAGGGUAAAUUAUAUAUAACCUCCCUGUGAUUUCAUCUAUUGCCACAUGACUCCCUAACGUUUCAAAAUGUCCACUUCACCCCCUAUGGUUUUUAUGUAAUGUGAAAACUUGGCAAAAAAUAGCCUACAUAUCAUUAGUUGAAAUAUCAAUAGUAUCUUUAUUUAAAUGCUAAAUCAAUCGAUAGUUUAACCAUUUUGAAUAAAGUAUAAGGAGAUUACGUGGAUAAAUGCAAAAAUCAUAUGAGGUAAAGUGGAUAUUUAUAGAAACCAUAAGGUGGUUACAGGGAUAUUAAAAUUUUAUUAGACACGCUUUGAAAGCGUGUUUGGUAUAAACGCUAUAACUAAUUAUGCAUUCCGUUCAUUUUUCACUUUACAUAAAAUCACAAAGGGGUUAUGUGACUAUUUUAAAACCUUAGGAGAUCAUCUACAUUAUAUAAAACUAUAGAGAGGUGUAAUAAGUAAUUUACCCAUUAUUAAAUGGUAUUUUAUCAGAUUAAUUAAUUUUUCAUAAAUCCCUUUUGAUGCAUUAAUCGCUUGUGCCAUCAAAGUCCAAAUUUCAUACAAGGUAAAAAAUUAAUUCCCCUGUAUCAAAAUAUGAAAAUAUAUAUAUAUAAAAAGAAGGAACAGGAGCUCAGGAGCUCAUGUUAAUAUAAAACAUGCUUAUCCAUGAAGUAACCUGGCGAAUUCCGAAUUGCGGCAGCAUGCAAGGCAGUUUUGUGUCCGGGGACAAGAUAAGAUGGUGUCUUGCAAGACUCCAAAAUUAGAACCAUAAUAUUAUGGCGUCCCUUCUCAACUGCCAGAUACAGAGGUGUCUCCACAGCAUAAUUGUGGGGAUAACGAACCUCAGGAUCUUCUUGAACUAACAAUUUGGCGAUGUCAUAGAAGUUGUUCCUAACUGCCUCGUGUAAAGCUGUGUUUCCAGCCUUACUAGCCAUCCUCAGCAUCCUCUUGCGCCUGUCAAAACAUGGGGGGAACCAGCGUCCUGCUUCCGAUUUUGCAUAGUCAAUUAGUGCUCGAACGACGCCUGAAUGCCCCUUUCUUGCCGCCAAAUGAAGUGCAGUCUCGCCCCGUUUGUUCAAUUUCAUAAGCAAACGGCCAUGUCCAGCAAGGAUAAGCUGGACUACAUUUGCAGAGUCACAAGACUGGGCUAAUACGUGAAGGACUGUGUCUUCUACUGGAGUAUGUUGAGUGUAGAAGUCGUCUGAAAAGCUUUCCAUUACAACCCAAUUACCUGACUGUGCAGCUGCAUACAAUUCGGGGUCCAUUUUCUUGCAGCCGCUACGCACUAAAUUCUUAACAGGUGCAAUGAAAAAUGCCAACCUGAUGAUUAAUGCUGUGAAAAUGGAUAUUCUGCAAUUUAUAUAUCCCACUGACUAGCUAAUUGAGAAUGAAGCCAUAAUCGAAGCAGUAAUCAGGACUGAACUGAUCAGCUGAUGCUGAACUCAGAUGGAGAGUAAAGUAUCAAAUUUAUGCGGAUUGAUGCUGAAGUAAUCUGUAGAGAAGCGUAACAAAGUGGGAAUAAUGCUCUGAAAAUGUAUAUUCUGCCAAUCGUGUGUCACAUGACUGUCUCAUUGUGGAUGAAGUCACGUCGAAGCAGUAUUCAGGACUGAAAUGAGAUGCAGAGGAAAUUAUCAAAUUUUUGCAGAUUGAUGCUGAACUAAUAUGUGGAGAAAGGUAUCCAAAUUGGAAUGCCGACACCAAAUUGAAGAUCUUGUAAUACAUCUCCUCUACGAAUUUUGUCUGCCCCAUUCUUUGUUAUUUCCUUGUGCCAGCAACUGUUCAAAUACGCUACUUACAAAAAGUUUUAACAUUUUUCAAAUGAUUCCUGACCUUUUUCAUGAAUUGUGCCCGUGGAUCCUGUUGGAUCUGUCCACGGAUCGACUUUGACAUAAUUACAUAAACUUUCUCACCAGAGCCUGGCUCUUUGAUCUGGUACAAACUAGGCCUGAUCCAUGACCAGAUUAUGCAUCCGGCCGGCAGAUCUAACAUGAUCCGCUGGCUGAUCUUUAAAGGAGAAAACUCCUCUGUUGCAAAAAUCCAACCUGUGGAGCGGAUUUAAAGCGGAUCCGUGUGCAAAUUGCCCGGAUAUUUUAAAAAGUUCAAUAAAAAGCAAAGUUUAGAUGAUAUCAUUCUAGCAUUCAAGAUGUCAUCAUUUCAUAAUAUGAACUUUACAUCAAUUAUAUAACAGCAAUUGAAAAUCCAACAUGGAUUUCACAUAAUUGGACAUUCAAGAUAUCUUUCAUAUUGAUUAUUCUACCAUAACUGAAAAUGAAAACACCAACAACUUUGUUACCUGUAAACUUCCUUUCAUGGAUCUAUCACCAAUUUGACCCCUUAAAAUUCUUUCACACAAGUAACAUAGUAGCACACAAAUAACAAACCAUUAUACGUUUUCUUUAGGUGAUUGUCAUGUACUUGUCCGUUUACUCCGAGCUCAAGUUUAGCAUCGUUUUUUGGACAUGAUACGGUUUUGAAAAGGGCUAAUUCUUUCUAUAGAGGACAAAUACGACUUAUCUACUAUCUAGGUCUGCUGCUUGUUACCAUCUCUUGCAUAUUAUAAAAAUUUUAUUAGUUAAUUUACCUGAAAAAAUUAAUAAUAAAUUCUUCCUAUUAGUCUUUGAAUCUAAUUCUCCAAAUAAAGUGGCUACGUAGCUAUUGCUAUAUAUAUAUAUAUAUAUUUGCCUUUGUUUAUAAAGCACAUGUAUUAUUACAAUAUAUUAAUCUUUGCUCACUGUACAAAAUAUCUAGCUCCAUCCAGUAAUGCAUAUACUAUAAGUUUAUGUUUAUGAAUUCAAACUCCAUGAGAUUUGUUCAAAUCACAGUUCAACCCUUUAAUAACCAAACACAUAUCAAAUCAUACCCUCCAUUAGUAAACUAAUUAAAUUGAUAGCCACAAAAUUUUUGAUGAAAUUCUCAAGAUAGCCCGUCAGAAACGCUAUCAUCAUUCCUAUCAUAGCCGUGAAAAUUGUUGAACUACUCGCGUGGAGCGUAGCCAACCUGUACAUAUAGUUACUGCCCUGCAAUAGCUUCAUUUGUUUGAAGCACUGCAUCAAUGGAGAGCAUGACUGCUAGUGAAUCCGAAAUAACAAACCUAAUAAAUACUACUUUCUUCUCUAGAGCUGCCAUUGAUGCAACCAGUGUAGCCACAGUCAAAUAAGUCCCUGCCUGUCUUUUAUUCCAUUUUUUUUAUGUUUCUUCAGUUUUCUCUUCUGUACGGUGGCAACAUUCUGAUAUCCUGCAGUAGCACCCACUUCCUCCAACUCUUUCUUGAUUAAAAUCUACACAAUUGCUUUAGUUUGACACAGAAUCGUAACAAGGAACUCUCAAAUUUGUAGCAAUUUGUUGAUUAGGUUAGUUUCUUAAGUUAAAAUAAUGUCCAGAUCCAAUGUAACCUACAUUACUGGAAGGGUAUAAGUAUAUUUGUUGUGUCAUUGUACAUUCUUGAGAAAUACAAAAAUAUUUUUCCAAAUCUUCCCCUCUCUCUUACAUGGUACCAGAGUAGAGAUGUUCAAAAUACUAGUCUGAUUUAGACCUACUACACUUGAAACUAUGACAGAAUCGUCUGAGGUGGUAGAAUGUAAUAGAACUCAUUUUAUCCUAGAAAAUUUGACUGCACAAAUGCUAGAAUGUCAUAAGCUAUGUUUUUUACUCGUUAAAAUAAUCAAACAAAAUUGAAUAUUAUGAUGUUUAACUUCUUUAAAUUUAUGUACACCCCUAAUUCUUUUGUAAUAGUGCACGGCACACAAUUCAAGAUCCAUUUUCUUGCAGCUGCAACGUACUGAAGUCUUGACUGUUCAGGAGCAAUAAAAUAUGCCAACUUGAUGAUUAAUGCUUUGAAAAUGGAUAUUCUGGAAUUGACAUCACACUGACAAGCUAGUUGAGGAUGAAGCCAUAAUCGAAGAGUAAUCAGGACUGCACUAAUCAUAUAAUGCUGAACUAAGAUGUAAAGAAAAGUAUUAAAUUUAUGCAGAUUGAUGCGGAAGUAAUCUGUAGACAAACGUAUCAAAUUUGGAACAAAUUUUUUGAAAAUGUAUAUUCUAUAAUUACGUAUCACGGUGACUAUCUAAUUAGAGUGAAACCAUGUCGAAGUAGUAAUCAGGACUGAACUGAGACGAUGCUGCGGUAAGGUAUAAAGAAAAGUAUCAAACUCUUGCAGGUUGAUGCUCAACUAAUAUGUAAAGAAAGUUGUCAGAAUUGGAAUCUGGACUCCAAAUUGAAGAUCUUUCUAGUCCUCCUUGCAUGCGAUUCUUGUCUGCCCUUUUCCUUGUCAUUUCUUAGUGUCAGCAAUUGUUGUAACCUUUUUUCUUUCAUUUGAUGUGCUUUCCUUAGCUGAUUGUCAUCUACUUAUGCUGUGUACUUUGAUCUCAAGUUGAGUAUCGUUAUUUGGCAUGACAUGGUUUUGAAAAAGGAUGAUUACGACUUAUGCACAAUCUCAGUUGCAUGCUGCUACUCUGUGAAGAUCUAUUGCCCAUUAAGAAAAUUUUAUUGCUUCAUUUACAUGAAAAAAAUAAAUUAAAAAUACUUCCUAUUAGUCUUUAAGCCUAAUUCUCCAAAUAAAGUGCCUAUUUAGCUAUUACUGUUCAUGGCAACAAGACUGUAUAAUGCAUCACAAUCAAGUAAAAUAUAAUUGUUUCUCUUCUUAUUUUUAUUGGCCUGUGUUAAUAAAGUGCAUGUACUAUUUCCAUCUAUUAAUCUUUUGUUUAGUGUAAAAAUUUUUAGUUGCAUCCACAAGUAUAUACGUUUUAUAUUUCUUUAGUCAAAGUUCAGCUACCAUUUUUAUUCAAGGUCUCUUUCUUUUUUCAUUUUUUUUUUACUAGGAGAGGGUUGGGAUUUAAAAUGUAGAGAAGAGGGAAGGAGAUUUGAACCAAAACCUCUAAUUUUUGGGGUUUAGACCUUAAUCACUGCACAAAACUAUCGUGUCUGUAAGGGUUAAUUACAAUUACCUUCUUUGAGGUUUGGCGAAAUUACAAAACAUAAUCCCUGUUUGUCGAGGAAGUCUUAAUCUAGUGGCUACCUUAAGAAUUAGAGGUUCUGAAUUCUAAUUUCCUGCCUUCUCUCCACUUCUUAAAUUUUACUCCUCUCAUAUUGAAAAAUAAUUUUGAAAAAAAGAAUAUGAAGAAGUUUUUCCAUGUAUGUGUGUAGAUAAUCAAAUCCCAAUUUUACACAAAGAACAUAUUAACUUUAAAUACAAAACAAACACUUCUUUGAGUGUCGGUACAUUCAGUCAUAGGCGAGAAAAGACAACUUCAAAACGAGGUCCAGGUUUCACUAUUCAUAUCAUCUUAUUAAAUUUUAUUGACCAACACCUAAUUGUACACCCAAAUGUAAUAGAUGAUUGUUGUAUAAAGAAAGUUAGAAUAUGGUGGUGGCUGAGAUGAGUCAUAAGCAAAGAAAAAUAGAAGAGAGAAGAGAUUUUCUUGAUGUUUUUCACUUCUUUCUAUAUCGUUUUUCAGUUGUUAAUACGUGAUUGUUUUCUUUUAUUCGGUGUUUUAUCGUUUCCUGGACAACAUUAAGAGAUUUUCUUCUUCACAGCUGGCUUUCAAAGGGCUAGAUCGCAUGUUGUUUAAACUACAAGGUCUUUUUUACGAUUUGGACAACUCUCAAGGGAGAUAAUUGUAGAUAAUUGCACUUUUCUACAAGGAUGUUUUCUUUGGGGUUUGGAGACUGUAGUAAAAGUAAUUUAUUACAAACAGAAGGCUCAUUUGCUAAUUCAAUCAAACUGGGCUACCAUAAAUCUCAUACUGCCAGUAACAGUUGUAAGAUCAUCUUUCAUCACUCAAUUCAAUAUCCAGAAGAGGUUCUUCUGUGGACACUACCAAUGUUUUUGUUGGCUUAGGUGUGUUGGCCCAUAAGGUCGGCUUUGCCCAUGCACUUCUAGGCCUAUAAGCUAGCCCAUGGGCGAUUAGUGGUUACUUCCUAUCAAUGCCUACUAAGGGUCUGUUUGAUAACAUAAAAAAGUGUUGAAUCUGAACUUUUUCAGACAUUCAAAUGUUUUGAGUGUUUGAUAAAUGAAAAUCCAUUUGCUGAACUUGUUAAGUAGUGCUGAACUUGUGUGUAUUUUUUUCAGCACAAAAAUCCUAACUGAAUGCUUAAUUCUGAUAAGAAUCAAUAGAAUUACUUCAACAACUUUAUCUUAUCUACCAAAUCUACUCUUGUUUAUUAAUUAUGUUCAAAAUUCUUAUAUAAUUAAAUAACCUAAUAUUCUCUAUCUAAUGAUUUUCUAUUUCUCUUUUCUCCCUUUUGAAUGACUUUCACUUAUUCUUCAUAUUCCUCAUAUAAUAUAAUUCAUCUUUUAUAUUAAUUUGAUUUAAAAAUAAAUAUUGUCAUUUUCAUACCUAACAUUUUUAGCUAAUUAAAUCAUAGGUUUUAUUUCUUUUUUGGAUGAAAAGAUAUAAGGGCAAAAUUGUCAAAUUUAACUUAUUAAGCAUUUAGUUAUAAAUAUUUAUUAAACAAUAUAAAUAGGUUUAGCAUUAAAAUUCAGAUAUUCAUAAAUUUUUUUCAGUGUUUAAAAUUCAGCAAAUUAAUUGUUUCAGUAUUCAGAUUUCAGAAUUCAGACUUCAGAAUUCAGAUUCAGUUUUAUCAAACGGAACCUAACACUACCACCAAUUAAUGGAAAGGAAAUUUUUCAAUUCCUUUUUUUUCGUUUUUUUUUUUUGGUGAAAAUGGUAGUUCUUUUAUUGUUUCACACAUAAAAUGAUGCAUUUAGUCCUCAACAAAAUUUAACAUGCAGCAAUUUAAUCCUACAUCCCAUUUCCUACCACUUUUAUAAUCUAAAAAAGUCCAUGACCAAUGCUGUAUGGUGCAUAACAAUCAAGUAAAAUAUAUUUCUGUUUCUCUUAUUAUUUUUCUUGGUCUUUGUUAAUAAAUUACAUGUACUAUUUCUAUCUAUUAAUCUUUUUUUUACUGUCAAAAAAUUUAUAGCUCUAUGCCCAUGUAUUUACAUCUUAUAUUUCUUUAGUCAAACUUCAGUUACCAUUUUUUGUUCAAGGUUUUUUUUUUUUUUUUUUUUAUUUCUAUUCAAUAGAAAACAAAUGGAAUUUAAGAAGUGACAAGGAAGAUUUGAACCAAAAUCUCUAAAUUCUAGGUACUGACUUCAAUCAUUAGACAAAAGGUCUCUUCAAUCAAAGUUCAACUACCAUAUUGGUUUUUUUUUGUUUGGGGAGGGGGGGGGGGGGGGACAUACCAUUAAGGUUUAAUAGCAUUAACCUUAUAGGUGAGAUGAGUCAUAGGCAAAAAAGAGAGAGAGGAAGAAAUUUUGCACUACCUUUUAUGUCAUUUUUCAGUUGUUAGCACGUGAUUGUUUUCAUUUUAUUUGGGUUUAAGUGUUUCUUGGAUAACAUUAAGAGAUUUUCUUGUUAGUAGUUGGCUUUCAAAAGGCUAGAUUGCAUGUUGGUUAAACUACAGGGUCUUUUUUAUAAUUUGGACAUCUCUAAGGAAGAUAAAAGUACUUCAGUACCAAUAGAAGGUCCAUUUGCUUAUCUAAUCAAAUCUGGGCAGAGGUCAAUGCAAUUAACCCUAUCUUUAAACACUCUGGUAGCACUGAAUUUUUAGUAUAGCAUUUGGGUUCAUUACUUGCUUAAAUUAGCAUCUAUAGUAGAACAAAAAGAAAGCCCAGCUAUUUAUUUUGUAUCUAUAGGUUUGCACUGAUACAAAUUUUGCUCUCUCAAGAUGCGUGAGAAGCAUCUGAAAAUUCAAUCAUUCUUGAACUAUAGCUAAAUACCAAAUCAAUCAAUUGACACCAAAUCUCCCCAAACAAAAAAACUAAGAAAGAUAUUUGACAGAGGUAAUAGAAAAGAUAUUGAAAAUAGUAAAAGAAUGCCAUAAUGGUUUACAUAGCUCAUAGCCUCCAAUGUAUGCGGAAAAGGAAAGAUAUUAUUGCAGUUUUUUGGUGACAAAAUGCUACCAAAACUCAUCCUCUUCAGUCAAAUCUUGAACCCAAACUCUGAAUGGACCUAUAUACCAAGAAUAAUCAGCCUCGGUAUGUCUAAACAUAGUUACAUAUCUACUACACCUAGUGUUCCUUAAAAACUGAACGAGGUCCAAAGGUAUAUGAUAGCAAUAUAUAGCAGCAAGGACGCACAACAGAAUCUUGAUAUGCAGCAUUGGUAACACAGAAGACAAGCCCGUCAGAAAUGCUAUCAUCAUCAGGAUCAUGGCCAUGAAAAUUGAAGCCCUACCUCCGUGGAGCAUAGCUAACUUGAACUUGUGGUUGUUGCUUUGCAAGAGCAAAAUUAGAUGGAGGACUGCAUGAACGGAGAUCAUUAUUGCCAAGGAAUCUGAAAUAACAAAUGUUAUAAAAAUUGCUUUGUUUCCUAGAACCGCCAGCCCUUUGUUUGGACUCUCACUAUCAUUGUAUCCACCUGGGAUGGUAAAACCUGCCGUGAAAGUGACUGUUGCAAUCAGUGUAGCCACAAUCAAGUAAGUCCCAGCCAAACUUUCCAGUUUUUCUGGUUCUUCGGUUUUUGGUGCUCCUAAAUUCUUCUUCACAGUACCAACAUUUCGAUAACCUGGACUAGCACCUGCUCGCUCCAACUCUUCCUUGAUCAAAACCUAGGCAAGUGAAUCUAUUAGACAUAGAACCGUAGCGAUGAACUUUCAAAUUUGUCACAUUUUCUUUCUUAUUGUAUACUGGAGAUGAAAAGGUAAUAGAAGGAAGUAUUGAGACUUUUCCAAAAAUGAACUUUCUUAAAAGGCAAUUCAAAGGGAUCAUUCUUUUAUUUUUGCUCUUGAUUUCCUUGGCUAAGUUUUAGUAUCCUACUUUAAUUAAUAAGCUCAUCAUUGCGACCAUGCAAAGGGGGAGAGAGUAAAACGGGUACCUGUCUUCCAGUAAGCUCACGGCUGUGAAGUAUGUUGUCAAGAACAGUGGAAUUGGAAUUGUCGAAAGCACUGAUAUCAACACAAGGGUGAUUUACAAGGCUAUUACCAUCUAAGUUUUUGGUGGCAACAUACAGGUGGAGAGGAGUGUUUCCUUUAGAAUCCUUUUGGUUGAUGAGUUCAGAAGCCCAAGAAUACUGUAAGAAAAAUUCCAACACUUCUCUUUGUUCAUAUUUUACAGCAAGAUGAAGGAUGUUCUGGCGUUUAUAUGUGAUCCUCUCCCAACAAUCUGGGCAAUGCAAUAAAAGCUCUUUUAUGACAGCUACAUGUCCUUGAGUCACCGCAAUAUGUAAAGCAGUCAUUGAGUCGUCAUUAUUGGCAGUAACAUAGGCCAUGAACUUGUAUUUAGACAAUAAUUGUCUUACUACUCCUUGAUGAUUAAAUUUAGCAGCAUAAUGAAGUGCAUUCCAUCCAAAUUUGUCGACUUUCUUUGUAAGAUUUGGCAGCUUCUGUAAAACCAGUUCCACUUCUGCACAGCAGCCAAUGUUUUUUUAAGAUAUUAUAGUUCAUUAAAAAUAAACCGCAAGAACUCACAACUUGGAUAUUAUCCCAGCUAAAUUGCACUUUUUGCAAAUUGGUUUAAAGGAAUAAAUUGAUAUCAUAAACCAAAUUGAUUUGUUUAUCAAUAAAAGGCGAUGAUAUGCAAGUUGAAUUUCGACACUUCAUAGAUCAAAGGCUCUAUAAAGCAUAAACGACGCUUAAACAGACUAAGAUGGAGUCAGAAAUAUUUAAAACUCAAGAUAUGUAAUUGUUCAAUAGAUAAUUUCAGGCCAUGAUCCUUAAUCCAGGAGUAAAAAUGGUUACCCUGCUUUCCCCCGCGUCUUCUCUGUUAAUGUAUCAGAAUGGAUAAACAUCCAAAAUUUGUUGCUUUUUCAGAGAUGGUGAGUGACAUUUAAGGCUACCUGGCGAAUUCCGUAUAGCUGCAGCGUGCAGGGCAGUUCUGUUACCGGGGCCGAGAUAAGAUGAAGACUUGCAAGUCACCAAAAUCAGAACAGCGAUAUCAUGAUAUCCCUUCUCUACUGCUAGAUACAGAGGAGUCUCCAUAGCAUAAUUGGGGCGAUAAUGAAACUCAGGAUCUUCUUGAACCAACAAUUUGGCAACCUCAUAGAAGUUGUUCCUAACUGCCUCAUGUAAAGCUGUGUUGCCAUCCACAUUAGCCAUCCUCAGCAUCCUCUUGCAUCCGUCAAAACCCGGAAAUCGAAAUCCUGAAUGAGGAUAUUGAUGUCUUGCAGAUGCAAUAAGUGCUCGAACAAUGCCCAGGUGCCCCUUUCUAGCUGCCAAAUGAAGUGCUGUUUCGCCAUGAACAUUCUUUUUCAUUAGCAGACAGCAAUGUCCUGCAAGGAUAUGUCGCGCUACCUCUGCAGAGUCACAAAACUGGGCUAAUACGUGGAGGACUGUGUUUCCAGUCGAAGUCUUCUGAGAAUAGAAGUUCCCAGAAAACCUUUUCAUUAGAACCCAAUCACCUAAAUGCGCUGCUGUAUACAAUUCAGGAUCCAUUUGUUUCUGUAACUCAUUGUCUAAAUACUACAGUGGGACAUGCCAGACACAUACUAUAGUUAGAAUUUUUCAUCGAAGUUUCUGGUUUAUGACUUGUAAAUAUUUAAUUGACACCAUGGUUUCUUUUCUGGUGUAUAUCGUAGAAAACCUUGUGCUAUGAAUGGUUGAAUAAUUUGACUGGCAGCCCAUAAAAAAUAUGAACAUAACCAUGAAUUGACUUGUGACUACGCGGGUUCAGAAGACUUCAGUUUCUUGGAAAAAUUUUGAGUUUACUUCCACUUUCGUGGGAAGACUUGACUCCACUUUCGUUUUCUUGCCGAGGAAGUGGGAGGAAGGUUGAUCGUUUAGCUGUGUGGUUAGUGACCCGAGGCAUGACGUGAGGAGAAUGGCACCUAAAAAGUGCAAAAUUUGUGUGACUACUAAUGGAUACUUCCAUUCCUUGCAUGCCACAAUCUAUUUUACACAACUGCUUUUAUAGAAACCGGACUAUCAAUUUUAUACCAAAUUAAGUUCAGUACAAGGAGAUUAAACCCUAUCCAUUCUACCACUUGGUUAAUUUCUUUCACCAGGAGGACUUAACAAACCUGCAUGUUGACCCCAAGAGAGCCAUCGGAGCCAUGCUUUUGCCAAAUUUAGCAAAUCCAAGGUCUUUAAGUACAACUUUUAAUCUUUCUCUUGGUAGAGAUAUCAGAGGUUCAAGGGGUGAUAUUAGAUGAAGAAACUAGAGCUGAAAUUGCCUUAACGGAUAAUUUCUUUGGUUAUUAAGGUCAUCAUUAACGAUAGUAAAGAUCAGUGUUCAAAUAAUCUAUAUUUCUUUCAUCUUAGUCGUGCACAGGAGUAUAAAUUAAAUAAAUGUCUAGAUUUGGUCAUUUGAGGGAACAUUUCAUCGGUAUCAUAAUCUGAACUGAGAUCGAGUUGCACAAAUAUAGCAUGAAAAAAAAAAGGCGGCCACAAGGUUGAAAGGGAAGAAGAGAGCACAUUCCAUCGUUUUGUUCUUGUGCCAUAUAUCAACAUUGCCCGCCCAAUCUGAACGGCCUAUGGAGGAACUUUUGUGACGAGGCUAGGCAAAGAUCAGUCAACAAGGGACACAAUUAAACAGGUGAGAGAGAGAGAGAAACUACAGUACUACAAAAAUAUACAACAUGUUUAAGAAGCUCUAUAUGCAUUUACAAAAUCUACAGCAUCAUCUCGACAAACUGUAGCAUUAUCAACUCUAAUCUUCCUUGGAAAAUUGCAUGAACAUCUACUGCUUAAGUUGCACAACUAAGCUUUUACUCCGAACAAGAUGAGAAGGGAAGCACUGUCAAUAAGAAGCCGAGGCUUAACAUACCAG